GCUACUAGUUUUUUAGCCUUUGGAUCAACUCUUUUCAUUAUUUCUAACCAUUGGAUUAAAUACUAUAACCCAGUGGGGACCACUCAACCCUAGAAGGACCACUCAACUCUAACCGACUAAUAUCAUCCUGACCUUAUAAUUUUUCAUCCAAAGGUUAAAAAUUUGAUAGCAAAAAAAGCGUUUUACUAUUAAAAAUAUUCCAGCCUAAUUCUAUAUAUAGUAUUUUAAUUAUAUAUAGGCUUUAAUUUAAUUUGGGCCACUAUUGUUGGCCCAUAAAAUAAACCGAACAAGUACAACCGUGCAAUUGAGCGCAACUCUAAAUUUACAUAACACACUCUCUUUUUCAGACUUUCACUAUUGCACAUAACCCUAAAACAUGAUAACAUUCAAAUUUUCAAAUCCCUAAUUUUUUCCCCUCUCUCUCUCUCUCUCUCUCUCUCUCUCUCUCUCCCUCAACAGUCAGGGAGUCACCCUAGCUCACAUUUCUUACAAUUAUUUUGUAUUUUGAACAUUGACAUGUUACAGGUCAAAUUAUGGUAAUGUUUUAUAAAAAUUAAAAUUGAUUAUAUAAUGUCGAAAAUUUCAAUCGGCUCGUUUAGAGCUCGAGCUCGGCUCGACUCGAAAUUAGGCUCCCUCGAGCUCGGCUCAAAUUAAUUUCAAGCCGAGCUUGAGCCUAGAUUUAGGCUCGAAAUUAAUUUCAAGCCGAAUUUGAGCUGACAUAAGCUCGCUCGAGCUCGGCUCGUUUCCACCCCUACAUACAACUUACCAUCUUCAACUAUGAGGCCUUAAGACUUCAAAGCUUGAACCCUAACUCAAAAAUACAAAGAUAUACAUUUACCAUACAAAGGAUUUGGAGUUCCCACCUUAGCUCAAGCUCUCACCAAUUUGGGGGAGUCUCCAAUACAACCAAGAAAACCCUAAAUUUUUCAACAUAAUGCCAACAUCAUAUAUUCAACACAAAGAAAUCCCAAAAAAACUCCACAACCCUCAGAACAUGAAAUUAACGAUGACUAACCUAAGGAUUUGAGAGUUCAAGAGCAACUCACCGUGAUUCACUAGCCUUUUCUUUUUUUUCAAGAAAAGCUUGCCUAGAUCGAAGUUAUCGUUUCUUUCUCCCGAAGCUUCUACUCUUACCUAUGCAUCCUAAGGAGCGAGAAUCUGGCCUCCAUUUUCUUCGAACAAAAAGGAGAGGGAGCUAGUGACGAGAGAGAGAGAGGAUUAGAGAGAGAGAAAAGGGCAAAAAAGUGAAAGGGAGAGGGGUUUAGGGCUAAUUCUCUCAUAAGCGGGUCCUUUAUAUAAAAGCGUUGUAACAAUUACAAUUUACUACAAGAGUUCUAGCAUUUUACAUGAAACAUCCCCAUCUCAUACUCUACUCCCCGCAGCGGAGAAUCUAAACUUCCCUAGGAAGUCCGGAUCCUUAAGGUUUCCAUGGCAUUAGACAAGGUCCGGACUUCCACCCCUCGAGGGUCAGACUUUCUUUCCAAUGUCCGAAUUUGGACUUUCCUUCAAUGUUCGAAUUCGAAAUGCUAUCAUAUACAAAAACUGCUAAAGGUCUGGACUUUCUUUACAAGGUGUGAACUCUGAAGUUUCACAAACUUCAAAGUCUUGACUUCCAUAUUAAGAUUCAGACUCUAAAAGUUUAGCUGUAAGGAUUUACUCUCAAAACUUUAUUAUCAAUAUAUUUUUAUCUAAAUUUAGCCCCGAGCUAUCUUUCAGCCAUUCAAACACAUCCAAAUUAUUUUGUGCCAUAUUAAUCCAUAUUUGGAUAAAGUUCAGUAUACUAAACAAAAGCUCAUUAUAUUACAUCUGAUAUAUAGCCCGAAGCAUGAUAACAUGGUAUGCACAUAUAAAAAGGUAUAUGUAAAAUGUAAAGAUGGUCUCGCUAAUUUGAAUACUUGUAUGCAACAACUUGAUCUCUUGCACUUUCACAUAUAUUACAUUUUUUUUUUUGUAUAAAAACAAUAUUUAGGCAUGUUUAAAGUAUAUCUAAAUAAAUGAACCAUUCACGACAUAAGGGUAAAAUGAUUAUUUUUAUAAGAAAAUUAGACCCUUCUUUAAUGGUCGGGAUGAACUAAAAUACCCUGCAAUAAAAAUAUGGGGAUGCAAUAUUCGGGUCAUUAACACGAACUUUUUUUGAAGUAAUUAGUCGAGCAUACAAUGUGCACAUAUCCUACAAACAAUCACAAUUCUUGACUUUCUCAGCAUGGCAUCGAGGACGAAGUCUAUGAGCUCAGCGCCAUCGAUGUAGUGUCUCUUGGCCCAAUUGUUGCUAAUGUAGGACUGGCCAAAAAUAAAAUUGCCUGGAUAGAAGAUUUGCCAUAGGGACCCAAUCAAAUGCUAUUCAUUGUGUUAAGCUCCAUGUAUCAAAUGCUGUUCAUCGUGUCAAGUUCCAUAUACAUAAACUUUAAAUAAAGUAAAAAUACAAUACUUUAUUACCUUAUUUAAUAAUAUUUUUUAUAAAAUAAAGAAUAAAAUCAUAAAUAAUAAAGAAAAACUUUUCAAACCACUUAAAUUUUUUUAAUCAUAAUGCACUAAAUAAAAACAAUGGCCAUAAUUCCUAUUUGAUCGAGCGGGCCCCACCACGCAGCUUUUAAAAAAGCCUUUUUAUGCGGUUGUAUACUUUUAUUGCGUGUAAACUUGUGGCCAAACAGGCGUAAUUUAUGGCCGAUUGAAGAUUAUCCAAAAUUAAAAAGACGAGGAAUGAUAAAUUUUAAAAUUUUUUUAAAAAACACUGAGGAACCCGUUUCAAAAUGUACGAUCGUUUAUGGAGCUCUAUGCAAUUUUAUCUAUUUGAAGAUGAGAAAUGCUACAGAAACAUCCUAAAGUGGGGUGUACAUCUUACACCUAUUCUAUUUUAAAGUCAUUCGUAUCAUAUUAAUUUUUUUUAAUUUUUACUAAAAACUAAUUCGGUUUUUAUCAAUCCUAAAAUUACAAGCGUAAGAUCUAUACAUCUUUUUUGGGUCUAUAAGAAGUAUUUUUCUUCGAAGAUUUUUCAGUAGUCUUAUAAAUGUAACUAAUAAAAAUCAGCUCAUUUUUUAUAUAUGAGGUGUGCAUCAUACAACUCUUUUGAGGUGAAUAUAUAGUGUUUUCCGACCUAUAAGUUUGUUUGCUCCUGUCGCUUGUUCUCCGCAUAGGAAGAGAGAAGAAUUGAGAUUGCCUGGCACAUAAAACGUUCAGCUUCCUUCUCCGCCGACCCUUUGAUUUCGUAACUCUAACUCUAACCACUUCAUCUUCUUGUCUCUUUCCCUCCUUCUUUCCUCUGAGUGAGUCGGAAACUCCUCAAAACCUUAAUCCGAGAAAGAAGAAGAAGAACCUGUUCGACAUGGUGAAUUUUCUUUCCGACUGGGGGAUUGGCUAUAAGGUAGCGAAGACGUAUUAGAGGGACGUCUCCUACCAGAUUACCAAGAUCAAUCUCUACAAGAUACUUAAUUGAAAAUCAUGAUAUCAAUUUCCAUCUCAUUACUUUUUUUCUUUUUUUUUUAAAUGUGUGUGUGUUGAUCUUACUGUGAUAGGAUGGGCGGCACGAAAAAACGCGGGGGAUCCGAUUCAAAACUUUGUUAGUUAAUUUGCGAAUAAUUCACAAAUUAUUCACAAAUUUUUGAAGAAAAAAUAAAACACGUAUCCAUAAAUUUCCAAAAAAUACAGAAAAAAAAUAUUUUUUUGAUUAAAAAUAAUUAUUCCUGAAUAAUUCAAAAGCCCUCCCCCCCCCAAAAAAAAAAAAAAGUUGGGCGCUGGCGGCCCGCCCAAAACAGAAAAAAGAAAAAAAACCCUUCGGUCCGAGUCGCCCUCCACUUUUUUACUGGAAGAGUCAAGCGAGAGCACCCCCAAAACUCGAUCAAAAAGGUUUUGCCCUAACUUUGUCACCCCUGCGGCCUGCCACCGACCCCAGCCCCCAUCCUUUCCCCUUCCCCUCUUCCCUUCCGGCCGCUUGCCAAACGCCAUCGGAAGCCCCCGCGAGGCCACAUCGAAGAUCGGGUUCUUCACUCUUCAGAAAUCAGAAUCCUCCUCGUCGCCUCUUCCGCUUCCGCUUCCGCUUCCGCUUCCGCUUCCGCUCUCCAACGAUGGAUCAGUAAUCGGGUGGUUCUUUACAACCCAGGUACGAAUCGUCUGAACUUUUAUGCUUUAGUUUCUCUCUCUCUUUCCUUUAUUUCAUCUCCUCUUAAUUGCUGACUGUAUGGUUUUGAGUAACAAGACCAUGACUACAAAAUGUAGCAUCAUUGUGAACAUGCAUUUAUUAGGAUUCAUUACUUCUUUUUUAUCUUUAAUCUCUACAGCAUACAUGAAUAUUUUAACAUACCAUAGAUAUUCUUAAAAAAGAAUUAUCAGCGAAUAAGGUUUUAAGACCUUAAAAGGUUGAUACGCCCAGCAGGUUGUGAGUAAGGUUUGAAAGUCACAAGCAUAUGCAUUGAUUAAAAACCAAGGGAGAUCUAGCAAACUUAACGAAGGCUAAAAAACAUGGGUGUUAACUGGCAAUACUGUGAAUUUCCGAUGAUUUUGGAGAAAUAGCAAUAUGUGGAAUUGUGAACUUUAUAUAUCUUUUAUUUGUUUACUGUUUAGACUUUAGAUAUGCUAGUAUGCACUAUGCAAAGUGCAAGUUUUAUCUUGUAUUUAGUUUCCAACUAUGCUUGUAUGUGAACCUUCUAUGUUUUGUAUUUAAAUAUGAGCUAUCUUAAUCUAUUAUUUGCUUAAUUAUUUAUUUAUUUUGGGGCAUAAUAUAGUUUGCUUUUUUUUUUUUUUUACUUAAUUAGCUUAAUUUUGUAGCUCUUUAUUCUUAUAUUCUUAAGAAUUAUGAGUUUUUAUGCUAAUAGCAUAAAUCUUGAAAGAAAACAAACUUAAUUUAAUAGCCGAAUUUUUGAUCCCGAAUUUUUAAUUGGUGAACGUAUAAUAUCCGUAUAAAUCGCGUAUCCGAAUAAUUGCUGAAUCCGUUUUUUAGCCGUAUUUUUCAACGAAUUUAAAAAUUAGAAGACGAAUUUUAUUCGAAUUAUACCCAUACCAAAUUUUUGCCGAAUCCCAAUUAACUAACUAUGGUUCGCACCUGUCGCUUGUUCUUCGCAUAGGGAGAGAGAAGAAUCGAGGUUGCCGCCACCAUGAACAGGGAAGUGGCGCAUAGAACGCUCGGCUUCCUUCUCCGCCGACCCUUUGAUCUCAUAAAAACCCUAACCCUAACCACUUCAUCUUCUCCUCUAUCUUCCUCCCCCUCUUCUCCGAGUGCGUCGGAUACUCCUCAAAACCCUAAUCUGAGAAAGAAGAAGAAGAACCUGUUUGACGUGGUGAAGUUCCUCCCCGACUGGGGGAUUGGCUACAAGGUAGCGAAGACGCAUUGGAGGGACGUCUCAUACCAGAUCACCAAGAUCAAUCUCUACAAGGUACUUGAUCGAAACCCUGAUAUCAAUUUCAAUCUCAUUACUUUUUUUUUUUUUUUUACAAUGUGUGUGUGUUUAUCUUACUGUGACAGGAUGGGCGGCAUGGGAAGGCAUGGGGAAUCCGAUUCAAGGCAGGUGAGUUACAUUGUGCUCUUUUUUUUUGAAUUAACAUAGAAUUUUCUUUUGUUUAUUUCGGAUGAUUUGGUGUUCAUUUGGAUUUCACUCUGAUAGUUGUUUGGAAAAUGUAGGAAUUCAUUUCAUUGAUUUUACUUUUUUUAAACUUUUCCCAACCUACCAUUAGUUUUUUAUAUGGUGAGAGAAAUAUCAUAGUUAAUUUAAGAAGGGGUACUUCAGAAUUAUUAGGAAACUAUCGCCAGUAGUAAAUGGAUUCUCUCUGAAGUUGGGUUCAAACCAUAAGAUAUGUUUAAAUUAGAAGAAAUCUCACUGAAUGACUGAAUCUUUUCGUAUCAUUUUAAAUCUCACGAAUGAAUAAUUCCAUCAAUGGAUAUGGGAGAACUAGUAUUCCAAUUCCUUAGAAUGCUAGGAUUUGUGGGAGUUAUUUUGAUUCACUUCUUAAUUGUUGUCUUGCUAGUCUCUACAGAAAGAUGUGUAUUGAGGAAUCAUCUGUCUUGAUGUCAAAGGAGAUAGUUUGGUGAAUAUGAUUGUCUUUUAGAAUGUGAUUUAUUGUGGUUUAGUAUAGUUCCCGGAAUAAAUAAGCCAGGCGACAAAGGGCAUCGUUGCCUCAGAACUUUGGAAGGGCUGGAAAAGCCAUCUGAAAGCAAUCUAAUGAUAGUUCACUGUGAUAUACCAGUUGCACCAUCCAACUCAUUCUUCUAUAAUAUACUAGCAUAUGGCUUCUAAAUAAUAUGAGCUUUGUAUACUGAAGAUUGUAGAAGCUGGCAAAAUUACUGGGUAAUGAAUUUCCACUUAUAUAUGGUCUUGCUAGUAGAAUGCUAGAUCAAAUAUCUAGGAUAGAGACAAACAGAAUAGGAUGCACCCUUUGAUGAAAUAAAUAAAAUAGGUAAGAAUUAGUAAUAUAUCCAAAUCAAACCUCAUCCUUUUGGUGCUUUCAUUCCAUUCGUGGUCACGUCCUUUAUUUGAAACUUAACAUGUUUUUCAUGUGGUUAUGUAGAUCAAUAAACGCUAUUGUAGGCAAAAUUUGGGAGAGGAGAAUAGGAAAAUGUGUGAUAUCAUAUAUGCAUAAGUUGUAGUAGAAUGAAGGGAAAUAACUAGGUGUGAACGCAUAAAAUUUUUGAGAACAUGUUGGUUUUAAGGGCAUGCUGCUGUUGUGGGGCUUUUAUAGGGCGUGAGCUGUUUAAUUGGCUCAAAUACAAAACCCUCUCUUCCACUUCAGCAUGUGUGGCUGUGUCCCAAUUACGCCUGCAUAAAAAAUUGGAUCAAUUUCCACUAGGCAAUUUACCACUGUCUCAAUUAGGCCCCAAACUUUCAGGUAUUGUUGAAUUUGUUGUAAACUUCAUUGAAAUAUUUUGGCAUAACAUCCAUUUGAGUUGCAACUUAUAUAAUAGGUAUGAAACUAAAUAAAUAGAUUUUUCUUUACUAGAGCUAUCAAAAUUGGCAGUUUAUGAGAUAAUUCAUCCAAUUUAUGUGAUUAUGCAUUAUAAGCAUUACCACUGUCAUUCCCCAUUUUGAUGAAGUUUUAAUCCAAAUUUAAUUAUCACCCAAAAUUUUUUGGAUCUAUUUGAGAUAGUGGAAACGUCCAAGAUGGAAAUUGAUUUAAUUUUACAUGAAUGAGGAUAAUUGAGACAUGGAUGGAUUUGUGAUUUAGCUUGGUAAAUUUGUUGGUUGUGACAUUAUAUUUGUUAAAUAUAUCUGUAGGCUUCUUCCAAUCAAAUACCAAUCUAUUGGGUGCGGUACUAGAGCCAAUCAUGAGCUCCCAUCAUUUCGUGAGAUUGUGGGCUACAUUCCCCACUUUUAACAUAUAAUUGGUUAAAUUCCCACGUUACAUCGUAAUGGGUUACAUCACCAUCUCUUAGCUCAUAGUCAGUUCUGCAUGCCUUUCAUAUCCAUUAUGCAUGUGAAUGGGCAUGUGAAGUAUAUCUUUGGGCCGUUUUUUAUCAAAUAGGUCUGUUGGGUAAGGUAACAAUAUCUGAAGUUGAUGGUAGACAUAAGAUUACCCAUUAUCACUUGCAUUGUUUUACAUGAUGUCACUUGUGGAAGAAAGUGCUAACGGACAAACAAUUUGUUUGUUUUUUUUACUCAAAAUGCCUUUAAAUAAUCAUUGGACCUUGUUGACUCGUUCCUUUAUUCUGACGUCAACUAUAACUCCAUUGGUCCUCCUUCAAAGAAGCAAGUGCAACAAAAGAGAAGUUUUCUUUUUCAUCAUGUAUGGAAUGUGCCUAACUCCUAGUUGUCAGUACAUCUCUAAUUUUUCUUGAUGUCCCAAUUUCAAUCAUUAGAUAAGAUGCAUCAUUUGUACAAGGGUUCUUUAGUCAGUCUAGUUUUUUCCUCAAGAAUCAAUUAUCUAAGAAACUAAGAGCACGUUGAAGUGAUUCUCAUUUUUAGUGGCCAAUUAUGUGAUACCACAUUGAUGUAAUUCAUCCUUUGUUACAACUGUGGAAUAUGAAGAGCUGCCUCUAUCUCUUGUUAUAUUUAUCAUUGGUUAGAUAAUGCCAUUCUAUAAAAUAGCUUUGCCAUCUUAGACUUUUCGUGCUUAUUUCGGUUGAUCACAAUAGAUGAUUGGUAUUGGGGAAGACUGAAGUAUUACAGGAAGUAUCUCUUAUACCAAAUUACAAUGCAUCUAUACAUUGUAAGACAUAUGGAUUUACUUAGCAUGGGUUUUAUUUAGAUUGAAGCUGAUUCUAGAAUGUAGUGUUGUCAAAUAUUUUUUAACAUUAAAAUAUUCGCAUUUCAGGUUAAGUUUCUUUCAGUUUCUAGAGAGCUUGAAUCUAGAUGCAAAUUCGUUUUUAUGAUAAAAAUUGGUACUUCAAUCACAGAAGAAUGCCUGACGAAGCUAAGUAAUAACUAAUAUAUACCUGUAUAUAAAGUGCAUGGCAUAAAAGUACCAUUAUGCCGCAACAUUCAAGUUUGCGAUAUCAGAUUUGACUGUUACCCUUAAUAGAGGUUUUGCAAUUAGAUCUCUUGAAGAUUAAUUAAUUAUAACUACAUCCCUAAAUACAACUUUUUACAAAUAAAGUCCUUAAAAAUUAGUAUUUACAUAUAAGUCUCUUAAACAAAUAUACUUUAUAUGUACAGAUUUCGUGGAUCAAUCUUUGCCACUAUGUCUCUCAUAAAUUGCUUACACCAAAAAUUUGAUGAUUUUGACAUAUAGAAAUCUUAAAGCCCUGCGAAAAUUGCAUGUAGUGUUAUAAAAUUGUGUAGUUCUAUUUGCUACUUUUAUGUAUAGUCACUUAUAAAAUAGUCUUCUAGAGUUCCAGUAUUUAUGUAAAAAUUGUUAUUUAGAUUAGAUAUUUCAUAUUCGCAUAUUACCUCAUACAAAGUAAUUAAAAAUAUGUGUAAUAUUAAAAGAGUCUUACACUUAAUAACUCAAUAAAAUUUGCUAUUUAAAUUAGAUAUUUAUGUAUACUUUAUAAAUUCUAAUUAUUUGUACUCUAUUGAAAAAUAGUUUUACACUUACUGCUAUAUGAAAGUUGUUAUUUGAAUAUGCUGCUUUUAUUAUUGUAUGCAUCUUUUGCAUAUCGGUCACGUAGAUUAGGUACUGGCAUAAAUGUAUGACACGUAAAAUAUGACCUUUUGUUAUAUAAUCAUGCAAAAUUGGCUAUAAGUUAUACACACAAAUGCGCGCACGCACAGACACAGGCUUAGCCCACAUGCAAUUAAACAAUAUUUUAUGGGCCCGUUUGGCCUAGAUUUUGGAAAAUUGAUUUCUAUAUAAUUGAUUUUGGUUUGGAAAAGUGAUUUUUGUUAAAAGCUGUAGAGUGUUUGGCUGUCUGAUAGAAAAGUGAUUUUGCUGAAGUAAUUUUAGAAAGCUGUUUGGCAAAUUCUUUUGCUGAAGUGAUUUUGUAAUGCUGUUUAACAUUAGUCAUUUUUAAAACUAAUUAAUAUUACAUGCCAAUAUUUCAAGUUAUCUGUAACUAUUUAAUAUAACAAAUGUCACGCCCUAGGGCUGUUUUAGAAACCAGAGCUUGCAGAAAACGUGCCUUUUUUUUGUUUUAAAAAGAGCCUGGCCCACGUGGCAUACUGACCCGCCACAAAUGCAAAUUCCUCUGCUCACACGGAUAGAGUCUCCUUUGUAUUUGUAUGGCGUACCGGUCAAACAACAUCAACAGAAUCAUAACUCACAUCCUACAUUUACGAAAUCCACAAACAAUCAAUACGAUGCAUUUUCAUACAGCUAACCAUCCUUAAAAAUAAUCCAUGCCUCUAAGCACUCUUUAGGCGCUGGAUGUUGCGAUGCAAAAUACAACAAUCAUCCUAUUAAAAAUGCUUCCCACCUAGAAGCUUUGUCUUUUUAAAACUCUAAAUAUUUAUCAAUCGAAAACUAUUCAAAAAUCCUUUGAAAAGUGUUUCCCAGACGAGAAUUCAGUCUGUUGAAAACCGACUACCAUGAGGGGUAGAAAACCAAAUAACUUGAUUCCACGAGCCCAAAUACUGAAGAUAUAGAAAGCUCCAAGUACAUGCAUAAUCGAAAAUCCAAAUUCAUAUAAGUUCAAGGUUACCAUUCAUGCAUUAAUAUCCCGAUCAUCUAAUUGAACCAUUCGAUUAUUUAUAGUCUACUAAAAGAAGUAAAAAGAAAAGAACCGGGGUAAGGACCGGUAACGCGAUCUAGCUAUGCCGUCCUCACGUACUGUCCUGACCCUCAUCGCCCAAGCUACCUGAAAAACAGUUUGGGGUGAGAACAUGUGAACAAGUCUCCCCCUCCCAGUGGGUACCGCAAAUCGACGAAGGCAAGCUGUACACACCGGCAGAUGAAAGGGAUAAAUAGCAGUAGUAGCAAGAAAAUCAGAUAUAACAAUAACAAAUAGCAACUACCGCUAGUCCCAAAAGGAGUUACUACUGUAAAGUAAGAUAAUAAGGCAAUGGACAACUAUAAUUAGUAGUCAAACUAGUGUAGUAGCAAAAUAACUGAACAGAAAAUAAUUGUAACAAUAGUAUGGAGAACCACUACUGCAAAGAGAGAUAGAGAACGACUAUGCGUCAACUGAAAUAGAACAUAUAAGUAUACCCAAUCAAUUACCAUAUUGGUCUAAAUACCUCAUGCCACUCCCGCUCUAAUUGGCAUAUAACCCUAGCAUAAGCUCCUGGGCUCACGGGUUGGCACUUCCAAACAUUUUUCUGGAAAAGAACACUCUUGUGGUGGAUAAGACCGUUGGUGUACGUGAAAUGCGCACGAGCUGUAGCGAUCGAUGCAAUAUGCUCAAUAGCUAACAACGGCAACAAGUGGAUAGAACAAUCCACAACCAUAUCCGACCGAAUCAGGUCUAAAAUCUUCGAAGGAAUGUCACCAUGUCACUGACCUGUCAGGUUUAUAUAGCUAUAUUACCAAGUACAAAAUAUCAUCAACGACAGAGUCAUGCAAUGAUAAUCAAUCACUGGAAUGUUACUAUACCAUUAGAUCAAUUAUGAUACUACAAGACGAAACAACCGUAUAAUAGACCAACGAGUACCAGAUAGUAUGCAAGAUACCAAACAUAUGAUCAUGAUAAGCUAUGCAGUGCAAGACAUUGAACAUAUAAUCAUGAUACGUUAUGCAAUCCAAGAAGAGGAAAAAAGUAAGAAGUCACCGAGAAUGAGCCGCUGGACUGAUUUCGGAUCGAAGUACCUACCUGUACCAUAAGGAAAACUCGGGUUGUCGACCUUCAGCAGAUGCUUCCCGAAAUCACCCUUGUGUGGGGCCAAAGAAAUGUUCUUAUCCAUUGGUUAGUUGAAGGGCUGUUGGAAAAAAAUGUCUCCUUCUAAGCACGUGAUUAAAAGCACGACAUCUUAUCCCUUAUGUAAUGCAUACUUUUUCUUCUUCUCGAGAUCUGUCAUAUCAUUUAAUUUUUAUGGUGUUCCAAUCUAUUUCUAUGUUUCCAUAUACUUCUCUUUAAAUUCUUGUGCAGUUUUUAAUUUUAUACAAACUAACUAAUGAAAUUUAUUUUUCUAUCGUGUAAUUAUUUUUCAGAUUUUACUGCACUUAUUUGAAAGAGAUCAUCAAGUAAUUGAAUCCCUACACAACUAGUACAGAUUAAGGCUUGGACUCAAAAGUUGGAUGUAAAUUGUAUAUUGGUUAGCAGUUGCGUGUGCAAUUGCUCCCGUAAAUAAUUUAUCACGUUUAGCAAAUUCGUCUAAUGAAUACUUCAUUAAUAGAUUAUAAUAUGCAUGGCAUUUUGUUUUGGCUAUUAUAUUUAUCGCGACAUCACGAGUCCUUUUCCUUUGGUGCCACAUGUUGGGAUAAUAAGUAAAAGAAAAAUUUAAAUUCAAAUUAAAAAUAUAGUGAAAUUAAAUUGUGAUUUGAUUGCUGCUUUCCUUAGAGGGCUAGGUAGCAACAAGGAAAGAGAAAAAGAAAAUAUUGUUGUCUUAUUUUUAAAAAAUUUUGAAUUAUUUUCCAAAAUGAAGAGGUCCAAGAAUCACCAUAACUUGGACCAUGGGAUUUGAAAAAAAAGGUUUAGGGGAGAGAAGGGUAUCAUAAAAAAAAGAAAGAAAAAAAAGGAAAAAAAGGAGAGAGCUGUCACUUGGAAGGGCCCUGCCUCCCGCUCUCUCUCUCUCGUACGUACAAAGAAAGAGGGGUUUAGCGUCCCCUCUAUCAGACCAACAAAAAAAAAGCAAACAAAAAAAGGAUGAAGGCAUGGCGACGAUGUCGGCGACUGCAACGACUUCAACGAUGCAGGAGGAGGCCAUAUAUGGCCUCUUUUUCUUUUUCUUUUCUCCAAUGACGACGGGUUGGUGUAUACAUGCAAAUGGUAUAUUAGCGAUUCUUUUUGCCGGUUUGAUCACCACGACCGUCUUCGCUAUAGGUUGACCCAAUCAAAUCUGGCAUUGAAUCGUUACUAUAUCGUGCGUGCAUAUUCAUUAACCCCGUCUCACCCAACAUCGCCUCUAUUGUCAUGACAACGAAAGAACAAUAUGUGUUCACAAGCGAUGGUGAUAAUCCAUGUGUCGGGUUGAUCGAGCGGUCGUCUUCGCUAUAGGCUCGACACGUUCAAACUCGAUAUUGGAUCAUUACUCUCGUUGGAUCUUUGAUCAUACCGAGCGGCCGUCUUCGUGAUAGGAUCGAUAGUUGAAUCCCGAUACAAACCACAAUGAUAAUAAUAACAAUAAUAAUAAAUUAAUAAUAAGCUAAUAAAUAUUUUUCUUGGGUUGCCUUCCUCGUGAUAGGCUUGACCUGGGUCCGGUUCGCUAAGCCGGGUCGCCGUCCUCGUGAUAGGCUUGACCUAGAUUCGGUUCAUUAAACCGGGUCACCGUCCUCGUGAUAGGCUUGACAUGGGUCCGGUUUGCUAAGCCGGGUUGCCGUCCUUGUGAUAGGCUUGACCGGGAUUCGGUUCAUUAAAUCAGGUCACCGUCCUCAUGAUAGGCUUGGCCUGGGUCCGGCUCGCUAAGCCGGGUUGCCAUCUUCGUGAUAGGCUUGACUCGGGUUCUGUUCAUUUAAUCGGGUCGCCGUCUUCAUAAUAGGCUUUACCCGGAUUCGGUUUAUUAAACCGGGUCGUCGUCCUCGUGAUUGGCUUGAACCGGGUCAUGUUUGCUAAGCCUAGGUCACCGUUCUCAUGAUAGGCUAGACCUAGUUCUGGUUCAUUUAACCUAGUCGCCGUCUUCGUGAUACGCUUGAUCUGGGUUCGGUUCAUUAAACUGGGUCGCUAUCCUUGUGAUGGGCUUGAUUCGGAUCCAGUUCGCUAAGCCGUUUUGUCGUCCUCGUGAUAGGCUUGAUCCGGAUCUGGUUCGCUAAGUCGGGUCGUCGUUCUCGUGAUAGGCUUGACUGGCUCCGGGUCAUUUAAUCGAGUCACCUUCUUCAUGAUAGGCUUGAUUCCUGUUAGGUUCAUUAAAUCGGGUCGCCGUCCUCAUGAUAGGCUUGACUUGGGUCUGGCUCGCUAAGUCGGGUUGUCGUCCUCGUGAUAGGCUUGACCCAAGGUUUGGUUUGUUAAACAAAAUCACCAUCCCUGUGAUAGGUGUUAUUCCGGUUUGGUUUGUUAAACCAAAUUGCGGUCUUCGUGAUAGGCUUAAUUUGGGUGAACCAAACUAUAAUGAUGAAUCAAACUGGACGAUAGGCUUGUUCAGUCUAAUCAAAGGGUCUAACUUAUACGAAUUAUUGACUGGUCGCCUUAAAUUGAACCAUUGAAGGCAUUAACAGAACCGAACCGAAUUAUAAGCCGGUUUAACUCAAACUAAACCAUAAAGGAUCUAAUAUGAACCGAAUCAUAAGCCAGCUCAACCUAAUUGAAUCACAGAAGGUUCGAGCCAAGCCAAACCGAACUAUAAGCUGGUUCAACCCAAACUCAACUGCAGAAAGUUCAAUCUGAGCUGAACCAUAAAGGAUUCAAUUUGAACCUAAGAAGGUUCAAUCCGAACCGAUAUAAAGGAUUCAACUUGAACCUAUGCAGAUCUAAUCUGAACCGAAUCAUAAAGGAUCCAAUUUGUACCUAAGCGGAUUCAAUCUGAAGCGAACUACAAAGGAUUCAAUUUAAACCUAAGCGGAUUCAAUCUGAACCGAAUCAUGAAGAGUUCAACUCGAACCUAAGCAGAUUCAAUCUAAACUGAACUACAUGAAGUUCGAGCCGAACUGAACCAAACCAUUAGCCGGUUCGACUUAAAUCGAAGUAUAAAAGUAUUCAAGUUGAACUACAAAUUGGUUCAACUCAAACUUAACCCAAGAGGUUUCAAGUUGAGAUGACAUGUAAGAGCUCAAUUUAAAUCAAACUCAAACAGACCUUGAACCAAACCAGGGGUUUGAUCUGAACUAAAUUGAACAAUGAGAGUGUCCAAACUGAGCCGAGAUAUAAAGGCUCAACGCAAACCAAAAUUAAAGGGGACUUGAACUAAGUCACAAAGGUUCAACCCAAACCAAAUCCAAAAAGGCCAAAAAAGCCUAAGCUUAAAUCAAAUCAAAUACAUAGAGUUCAAAUCAAUUCAACUUGAACCAACCGGGAUGAUUCGAAUUAAGUAAACUAUCUCCACCUGAACCGAAACAGGUCAACGGUUCAAUCCGAGCUAAAUUCAAUUUGACUGGCUAAGUCAACUUAAUCGAUUCACAAGUCGGAAUCAAAUGACCGGCAAGUCGUUAAACUAAAUAAAUGGCUGUCAAGUCGUUAAACUGAAUAAGUGAUCGCCAAGUCAUUAAACUGAAUAAAUGAUUGUCAAGUCGUUAAACUGAAAAAGUAACUGCCAAGUUGUUAAACUGAGCAAAUUAAAUCAAACUCUUUGUGAUCGCCAAGUCGUUAAACUGAGCAAAUCAAAUCAAACUCUUUGUGACUGCCAAGUCGUUAAACUAAGCAAAUCAAACCAAACUCAUUUUGAUUUGACUGCCAAGUCGUUAAACUGAGCAAAGCAAAUCAAAUUCUUCUUGACCGUCAAGUUGUUAAACUGAGUAAAUCAAACCAAACUCAUUUUUGAUUUGACCGCCAAGUCGUUAAACUGAGCUAAUCAUUUCGACUGCCAAGUCGUUAAACUGAGCAAAUUUAAAUUCAAUCUCAACUCAAUUUUGAUCGCCAAGUCCAUAAACUGAGCAUCUUUGUUUUAAAAAAUUCAUAUAUAGUGGGGUUAUGGCCCUGGAUAAGCCAUGUACACAACAAAUUAUAUGAAUAAAGCUUUAUCUUAUGCUUCGUUUUCUUUUUUAUUAGCAUUUAAAUUUAGUUUCUUAAUCGAGGGUUCCUUAACACUGCAAGUGUGAGGUAGUUAACCAAGGUAUUAAGUGCCGUCUCGUGCCGUACGGCAUGGGGCGUGUCGUACCGUGCCCCCAAGAAGGGGGCGCGAUACCGGGGGGUCUAGGAACCUCCCCCCCCCGGGGUGCCGCGGCACAUGGCCGCGUGCAGCACGAGACAAAGCGGCACGCGACCAUGUGCCGGGUGCCACGGCACUAUGCCGGCGUGCCGCCCUCUUUUUUUCUUUUUUUCUUUUUCGCCCCCGCCCCCCCAAUCGUAUAUGCCCUUUUUUACAGCUGCUCUCUUUUUUGACAUUGUGUUGUCUUUUUGUCAACUUUUUUUUUUCUUUUUGGCUGAUGCCUUUUUUUUUUUGCCUUUUGGCUUUUUCUUUUGACUUUAUUUUUCUUUUGUUAAAUUAAAAAUUUAUAAUUUAACUUGUUAUUUAUCAAUAUAGAAGCAAAUUUUUAGUUGACAAAUCCGAUCCAUACCGCGAGGGGCUUCGUUUUCACCACAGACAUCCAUUUUUUCUUCGCAAAUUAUUUUGUCAAAAUUUGUCGCAUCGUGAAGUUUUCGAUGAAUCGGGGGAACAAAAAUCAAUCUCCUAAACAAAUUUAGAUUAGAUAUUUUUUAAAAGAAUAAAAAAUAAAAAAAAUAUGGAUGUAAUUGCGGUACUAUUCUGGUUGUUCUAGUUAUUACAUGCUUUCUAAUCGAAUCAAUAUAUAGAUCUUGAAACGUUUUUAGAAAAAAUAAAAUUUUCUGUCAUUUUAUCUGUUAUAAUUUUUUUAAUUCUAAAAAAAUUAAAAACAAAAGAAUUUUCAAAUGUUACAGCAAGUAUAGUUGUACUUUUCAAAUAAAAACAAAAAAAUAAAAACAAAAGAAUUUUAAUUUCUAUUCUACAUCAGGUAUAGUUGUACUUUAUAUACAAAAUGCUUACAUGCAUGUUAAUUGAUGAGUAUAGUAAGUUAUACAUAGCAAAUAUUAAUAAUUAUUUGUCUAAAUCUUUCAAAAUAACAUUAUAAAAGUUUAUUGGAACAAAAAAAAACUUAAAUAAACCCGUGCCAAAGCGUGCUAAUAGGAGGUCAUGCGUAUCCAUCGGCACGCACGCGUACCACGUGUCGGCACGGAAGUGUGCCGUGCCGUAUCGUGCCAGAGAAAGAGCGGCACGCCCCCGUGCCACGGCACUUUAAACCUUAUAGUUAACAGCAGAUUCUUAAAUCUGCUGGAAGCCAUGGAUCUACAAUCUUGAUUUCAAAAUAAAAAUUUAAAUAAAUUUAAUCUCUAUCAUGAAUGACCACUUGCCGGAAACAAGCUUGUGGCGGGUCGGGCUGUUCGUGGUGGCGGACACCACACCCCUUAUGCUUGUCUACUUUUCUAUCUUGAAUGUAGUAAGGACAUAAUUUAAAUUUAAAAGUGAGAAAAUAGUAAUUUUAAAAUGAUCAAGCAGAUAGCAAAAGAAGGAAAUAAAUAAAUUAUAUUAGUGAAGAUGAUGCUAACUUUUACCGUUGCUCAUUGUAGUUUAAUUCACAAUCAUCCAAGUUGCCAUAUUGGUGUUCCCUAGAACCGGAAAUCUUUCUAAGGCUUCACUAAGAUGAAAAUAGGGGGUAAUAUAGAAUGGAAGUCAAAAAUGGAUCUUAGAGUAGUGGCCCGAGGUUUUUCAAUCUAGCAUACAUGUUAGCACUAUAAUUUUGUGAUUUGGUAAUAUUUCAUCUCUCUUUCUGAGUGUUGAAGAGCUGAGUUGACUUACGUAUUUGCAUUCUCAUUCUUGUUAACUGCAUUAAUAGUAUGUUCUUUACUAGAUUAGAACUCAUCCAAGAAUUUGGCCUCUUAGACAACUUGAUAUUUAUGUAACUAUAUGAUCACUGCAUAUAAUCAAAUCAAAGGUAAAAGAACAUAAAGAUCUCUUUAACAUUUAUAUAAUAUAAUAAUUGUCUCUUGGGAGGUCACUUUUGGCCUAAUUCUCCCGGGUUACAGUUGCUUGAACCAGCUUUAUAAUUAAUGACCUACUCUUUCUUAAAACCCCAAAAUAUUCUUGUGUUUUAAAAAUCAAGUUUGAUGGAACUUUGGGGCGAGUCUGAAACUCUGAAUUUUCAUCUAAUCAAGUUGUUCAAUGCUUUUCGAGCUUGGUUCAGCUUGAAUUUAGCUUGAAACAAGCUGAUACAUGAUAUAUUGAGACAAGCUGAUAUAUUGAGACAGCUAUACAUGAUAGUCAUUCAUCAUUCUACUAAUCUGAAGUUUUAUACUUUUGUUAUGCGCCUGGUUAUAGUUGAUUCACGCCUUCACCUUGUCUUGCAGGGCUGCAAGCCGCAGAUGAUCCCAUCCGAAUAAGUGGAGUGAAUAAACGCGGGUGGAAGUAUAUAAAAGAAUCUCAGAAGAAAAAGGAUUCGCCGUCGAAAGCAGAGGAAGUAAGCUUGGCCUAAUCAUAGUGUUUCUGCACCACUACACAUCCGCAUUGUUAUGUUGUCCUAACUGUUUUGUUGUUCAAAGAUCAUAUGCGAACUUGUUCUUUUGACUAAGGAAUAUGGCGAAUUUUAUUUCUUCAUCAUGGCAAUUUUCUGAGACAUAAAAACUGAUGAAGUAGAUGGAGAUAUUUUGAUUUUUUAUGAAAAGCAUUAAUACCUCUUGAUACAUGGGGAAUAAAUUUGUGGGCUCGAUCUUCAUAAACUGGCUUCGUACUAUAGUUUUUCCCGGCACUGUUGGACAUUUCGACCUAUUUUACUUGAAGAGGUAUUCUUUCUCUGUAGUUCUUCAUGAGCUGACUCCAUUUUUGUUUUCUUAUCUGUUUGUUUAAGUUUAGUUUUAUCUUCUGUUCACUUCAUUUGAACUGUCGAGAUUCUUUUCAAACUUAUAUUAAACGAAAGAAAGUGUUAGAAUUCUUUCGUUUCUCUUCUUUGUUAAACUCAUUCUUUCUUGUAUAAAAGAGGUAUAGGCAAAGUAAGCCGAUGAAGCAAAAGACAAAUCUUUAUAACAAACUCUCUUGAUUUGCAUGGAGUCACAGAUGCAUCCGUGAGAUUGUAUACCCAAAUCCGGCACAAUGUUACCAGAACUUAGGACUUUCGUGUCAGACUCUUACCAAUCAUCAAAAUUGGCUCUGUAGCAGUGAAAGCUUGUUGCUAUUAAUAGCACCGCAAUCUAAUAGGAGAGCUGAUUUGUCGCGCACCCUGUAUUUCCAAAGCGUACAAUAAAAAUCACCUGUCAAUAAUUCUAGAAGAGUCCGCAACUAAGCAAGUUAACAGGUAUAGCAGCUUGUGUUUUUAACAUAACCAGUCUAAUAAUACCAUAUAAAUCAUACAUUCACCAAUACAUUAUAAAUACUGCUGUUAUGCAUAUACUAUCCAUAGGGUCCUCUAUUAAUAAUCACCAAGAGAGGAGAUGCUAUCUAGCUCGUUAUUUCCUUUUCUUGAUCUAUAGUUGUCGCUGGUGUUGAAUGAUCUGAAAAGAAAUAAUAAAGAAGAGCGCGAGAACUAUAAUCAAUAGUUUUCAGUGAGUGCAAUGAUGACAACGACGACCUACACCACUAGGUCUAUCAGAGACCAGAAUAGCAAAUAGACGGAAAAGAGUGAGUAACAUUACAUAAUAUGAAACAAAUUGGUAAAUACUGUAUUAUCAUGUCUCUAAAGUAGCAAAAAAAUAAAAAAAAAAAAACAAUAGGAAUGCCUCUGCCACGAUCAUAUCCCUAUAUAAAAUAAAUUAGUGGCAAAGGUCAUCAUGCUUCAACUGAAUAUCAAGUAAGCAAAUUCAUACAACUAAAUUGCAUCAGCCAGCCCAUAGGUCCGGGAAAGCCUGCGUCGCCACAUGCCGGUAACCACACUAACCUAGUGGCUUGGCCCUGCAUGCGUACACCUAACAUAUCUAGUUAGCCGCCACAGCUUCGGAGGAGCACUUGUGGGGCACGACCCCACCGAUACUCAAUGUCACAUCGCUCGUGAUUGAGCCCAAUCCGGUCCAAUGCAGACUAUGGUCAUGUGCAAUGAUCAAACACAUUCAGCUGUACAAGUUUCUCAGUCAUAAUCGAUGUUAUAUGUCCACAGUCUGUCUAUAAUCGUUUUAUCAAUUUUACAAUUUUGCACGCAUCUCAGUAUCUAAAUAGAAAUAGUACAACAUGAGUAAAGAAUCUCAAUCUAUAUAAACAUCAUAGCAUUGAUUUCAUGUGAUAUCAAGUACGGAUACAUGGAAAUACAGAGAAGGGAACAACUACAAUAAUAAUACUAACAGAAAUCUCAUAAAUGUCAUAGGUGAAAAAAAAUAGGCAUAGUGAAUUGUUCACUAUGUUCGGCGAUUUGAAACCCACCCGGAAUACUACUGUCAAUGGGAAUUGAAAAGGGAAAAGCUUAGCACUAGAAUUACUACCAAAAUACAGUGAAAAUCAACUCCUAAAAAUGCAUAGCAUACUAAAAUCAUUCCCUGAAUAUAUAAUCGUAAAAAGUCUCAACUAAAAUCCAAUUUAAAUAUUAUGCUUACUUCCAAAAGUGCAUUCUCAAAUCGUUGCUUCGAUCACAAAUUCGUCACAGGCUCAAACUUUUUCUUUUUCCCUUUCUCUAUCUCCCUCACUCACUCUCUCUUUCUGUGUCUCUGUGCGUGCAAAACAAAAAAAGAACCCCUCAGCUAACCUUUUGUUAAAGAUAUGCCUUCUUUUUUGGUUUGGUUCACACACCGGAUUUAUGGAAAAAUAAAAAGGAUCUCAUAAGGAUUUAUUUUUGGUGGAUCCUAAUUUAAAUUGGAAUCCUAGGUGGACUAGGAUUGAUUUCCAUAUAAGACUCUAUAUUUAAUUAUCACAUUGAAUUAGAGUGGGAUUAAACUAAUCCAUAUAUAUAUAUAUAUAUAUAUAUAUAUAUAUAUAUAUAUAUAUAUANAAGGUGGGAUUCACCAUAAGGUUCUUGGUUUUUUAUCCGGAGAAGACAUAAGGUGUAAGCUUGUACUUCUAUUUCUUCAUAUAGUGGAAUACAUCUCUCUCGCUCUCCCCGUGGACGUAGGCAAUUGCUGAACCACGUAAAUCUUGGUUUCUUCUUUCUGCAUUUAUUUCUUUUACCGUUCGGUCGAUUUUCUCUAUUUUUCGUGCAUCUUUGUUGGUAGCACAUGACGGACGAUCCAUCCGGUUCCCAACACCUUUAUAAUGUAAUAAUUGCAUAUAAGCCCUACAAGUUACAAAAUUUUCAUUUUUGGCCAAAACAGGACAUUUCGUCAUCCAAAUCCUCCUGUUCAAGCCCUUUUCGGAUGCCCCAUGUUGCACCCGGCAGUCCAAAACUUUUCGUGGGCACGUUGGAAUUACUUUCCAUGCGCUAGGUUCCAAUGUCUAAAAACAUAAUCAUUACUUUUGAUGCACCGCGGACUAAAUUCCAGAUUGCUACAGUAACACGGGCAUUUGUAUUCAGGGCCUGAAAUCCGUUCGGAUGCACCUUGGGCAUUUUCGGGCGGUCCAAAGUGAGAUCCAGGAUUGAAUUAGCCUAGAUAUAGCAUUUUUGAGUGCCCAAAUCAUGAUUCUGGCAGCUAGAAAGUCACCGGAAAGUCCAAUUUUUCCCUAAUCUAAUUUCUAAUCUUGUUUCUACGUCAAUUUCACACCCAAAUGGUUUUAACUCAGUCUAGCAAUCUAAUAGUCUACUCACUAGUGGCUCAAAAUGUAAUUUUGUCAAUUUGCUAAAGUUCAGAAUGUUACAUUCUUUCCUCAUACAAAAAGUUUCAUCCUCAAAAUUUAAAAUACAAACCUCAAUCCUUGAAUAAGUGGGGAUAGAUCUCCCGCAUCUACUUCUCCAGUUCUCGGGUGGUAUCUCACUCUUCAUAAGUCAUCUUUAUAAUCCAUUACAUCUUGAUAGAUUUUGAGCCUUAGAUUAUUUUUGAUGACUUCAUUUUGAAGUGUAUAUGAAUAAAAAAAUAUUAUUAUAUUUUAUCUAUAUUUUGGUAAUUUUAUAGUGAAAUUCUUAAUUUCUAUGAAAUUGAUGUGGAUUGAAAGAAAUCUAUGUGAAUUUAUCAUGUUCAUGCACUAACAUUAUUAUUUUCACAAUGCAAUCAUCAUAUUCUAAACUCUUUCGAUAAUGUUCAUAAAUCACCACUAAUUUUAUAUAAACUUAGUGGUAAGUCUUUAGAUAAAAAGUGAUUUAAAAUAUAAAAAUUAAGUUUUCCAAGUUUCAGAUUCCGAAAUCUGAAAGCAAGUUUUGGAACCCGUAAGCUUCCCUAGCUGUCACGUAGGGAGGUUUCGGAACCUGAAAGCAAGUUCCGGAACCUGAAAGCAAGUUCCGGAACCCGUAAGCUUCUCUGUCUGUCACGCAGGGAGGUUUUGGAAUCUGGAAGCAAGUUCCGAAACAUAAUGGAAGUUCCGGAACCUUAACAAGUUGUAAGUUUUUGGAAUCCUAUUUUCAAUCCUAAUUUGAUUCUAAUGUCUUCUAAACCUAUAAAUAAGAUAUGGGGGUGUCUCUAAAAUAUAGUUAAGCAUAUUUUAUCUUUUAGAAAUUGUAGAAGCUUGUAGGUAGCCAUCCUUCUCAUAUUCUACAACAAGUUUUUCUCAAAUUGAUUAUCGGUGCCCUAAUUCUUAAUGUUCUUCUAGAAUUAAUUUGAGAAUUGCUUAGAGAUUAUUCCCACAAAUCUUUAGUGAUAUUCUAAGUAAUAAAUCAUCAUCGACCGUAUUGUUUUUGUUCCGGAUGGAGUGCGCUCGUGGAUUCGAGUGGGCGUCGUUGAUUCGGUAUGAUCAAGGCUUCGUGGAUUCAAAGUUAGGCAUCUCGUGGAUUCGGAACGUGGCUGUAGUACACUGAACCUUGGCAAAUUGCAAGGUUCCAGUGUAAGAAUAGUACUUUAAGCUAUUCGUAGUGUUUUGAGGGUCAUUGACUGUGUACCGACCUAUUCCUUGUGUUUCGUGAACAUGAGAAGGAGUUCUUAAUACCAAAAUUUGCAAACUGUAGGUUUGGGGUGUUGAGUACCGAUACCUGAGUGGGGGUACUAGAACCCCAUUGCGUGACAGAGAAGGCUACUCUCAGGUUUGAGCAUUAGGGUACUGAGUAUCGAUACGGGGUCGGCGUGUACCGGUACUGGGCUGGGUACCGGUGCUGUAUCGAGCUGGUACCGGUACACCGUAAUUAACCUGAUUGUUCGAGGCUCGAGUUCUGCGAGUCUGGGUGCCGGGUACCAGUACUCCAAUUCGAGUACUGGUACUCAAUGCCGAAAAUUGCAUUUCAUGCAGUUUGCAUUUUGGGAGUUUUUGAGGGUCUUUUUGGAGAUUGUUACAUUACUAUAUAACCCCCAACACACUCAUUCGGUGUUCUCUUGUGCUAGAACCAGAGAAAGGAGGUUGGUGAGCUUCCUCUCUUCCUCUCUCUAGAUUUCGUCUCUUUUGUUGGUGAAAUUAGUUAAUUGAUCUCUCUUUUCCUCUCAUUUUCUUUGGACGAGUGUGCUUGAACCUUAGAGAAGUCUUGGAUUGGAGGAAAAAAGCUUUGUUGAGAAACUAUCUCCAACUCUAGCUCCAUCUUGGCUUGAUUUGGAGCUCUAUUGAGGAUUAGUUACCUAGUUGCUCUUUUGGAUUGUGCUUUUGGAGGAGUUUUUGGAGUUUAACCUAGUUUUUAGAAAACUAGGGUUUAAAUUAGGUUUUCUCUUGGUAGUCUUUGCGGCUUAAUUGAUGGUUCAAAAGCUUCCUUUUAUGUUGGAAUUGAAGCAUCACAAACUCCAUUGAAAUUUUAGAAGAGUUUUUUUCCAUUUAAGGUAUUUUCUACUUAUUUUUUGUAUUUUUGGAAAAUUUCGUGGGAAGGUUGUUAGAAGCUUCUAACCCACCUAGAAUUUUUGUUAGGGUGCUAGGAGGCUAAGACAACUUCGUUCGCGUAAACGAAGAAAUUCGAGGAGUAUCCGGUGGGUUUGACCUCACCGAAAUGGGUGAACUUCUCUUAUAUCAUUCUUUGUAUUCUAAAAUUAAAAUUUAUGCAUAUUUAUGCUAGAUGUAGCAUAAAUAAAUUUUUGAAUGCUUAAGAUGUGCAUCCCACAUAGAAAGUUUUAUGUUCUCUAUAUAGUAGAGAGUGUUGUAUAUUGGAAUUUGUACACUAAAUGACAAUCCUUAUGCCAUGCUAGAAAUCAUGUUAGGAUUGGUGAAAUGAAAGGUUAACAUACUUGUGUAGACAAGGGAAUAUGACUUUUGCAUGAUAAAGUAGCAUGAACUUCAUAUGGGUAUAUUUGACCUAGUUAAAUGACUAAACAUCUACAAAGUGACAUAGAAUCCGAUCUUCGGGUCGUUAGUGUUUGUACCAUAUUUUAGAUAUGAUGACCAAGAACUCUAUAUGGUUGAUCACACUUGCUUGCCAUUGUACUAAUUCGCACAAGCUUGUGAGGGUCGCUCCCUACAAGUCGGCACUCCGAAGUUAGCCUACGUGACAACAUGCUCACCGUGCGGGAUUGGGAGCCGAAAUGGAUUGCCGUAGGCGAGGCUCAUUCCUAGAGGGGGAAUGUUGACUACCACGCGGCCAUAAGGCACGGUGCAAGCCGAACUACACUUGUGUAGGUCCUAGUUGAAUUGAACAAUAACAAUGAAAUGUGUAAUGUAACCAUCAUUAUUAGAUAGUGUAUACUAGUUGGACAUGCUCAUUCAUGAUAGUGUAGCUUUAAUACUUGUUAAAUAACAUGUUAAUUGGAGGCAUAGUAGCUUACUAAUUCAAUACUUGUUUAACAAUCAUGUUAUCUCUUUAGUUAUGCUUAUUUACUACUUAUGUCUUAGUGAGCUAGCGGUGUAAUUCGCUAAUAUCAGCGGCUUACCCACUGAAAACUAUUGACUAAUAGUUCUCAUUCCCAUUUUGUUGAUGUUUUUGUUUACAUAGCCAUCCACAGUGGGAGAGGCUAGGGAUCGCGGAAAGGGGAUCGCGUCUAGCUAGACUUAGCUUGGAGAUCCUGCUAGGUGCUCACCUCUCUUUUCGUUUUAGUUGGAGAGGUAUUUUACCCUUGAUGUAUAGAGACUACCAUGUGUUCUUAGUCUUUUAAUUUUGUGGUUUCCUUGAUGUAUGUAUAUUGAGGAUUAUUGUUAUCUAGUUAUUUACUUUUCUUGUUACUUGUCAUUAGAGAGUAGUUUAUGUUUUAUGCUCUGAUAUCAUAUUAGAUGUUGUUAUUUUCUUGUGUUAUUUCUAGCAUGUUGUUGUAGAUGCCUUGUAUGCACCUGGCAUAUAGCGGGUCUGUGCACGUACUGGGAAGGCUUCCGUUGGGGCCGGGCGUGACAGAUUAUAUUGGUAUCAGAGCUUAGGGUUGAGUCUUAGUGAACCUAGCAAAUCUUAUGCCAGUUGAACUAUAGGAAAUAGGCUCGUGAGAGACGGGUUCUAGUUGACUAUUGAGCGAAAGUAUUAUGAUUGGGUUAUAAUUAAUUCUGAAAUGUUGGAGUUUAAUCGAAGUGUGCAACUUCUAACUGCAUGGAAGGUCAUGUUGGCGGCGGACAACGUGACAUCGGGAGUUAGUAGUGAGGCUCACUUCAUUACUUUCGCAUGAUUCGGAUGUUAUUUUUGUUGAGUGGGGUUGUGAUAGCAUGGGUUUUACUAACUUUCACUUGUAAUGUUUGUUGUAGCUCGAGAUGCCUUCGACUGGUUCUAGGAUUGCCGGGGCGGCUAAGGCAGCCGAUGCUGAGGAGGUGGAGACCUCCGCUACCACCGGAUUUAGUGAUGUCCGUGAGUUGAGGGAUCAGCUUUCAGUAUUGACGGACUUGGUGGCGCAGCAGGUGGCGGCGGCUUAGCAACAAGCCGAUGUAGCACGCCGACAGGAGGCAAGAAUGAAAUGACUGGAGAUUUAUUACUCGAGCAGGCAACUACCAGGGUGGCCCAGGAUCCUACACCGCCAGUGCCGGUAGAAGAUGUGACUGCGAGGGCACAGUCACCAGCGCCUGGUACUUCACGUGCAGCUCGGAGCACCAAGUCUCGGGAGGAGGUGGUAGCGACACUGCUGGUUCAGAUGCCCCCGGCAAGGACAGUUUUCCUAUGAUGGUAUCUGGAAAGGAGUGGGAUUGACUGAUGGAUCGCCUCAAUGAAUUCAGGAGGUGCAAUCCGCGAAUCUUUGACGGGAAAAAGGCAGACCAUUGGAUUGUGGAGAAAUGAUUGAUGCACAUGGAGAAGUUCUUUUAUGAUACCUUUGUCGAGGAGCGGGACAGGGUUUGGCUCGCCACACACCACUUGGACGGCGAGGCCUAUCGUUGGUGGAUGGAUAUUCAUGAUGAUCCAAACACCGACUUGGCGGCAAUCACUUGGAAGCGGUUCAAGGAGUUGUUGCUAUCGACGUACUUCCCGUAGAGCGUCAAGCGAUAGAUGGAGAGAGAUUUGCGCAGCUUGCGCCAGGGGGAUCAGACUGUGGCUGAGUACGAGCGUGAGUUCUCUCGAUUGUUAUACUAUGUACCCUUUGUAGUGAGAGAUGAUGAGGACAAGGCCUGUAUUUUUGAGGUGGGCCUUUGACCAUUGAUAUUUCGCAUUGUUCAGUCGUCGAAUUUACCUACUUAUCGGGAGGUGGUGAAUCGCGCGCUUAUUGUGGAGAAAGGCGCGACGGAUGUAUAGGAGAGUCGAGAAAACUUCGAUAAGGGAAAGGGAAAGAGAUCUGCGGCUGAGGGUGCAAGCCAGAUGCACUCUAGGAGGCCGCCGAGACACCCGAGGAGCGAGUUGCGAGGGCGUGGCUCGUCCGCAUACCGUGGAGGAUUUGAUCGUCGCCAGGCUCUGCGUUGUGUUAUCUGCGGUGGUCCCCAUAUUCCACCACAGUGCCCACAGCGUGGAGGCAUGUGCUUCCUUUAUGGCCAUGAGGGCCAUUUCCGGACCGAGUGCCCAAGGGGUUCGUCACCAGGACCGUCUUCUGCGUCGGCAGCAGCUUUGCCAGCCUCUAGCCAGGGGACUCCAUCGACGCACUACCAGUCUGGGCGGCCGCUUGUCCAACGUUAUACUGAGGGGUCACGACAAGCCCCGAGCGGCAGCAUGUACACGGCUCAGACAGAGGAGGCGGCGGCAGCCGAGAAUGUGGUGGCAGGUAUUAUUUUAUUAAAUGGCAUUAGAGUUUGAGCUUUGUUUGAUACCGGUGCAUCGCAUUCAUUCAUAGAUCGGCUAUUUGCCGAGUUGCAUGGCAUCCCAUUAGUAUCUUUGUUGCAUUCUGGACGUGUUGUUGUACCCGACCACACCUUGGACAUUCGGGAGUUUUGCCCCAGUUGCCCAGUUUGGGUAGGAGAUUGGAUUAUGCCCGUGGAUUUGCUAGCAUUGCAUAAACUUGGAGAGUUUGAUGUGAUUUUGGGUAUGGAUUGGCUGACCAAGUAUUAUGCCACUAUCGAGAAUCGCAUAGUGACUUUUAGAGAACCGGGUCAGGAGGAAGUGGUAUUCAGGGGAUGUCAGAGCUCGCUGUUUGCGAUGACGAUUAGCUCUUCGCGAGCUAGGCAGUUAAUUAGUAGGGGUUGUGUUACCUUUUUGGUUGAGCUGAGGGGUGAUGAUACCCUUAGGAUUGAGGAUAUUUCGGUGGUAUGGGAGUUUUGUGAUGUGUUUCCAGCUGAGCUAUCAGGCAUGACACCUGAUAGGGAGAUUGAGUUUGUAGUAGAUCUCGUUCCUGGGACUACCCCAAUCUCAAAGGCAUUCUAUAGGAUGGCACCCGCUGAGUUGGAAAAGCUGAGGUUACAGCUGCAGGAUUUGUUGGAUAAAGGUUUUAUUCGACCGAGCGUCUCACCUUGGGAAGCACCAGUUUUGUUCAUCAAGAAGAAGGACGGAUCACUUCGAUUAUGCGUGAAUUAUCGUGAGCUUAAUAAAGUCACGAUCAAGAAUAAGUAUCCGUUACCGAUGAUUGACGACUUAUUUGAUCAGCUUCAAGAAUCGAGAGUGUAUUCCAAUAUAGACUUGCAGUCGGAAUACCACCUGUUAAAGUUUAAGCCAGAGAAUGUGUCGAAGACGGCUUUUAGAACGCGGUAUGGACAUUAUGAGUUCACCGUUAUGUUGUUUGGGCUUACUAAUGCCCCGGUAACUUUUAUGGAUCUAAUGAAUCGUAUUUUAAGCCUUAUCUAGACAGGUUUGUCGUGGUGUUCAUCGACGACAUUUUGGUUUAUUCCCGAAGUGAUAAGGAUCAUGAAGAGCAUUUAAGACUUGUACUUCAAAUGCUUCGCGAAAAAAAGCUCUUUGCCAAGUUAAGGAAAUGUGAGUUUUGGCUUCGAGAAGUAGCAUUUUUGGGACACUUGAUCUCGGAAUCGGGUAUAGCCGUGGAUCCUAAAAAGAUUGAUGCUAUCAAGGAUUGGCCGAGACUGUCUAGUGUCACUGAGAUUCGGAGCUUCCUUGGACUAGUCGGCUACUACCGGAGAUUCGUCGAGGGCUUUCCUAAGUUAUCUACUCCCCUCACGCGGCUCACGCACAAGGACACUAAGUUCAUAUGGAAUGAUACGUGCGAGAUGGCUUUCAAGAGUUGAAGGAACGAUUCACGACCGCCCCAAUCUUGACCUUGCCAGUUGCUGGAGCAGGAUAUGUGAUUUAUAUCGAUGCAUCUUUUAAUGGAUUGGGAUGUGUCUUGAUACAGGAUGGAAAGGUGAUCGCGUAUGCCUCUCGCCAAUUGAAGGAUUAUGAGAGAAAUUAUCCUACUCAUGAUUUGGAGUUGGCAGCCGUAGUCUUUGCAUUAAAGCUAUGGCGUCAUUAUCUUUGAGCGGUGUGAAGUAUAUACGGAUCACAAGAGCUUAAAGUAUCUUUUCACUCAGAAGGAGUUGAACUUGAGGCAGCGCAGAUGGUUGGAGCUGCUCAAGGAUUAUGAUUUGACGAUUCUCUACUAUCCGGGUAAGGCUAACGUGGUGGCGGAUGCUCUAAGCCGGAAAUCAACGAAAAAUUUGGCAAUGAUUGUAGCCUCGGAACCACCGUUAAUUGAACAGAUGAAACAGUUAGAGUUGGAGGUGGUGGCUCCUGAUACACCCUUGAGAUUGAUGGCUUUAGUGGUGCAACCUACCUUAUUGGAAAGGAUAAAAGAAAAGCAAGUUCACGACGUGGAAUUGCAAAAGAUUCGAGCUAAAAUGGUUGAUGGUUACACUGGUGAUUUUCUUAUGGAUGAUUAAGGGUUGUUACGUUUCCACGAUCGGAUUUGCGUACCGGUGGAAUCAGAAAUUAAAGAGGACAUUUUUCUUGAAGCUCACCGUGCACCCUAUGCUUUACAUCCGGGAGGUACAAAAAUGUACAAGGAUUUGAAGCUAUUUUAUUGGUGGCCCGGAAUGAGAAAGGACGUUGGCGAGUUUGUAGCUCGAUGUUUAACUUGUCAACGAGUGAAAGCUGAGCACCGAUUACCCGCGGGAAAACUUCAGAGUUUAUCUAUUUUCGUGUGGAAGUGGGAGAAGAUCACGAUGGACUUUGUUAUGGGAUUGCCUCGCUCACAGGCCGGGCAUGAUGCUUUUUGGGUGAUCGUGGAUAGGCUGACGAAAUCGCUCAUUUCAUUCCUAUUCACAUGACUUGGUCAGGCGAGAGACUCGCACAGGUAUACUUGGAUGAGAUCGUGCAACUUUAUGAAGUGCCUACCUCCAUAGUAUCUGAUCGAGAUUCCAGAUUUGUAUCUCACUUUUGGAGGAGCCUGCACGAUGCAUUAGGCACUCGAUUGGAUUUCAGCACUGCUUUCCACCCUCAGAGUGAUGGGCAAUCUUAGCGUACUAUUCAGACUCUGGAGGAUAUGCUUCAAGCGUGCAUGAUAGACUUCCACGGAGGAUGGUCACAGCACUUACCGAUGGCGUAGUUUGCUUAUAACAAUAGUUAUCAAGCAAGAAUCAAAAUGGCACCUUUCAAAGCACUUUAUGGACGAAAGUGCAGAUCGCCACUUCAUUGGAGUGAAGUCGGCGAGAGUUUGGCUCUAGGCCCUGAUGUGCUCCAGGAAGCAGAGGAUAAAGUUCGCCUUACUCGAGAGCGGCUGUUGAUAGCUCAAAGUAGACAAAAGAGCUAUACUGAUAAACGUCGACGAGAUUUGGAAUUUCAAGUUGGAGAACAUGUCUUUUUGAAGGUCUCGCCAACGAAAGGAAUUAGAAGAUUUGGCAUUCGGAGAAAGUUGAGCCCCCGAUUUAUUGGAUCUUAUGAGAUCUUAGAGCGUGUAGGUCCGGUAGCGUAUCGGCUUGCCUUACCACCAAACCUAUCGGGAGUGCACGAUGUAUUUCAUGUUUCGGUAUUCCGGAAGUACAUUUUCGAUCUGGCUCACGUUUUGAAUACUAUACCAUUGGAGCUGAGCGAGAACUUGAAAUUUGAAGAGCAACCUGUGAGGAUCUUGGCUCGCGAGGUGAAGAAGCUCCGGAAUCGUAUUAUCCCCUAUGUGAAGGUUCUUUGGAGCAACCACGAUGAACGCGAGGCCAUGUGGGAGUUGGAGAGCGCACUGCAGGAGCGCUAUCCCCAUCUUUUUCAGAUAGAAUCUUGAGGUACUUGAUUUUUAGUUUCGCAGAUGAAACUCCUUUUUAGAAGGGGAGAAUAUAGCACACUGAACUUUAGCAAAUUGCAAGGUUCAAGUGUUGGAUUAAUAUUUUGAGGUUUUACGGGUAUUCUUGAGGGUCAUUGACUGUGUUCCGACCUAUUACUCGCGUCUUGAGGAGCGAGAGGUAGUACUUAGCACCAAAACCUCCAAACUGCAGAUUUUCGGGUGCUAGGUACCGGCACUAGAGAGGGGUACCGGAACCACGUCGCAUAAUCGAGAGGGAAGGCUCUCGGGUUUGAGCUCUGUGAGGCAGAGUACCGGUUCUGCAUUGCCCGAGUACCGACACUGGAGCCCGGUACCGGUACUACAUCGCGUGGUUACCGGUACACUGCAGUCUGUCUUUUGACAGAGGCUCGGGUUUGCACGUUCAGCUGCGGGGUACCGGUACUUCUGCCCGCGUACCGGUACGUAGUGCAGUUCGCAGACUGUAUAUUUUUAAGGGGUCUUUUCCUGAUUGUAGCAACUCUUUAUAUAAUCCCACAUCCUUUGGAGGGGCUCUUUUGUGCUGCAACCUGAGGAGAAGAGAGGUGAGUAUCUCCUCUAUCUCUUUCUAGAUUUCCUCUCAUUUCUUGUGAGAUUCUUGGAUUGAUCUAUUCCUUUUGCUUCUCUUUGCUUGGUGUUGAUCUUGGAACCUUGGAGAAGCUUUGGUGUUGAAGGAUUGAGCUCGUUGAGGAAAGAUCUCCAACCCUAGCACCAUUCUAGCUUGGUUUGGAGCUUAAAGAGAGGUUAGUAGCUUUGAUCCCUCCUUUGGAUUAUGCUUUGUUGGGUUUUUGAGAUGAAAACCUAGUUUUGGGAAAACUAGGGUUUUAUUUGUGGUUUUGAUUUGUAGCCUUUGGAAUUAAAUUGAUAGGUGUAGAACUCUCUUUUAGGCUAGAUUAGGAGUAUCCUAGCCUUCAUUUGGAUCUUGGAAGAGUUCUUCACCAUACAAGGUAAUCUUCUACCUAUCUAUGGGUUGGAUUAUGUGGCUUUUGUGGGGAUUAUGUGGCUUUUGUGGGGUAUUUGUUCGAAAUCCCUAACCCUCUUAGAAUGUUUGUUAGGGAGCUAGGAGACUUGUGGGCAAUCUCAUUAGCACAAACGAAGAGGUUUCGAGGGGUAUCCGGUGGGUUUGACCUCACCGAAAAUGGUGAACUCCUCCUAUGUCAUUGCUUUUAUUGUAAAAUGAAAAAUCAUACAUAUUCAUGCUAGAUAGAGCAUAAAUAAAUUUUUGAGUGCUUAAAAUGCAUAUGUCAUGUAUCAUGUUUUAUAACCUCUAUGUAGUAGAGAGAGAAGUGUAUAGUAACUUGCAUAUGAAUGGCGCUCCUUACAUGUGGCUAGAAACUAUACUUUAUUUAGUGAAAUGACAAGUUUGACAUGCUCUUGGAUAUAAAACUCAUGCUUGACAUAGUGAACAUUAAUAUCAUAAAGUAACACUUGACUUAGUAAAUGGUUAAACCUCUGCAUGAUGACAUAGUGAUAGACAGUUAGGUUAUUAGUAUUUAUACCAUGUUUUAGACAUGAUGAUAGUGGACUUGAGAUGGAUGAUCAUGCAUGCUUGUCAUUGUAUAUUGGAACUUGUACACUAAAUGACAAUCCUUAUGCCAUGCUAGAAAUCAUGUUAGGAUUUGUGAAAUGAAAGGUUAGCAUACUUGUGUAGACAAGGGAAUAUGACUUUUGCAUGAUAAAGUAGCAUGAACUUCAUAUGGGUAUAUUUGACCUAGUUAAAUGACUAAACAUCUACAAAGUGACAUAGAAUCCGAUCUUCGGGUCAUUAGUGUUUGUACCAUAGUUUAGACAUGAUGACCGCGAACUCUAUAUAGUUGAUCACGCUUGUUUGCCAUUGUGCUCAUUCGCACAAGCUUGUGAGGGUCCCUCCCUACAAGCCAGCACUUCAGAGUUAGCCUACGUGACAACAUGCAUGCUCGCCGUGCGGUAUUGGACGCCGAAAUGGAUUGCCGUGGGCGAGGCUCAUUCCUAGAGGGGGAAUAUUGACUACCACGGGACCAUUAGGCACGGCGCAAGCCGGACUACAUUUGUGUAGGUCCUAGUUGAAUUAAACAAUGACAAUGAAAUGUGUAUUAUAAUCAUCACUACUAAAUAGUGUAUACUAGUUGGACAUGCUCAUUCAUGAUAGCGUAGCUUUAAUACUCGUUAAAUAAUAUGUUAAUUGGAGGCAUAGUAGCUUAGUAAUUCAAUAGUUGUUUAAUAAUCAUGUUGUCUCUUUAGUUAUGCUCAUUUACUACUUAUGCCUUAGUGACCUAGUUGUGUAGUUCGCUAAUAUCGGCGGUUUACCCACUGAGAACUAUUGACUAAUAGUUUUCAUUCCUAUUUUGUUGAUAUUUUUUUUUUACAGAGCCAUCCACACCGGGAGAGGCUAAGGGCUUGACUUAGCUUGGAGAUCCUGCUAGGUGGUCACCUCUUGUUUUGUUUUAAUUGGAGAGGUAUUUUACCCUUGAUGUAUAGAGACUACCAUGUGUUCUUAGUCUUUUAUUUUUUUGGUUUCCUAUUGAGGAUUAUUGUUAUCUAGUUGUUUACUUUUCUUGUUACUUGUCAUUAGAGAGUAGUUUAUGUUUUAUGCACUGAUAUCAUGUUAGAUGUUAUUAUUUUUUGGGAAAACUUCAAAAACCCCCCUUGUGGUUUCAAUUUUUUUCACUUUAGUACCCUGUGGUUUAAAAUGUAGCAAGUUAGUACCCUGUGGUUUCUCACUUUAUCACUUUAGUACCCUAUGGUUUAAGCUAUAUCAAGUUAGUACCCAGUGGUUUUGCACUUUAUCAUUUUAGUACCCUGUGGUUUUAAUUUUGUAUCAAGUUAGUGCCAUGUGGUUUUUUAAACCAUAGGGUACUAAAGUGAUAAAGUGUGAAACCACAGGGUACUAAAGUGAUACAGUGCAAAACCAUAGGGUACUAACUUGAUACACUUUAAACCACAGGGUAUUAAAGUGAUAAAGUGAGAAACCAGUGUACUAACUUGAUACACUUUAAACCACAUGGUACUAAAAUAAAAAAGUGUGAAGCCACGGGGGGGUUUUUGAAGUUUUUCCUUAUUUUUUUGUGUUAUUUCUAGCAUGUUGUUGUAGACGCUUUGUAUGCACCUGGCAUAUAGCGGGUCUGUGCACGUACUGGGUAGGCUUCCGUUGGAGCUCGGGUGUGACAGUGGCAUUCGUGGAUUCGAACGUAGACCGUGGACAACCGGAUGGCGUGCGCGAGAUCCGUAGGAGUUGAAAGAGAGGUUAAGCCCGUGAAUUCGGUAAUCACCUUAUAAUCUUUUAGUUUUUAGUAGAUUAUUAUCGCGUGUUAGUCCCAUGGAUUUUUUUACUUCUAGUUGGUGUUUUUCCACAUAAAUCUCGGUGUGGUUUUUAUUUUUCGUAUUUAUUUUAUCGCAUUGAGAUUUGUAUUUUUGGCCGUUAUACCUAUUCACCCCUUUCUAGGUAAUUGAUAGUAUCUAAAUAGAUCCUAGGGUUCCCCAUAACUUACAGCAAAAAUCAAAAUUUAUUUCGAAGCGUUUCCCCAACAAAUCGUCAACGGAACACGGUGAUCGUUGUGAGGUCCACUUGUUGGUAGUGUUAUCACCGUAGGUGCGUUGCAAAGCUUUGCUAGCUGGUUACACUCAUCGUCUUGAGUUUUUGAAGACAGCGAGUGAGUGACGGAGGGUUUCAGUGCCGAAAACGACAUUUCCUUGAACCCGAAAUGACAUUAUGAGUAUUUUUGUAUAUUCUUACGUCGUGGGUAGGUAGUGGCUAUCCGAACACCCAUGUUGUCACGCCCCGAGUCUGAUCCUUUUGGCCGGUUCGAGAGCGUCGAACAGACGCCGAACGGACAGAGCCUCCUCUGUCUGCCCAAGGCUUAACAACAAGUAUCAAUAGAGUAAAAAUUUGCAUAAGCUGAAGCAUACAUAAUGGCUUGCACGAGGGCAAACAAUAGCCAAUAGUGAAAGAAGUAAACUACACUUAGGAAAUCAUUUAUAAUUUUUGCAUCAUUUCUUCUCUUUUACAUCACAUGAUCUCAAAUGUAAGUGCUUGCAUUUAAAUAAAAAGUCUUUAACAACAUUCAUGUUCUAUUUUUCUUUAACAUCUAUAAUCAUCAAAUACAGAAGAUGAUAGUAAAGGGAAUGCAACUACAAAAUACGAAAUCAUCUCGGGAGGUCUCUAUCUAGGGCGCGAUGCCCUUACCGCGAUCGUCUGCCGGCUCGCUCGGUCCGGGCUCUGUGAAAAAUGGGGUGUGAGAACUACAACAAAGUUUUCAGUGGGUUCGGCAACUAACCACGCCGACUUUCCCACUAGGUCUAAAUCAGGCAUAAUAGAAGAAAAGAGAUAUAGAUAGUAACCAAACUAUACAAAUGCAGCUAAUAUGCCUGAACAAUAAUAAAUGCGAUGCUCAAUUGUAUGCUCAUGUUGAAUGCAAGGUCACAAUCUCAUUACCCAAUCUCUUGGUUAAUCCGUAGGUUUCGCCCUCAACGACUCACCAACCAAAUCCCUAAGAUCGGAGAGAUACCCGCUACAACCCGACGGGACCGUCCUCUGGGGAGAUACUCGCUACGACCCAGUGAUGACAACUCCGGAGCACAUCGCCCGAUGGGGAGUUACCAUCCUCGAGCAAGGACUUACAUGUGAGUAUGAUCCCAUCCUUAACUAUAAUGAUGUCAAGUCCAAUCCAUUCCUUGACUAUAAGAAAACAAUGCACAUUUGACCCUUAACUCUAAGGUUGUUAUGUCAUAAUAUCGCUACCUCUAUUUACUUGCAUUCUUUAACCUUCACUAGUGUCAUUUACACUACUUUAUUUUUGUACUCAUUCAUUGAUGCCACACUUGUUUUCUAAGUGUCCAAUCUAGCAUUCUUGACUCGUUGAUGCCACUCUCUACAAUUAUGCCAACAUGUCACUUUUGUUCUCUAAAGCUAUUAAGUUCUUGUCAUUUCUCAUGCAUACAUAGGGUAAAUAAAAUUCUCACAUUCUUACAAAUAUUCCACAUGCAUUUGAACUCACAACAUGGAAAAGAAACUUACAAUUACCUUACUAUGCAAUAUGCUCAAAUACAUACAUAUGCUCAAAUGUGACACUUUAAACAUAAAAGAAAUUUUGAGGUCUUUGAAAUGCACCACCUACUUUAGAUGGUUGAAAGGAUGCUACGGUAAAUUUCUCGAAAUUUUUGAAGCUUUACUUUUGCGCCUGCGGCAAAACGAAGCAAAAUUAGGCUUUUUCUCAAUAGCUCCAUCUAAACCUGUGCAACGCGUCGGGAAUACCCCUAAUUAGGUUUCUAAAAGGUCAAUUUGGCUUAGAAACACUCGGAGGCAAAAACCCCAAAUUGGGUGCCCUAAUGUUGCCAUUUGCAAAUUCCUAGGUUUUGAUCUCUAAAACAAGCAACAGAGAGCUUGUCCAUCAUCUAGGAGUUCAUCUAGAACCAUCUAAACCAAUUCUAGGGUUUAGAAUGUAAACCCUAAAAAUUCACCAUUAGAGCACAUGAAGAAAACUAGGGCUUUCAUGUGUUCUAAAGCUCCAACUAAGUUUCUAUACUCAUUAGAAGAUCAAAACCUAGUUUUUCUAGGUCAUAAACCCAAAACCUAAUCUAGAUUUUCAUGAAAACCUUACCUUGGUCACAAGCUCACUAAUGUCCACCUUGUAGGAGAGUUCAAAACCUUCUCCAAGCUCCAAAACCCUCCAAAAAUCUUUCUUCUCCUACUCCUCCUUGCUCUUUGGAAGUGAUUUCUAGAGAGAGAAAGAGGAAAAUGAGGUGAAGGUGGGUUCUCUGCAGUGAAGAGAGAAUAGAGGGUGUUGGGGUGUUAUAUGGAUUGCUACAAAUGCAAAUAAAUCCUCAAUUUCUUUCUAUUUGCAGCAGUUUUUAUUUUGCUGCCAGACCUAAAGUGUACCGGUACACUGUAGCUGUCACCGGUAACACGAUUACGCAGAGGCAAACCCGAGAGCAAUUUUCGCAGGUUUUUCCAAAGUGUACCGGUACACUGUAGCUGUCACCGGUAACACAGGCAAAAUUUUUCAAACCCGAGAGCUUCUCCUGCUCGGCCUGCAAUGCUAUACCGGUGACAACUCGAUGGUUGUACCGGUACACUUUGCUCCAGAAUGCAAUUUUGCGUUGUUUUCGAUUCUGUUUCGCGCCGUUCGAUGCUAAAACUUUUCUAACACCUCUUAAACUCAUUUUUAGCCCUUCCAACCUUGUUAGAAUAUCAAUUGGAACUUGUUCAUCUAUGUCUUUCGCAUUAUUCACUUUUAAAUCGCGCCGAGCAAUGCUAAAACUUGCUUAACACUCUUGGGACUCGACUUUGACCCUUCCAACGUUGUUGGAAUGUCAACUGGAGUUAGUCCAUCCAUUUCUCUCGGCACUUUAACCAAUUUGGCUAAAGUUCGAUAAUCGCUAUUGAGGUUUUGAUACGUUACACAUGUUGGUGUGUUUCGAAAUAAUGGUGAUUAGUUUUAUGCUGGGGUACCUUCUAAAACACUCUGUGGCGAUCAAAAGUGUUUCGGUGGACUUUUUGAAACUCUUGGUAGUUUCGGGGUUGUGGGUUUAGUGUUUGGAGUCAAUUUGAUGGAUCUUGACUCGAUGAGUCUUUCGUAGGUCCAAUCGACAUCCCAACGUGCCUUCAGCUUUAGACGCUACGACGAUUUCGGGUGGGUGCUUCGAUCCAGAGUCGGUAGAGUGGUACUAGCUCGGUGAUAUUCUUUCCUUAUCCUUUCCCGUUUCUUUUGCAUAUUAUUGAUAAGCAUAUCGCCACUAGACUUUCGGUUUAUUUACUCUACUUUUGUCAUUCACAAAUUAAUAGUAGAGAUUGAUGGAUUAUUGCAUAGUCCUUUCAUGUGAGACCUGAUUGGUUGGUAUUGAUUGGUUCGCCGAUCUGGUGAUCUGCGUUGGAUAGAUGCUGAUUAUUAACUUACUCUCCGCUUUCUACCGUCUUCCUGACCAUUGAGCAUUUUGCAUCGAUCGUCACAGCUCAUGUAGUAUGUUACAUACACUAGCGGUUUGGCCACCAUGUAGGUAUUCUUUUUUGAAAAAGUAGUCGUCUUCUCGAUCCGUGAACCCCUACAAGGUGUUAGCUAGGGGUUGUAUGCUAGGUGGGUGAGCAUACUGUGACAUUAUAUGCGGUCUUUAGACUUAUACGGCGAGGUGUUUGGAUUCCGGUACUUUAUACAGCCAUGCAUAUAUACAUUGGUUACAUUAGCGAUAGGUGACUAUAGUUGUUUAAAUCUUGUUUCGUUAUUCGCUAUUGUACAUGAGUAUCUAUCUAUCCGUCUCUGUUGUUUUCUCUCGCCAGUGAGUACACUCGGCUUCGUCGGCUUGCGGUACCCAUUAGGAGACCCUUGUUGGUUUCUCACCCCCUCAUUUUUAGGUGAUCUUGAUGGUGGGAGUCGGGACGGUGCGCGAGGUGCGACAGCUAGAGAGUCUUAGAGGUCCCGAUAGAUCUGUUUUAUAUCCGGUUACUCUAUUUAGACCCCGUCCCCCCCGUAUUUUUUUUUAAUAAAAUUAGACGUUGUGGUUCAGUUACAUGUUUAAUUGUUUGUCAAUUCCUGAAUAAUCCUAAUUAUGGAUAAUCGUUUAAUUGCAAGUGUAACAUACCAGAUUUUGGUAUAAAAAUAAAAAUAAAUAAAAAUAGCGUGAGAUACUAUUUUUAUUGAAUUUAGAGAAGUAAAACAUAAGUCAAAAAUGACUUGUGCUGAAAUCGGAAUGAAAACAGAAGAUUUAGAAUUUUCUGUUGGAAACGGGACAGAUAAAUUAGCAGAAAAUGCACAGUGUCAGAAAAUUAUGAAAAUGGAGAAUAAGUCAGAAUUAUUUUUAUGAGGCUAGAUUUAAAGUUUCAUGCCAUUCUGACACCCGGAAGGUGAAAAAUAAAAUCCGACAGUUAUCUCAUAAAGAUUACAGUUCGGUACAGCUUUCGGUGACCAAAUGGGGUCGAAACUGAAAGAUUAAAAUUUCUUUCGUUAAGUUAAGUAAAAUCGAACAUGGCUGUCAAAUUUGAGCUCAAACGAAUAUUAAGGGAGCUCCGGCGAAAAAUAUCAGAUUUCGAGCUGCCCGAAGUGAAUAGUGUUGUGGUGUUGACUAAAGAGGAGUGUUGACCUCUUCUUCUCCUCCUUCAGCCGACCACCACACACGACACACACACACGUAUGGAGAGGGGGAGAGAAACCCUCCUUUCUCUCUCUAAAGAUCUCUCUCUCUCAUCUCUCUAAAUUUCUCUCUAAAAAUUUGAGGGUUGGCAGAGAGCGAGCUUGCGAAUGCGUUGGAGGCGAUGGCGACGGAUCGAGCUUUCGUGCGCCCAUUGGAGCGGCGUGCUUCCGUCUCGGCGUUCACAUUUUGGUAAGCCUUUGGAAUUUAGUUUAAUCCUUAAGUUUAAGUGUUCUAAUAGCCUCUAAUGAGCAUUAUUAGCAUGUUGCUCAAUAUAGUUUGGAUUAUUUGGAGGUUAAUUGCAUAUUAGGGCUCCGAAUGGGGUUUUGUAAAAUAGUAUGGUUUGAUCUCAUUUGACCCUCCGUAAACCUAAUUGUUAGGUAAGUGAACGCGUUGGGGAAGUCGGCUCGGCGAUUCGUCGAGCCUACGCGAAGUUAUUAAAGAAACGGACGUUUAGGUUUCGUUUCCGCCAGGAGGGCCGAGGCGACGUCGUAAGGUCAUGAAAAUGGACUGGUGGCGCCGUGACACAUAAUGGCAGACCUAUAAUUUUCGGGGCUGCGAAGCGGAGCACGGUUGUGGCGCAGUUGCAAUAUUAGGCUGUGCCGGAUACGGGUGCCACGGGAGGCCGAUUGCAAGUGUCGACAAGCAAUCGGAACGCGAUACGGGUGGGUUGUGUUUACCGAAGCGACUAGGUCGCCUGUAUGUCUAAGAAUGAGUAUUAUUAUUGAUGCAUGCAAUGAUAGCUAAUGAUAGAAUGUAUAAAUGCAUGAAAAGAGUACUAUGUGGGCUACCAAAUAAUGCAUAUGGUCAUAAUGUAAGAAUGUUAAGUAAUGCAUAAUGACAUAGUGCGAAUAAUGUUAAGUGGAAAGCAUAAAGUAAAUGACAUAUGUUAGUCAUGUUACAUGUGUAGAAAUGCUAAUGUAAGAAUGCAUAUAGAUAUGAAAUAAGAAUGCUAAGAAAGUGUAUGACAAGCAUGUUGGGGAGAUCUUAAUGUAAAAAUGUUAAGUACAUGACAUGUGCAUGUGGACAUAUAUAUACACAUAAAUCGAGUGGCAUUGAACCUAGUGUCAUGAACCUAGGAAAGAUUGAGUGGCAUUGAACUUAGUGUUAAAAAAUAUAGGUUGAACAAGAAUAACAAUGGACUUAGCGUCAAGGACAUAGGUUGAACCAGAGUGAUAAUGAACUUAGUGUUAAUGAACAUAGGUUAACGAGAAAGGCAUUAAUCCUAAUGUUAGAGAACAUAGGUUGUGAGGUAAAGGUAAGAACCUAGAGUCAAGUGAAUCUAGGUAGACGAGAAUAAUGGACCUAGUGUUAACAAACCUAGGCUAUGAGUAUGAAAGCAACAAACCUAAAGUAUUAACUUAGGUUGAGUAAAGGCUUGGACCUAGAUAGGUCAAUUCCAUAGGGUUAAGACCAACCCUUGAGUACUGUGAAAUGGAUUCCAGAAUCCCAGGACUUGUGGAACACCAAGAGUGGUGCGGGGUGUGUGCGACGAUUUCACCGCCCGGGGCUAAAGAACAAUUGUCGUGGCGUGUGCGACGAUUUCGCCGCCGGAUGGUUGAGCCGGUUUGUGUAUUAUGCCGCAAGGUUACUUGAGCCAGAGCCGAGAAUGUGCGACGACUUUGCCGCCGGGUGGCUGAGUCAUCGAGUGCGAUGGGCUAUUGAGCAGCCAGUGUGUGGACUAUCCGCAGAGGAUUGAUUCAAGAACGAGUCGAGUGGCAUAGAUGACUAAUGUGAGAUAUCGAAUUUCGACGAUAUUGGCUAACUUUGGCCAAAUGGACCAAAGUGGGCGAUUGAACGGUUGGGAUAAGUUCCAUUCGGUAUUCCAACAAGUUUGGAAGAGUAAAAAUGAGUUCCAAAGGUGUUGGAAUGGUUUUGACAUCGAUCGGCGCGAAGUAGAGCCGAAACGAAGUGAAAACAGCAUUGUGGAGCUCUCGGGUUUGAGGCUGCCAGGCCUUGUACCGGAACAAGGGGGCUUGUACGUGUACAAGCAUUGCGCAACCGAGAAACCGAGCUCUCGGGUUUGAGGCUGCCAGGCCUUGUACCGGAACAAGGGGGGCUUGUACCGGUACAAGCACUGCGCAACCGAGAAACCGAGCCUCGGGUUGGGCUGUCUGCCAGGCCUUGUACCGGUACAAGGAACCCUGUACCGGUACAAGGGACCCGAAACUGCUGGUCAAGUUGGAAAAUUAGAUUUUUGAGGGGGCUUUUCGGAUUUUGUUACAAUAGAGGGUUAUAUCCCCUCUUUCUCAGCCACUCCUUCUCACACUUAGCUCUCUCUUUCUCUCUCUCACAUUGCUCUCUCUCUCUCUAACCGUAGAAGAAGGAGAGGAAGAAAAGAAGGAAAGAAAGAAAGAGAAGAAGAAGGAAAGGAAGGAGAAGAUCAAGGAGAGGAAAGUGAAGCCCUUUCCCUCCUCAUUUUCAAGCUAGGGCUUGCUUUGGAGCAAACCCUAGAGGUAAGCCUCAACCCUAACUUGUGAAUCUUGGGUUUUGGGAGGUUUUUGUUGGUUUUAAUCGUUCAAAUAGAACCUAAUGAGUUUAGAGAUCAUGGAUUUAGCUCACAAUGAAGCUAGAAACCAUUGCUUCCAUGGGUGCUAAACCUAGGGCUUGAUUUUGGAAUUUUUGAAAGUAUGAGGGAUUGAUCUCUUUUGAUGGGUUAGAAACCUAAUUCUUAUGCUUAUAAACGCGUAGGCGAAGACGGUUCGUUGAUCCGUCGAGCGAGUGCGGAGAUUUCGCCGAUUAGAGUGCUCUAGGGUUCGUUUUGACCCGAGGUGUUAAAGCGGCGCACGUGGACCGCGACGCCGAGUUUAGUAGCUCUACGAUACUACCACAAGGUGGGUGGUGACCAUCCCGAAGCAAUCGGGCUACCUUCUAUGUCUAAGUUUAAUAUCGAUCUAUUUGCAUAUUGUGCAUAUUCAUAUAGGGCUAGAGAUAGAUGUUAUUGCUUGUACUUGCAUGCUAGUAGCUCAAUAUAUCUUGCUUGGUUGGUUCAUGAUCUAGUAUGCAUGAUGAUUACUUGAUAAAAACCUAGACCCUAUAUGAGAUGAUUAAUGCUUAUAUUUCUAAAGAACUAAUAUGAUGUAACUAGUGUUGAUGAUGAGUCUAAAUGACGAGUGGCAUCUAGUUAGAAAACUAUGAUGAGUGGCAUAUGAUUGUUGAUGACCUUGACAUGAGAAUAUUAGUGUAGUUGAAACACUAUGAGAUUGGGUAUAAGUAUACCUUGAUUCCAUCAUGAGAUUACCCUUAGAGGGUAGGUUGCUGCUGUUCGUGAGUUGAUCGUGCUCACAUAGCCUGUCUGCGCUUGGAGGGGUCGCUCCCCACAAGCUGUGCACUCCGGAGGUUGGUCACUAGAGAGACAGUCAGUGUGCUGUCUGGACGGUCAGUGUAACAUACCGAACUUCUAAAAUCAUGAAGUCACGGUAUACAUUUAAAUGGUUCCGGUGCGGUUGCGGUGGAAUGUAACAUACCGGAUUUUAAAUAUAAAAGUGAAAAUAAAUAAAAAAUAGUGUGAGAUACUAUUUUUAUUGGAUUUAGAGAAGUAAAACAUAAGUCAGAAGUGACUUGUGCUGAAAUCGGACUGAAAACAGAAGAUUUAGAAUUUUCUGUAAAGAACGGGACUGAGAAAAUUAGCAGAAAAUGCACAGUGUCAGAAAAUUAUGAAAAUUGGCGGGGAUGUCAGGAACGUUGGUAUGAGGCCAGAUUUCAAGUUUCACAUUUUUCUGACACCUGUAGAGAGAGAAAUUGAAUCCGAGAGCUAUCGAAUAAGGAUUUCAGUUCGGGACAAUUCGCAGUGACCAAACGGGGUUGAAACUGAAAUGUUAAAAUUUCAGUGGACUUGUUAAGUAAAAACGAACAUUCCUGCCAAAUUUGAGCUCAAUCGGAUAUGCGGAAGGGCCUGCGAAAGGUGUUUGCUUCGUGCGACUAAACGGAUUAGUCGAAGGGCAAAAAUGUAAUUUCAGCGUGCUUAGUGGAUUUCCACUAAGUUCCCUGCCAGGGAGCCUCCAUCCUUAUCCCCUCCCCUUCUUGCUGCCUACGUAGAGAGAGAGAGAGAAGGAGAAAAGAAGGAGAAAGAGAAGAAGAAGAGAAAGGAGAAAGAGAAGAAGAAAAAGAAAAGAGGUAAAUCUCUCUUUCUCUCUCCCCCUCUCCCUGCUGCUGGUUGUAGCAGUAGGAGCCAGCAGCAGCAGUGCGAGCAGCAGCAGCAGUAGCAGCAGCAGCAGGAACAGCAGCAACAGCAGCUGCUGGAGCAGCAGCUGCCAGCAGCAGCAGCAGCACCAACAGCAGCAGUUAGCAGCAGCAGCCUCAGCAGGAGCAGCAGCAGCUCUUGCUGCUGCUAACCAGGGCAACAGCAGCAGCAGCAGCUUGUAGUAGCAGCAGCAGCAUGCGCAGCACAGCAGCAGCAGCAGCUAAAGCAGCUGCCAGCAGCAGCAGCAGCAGUGGCACCAGCAGCAGCAGCAGCUGCAGCCAGCAGCAGCAGCAGCAGCAGCUGCAGCUAGCAGCAGCAGCAGUGGCAGCAAGCAAGAAAAGAAAAGAAAAGAAAAGAAAAGAAAAGAAAGAAAAGAAAGGAAAGAAAAGAAAAGAAAGCAAGAAAGAAAGAAAAGAGAAAGAAAGAAAGGAAAGAAGAAGAGGAAAAAAUGAAAGAAAAGAAGAAAUUGAAUUGCGAAAUUGCGCGAAAUUGCAUCGAAAGAGGGUUUUUAUGGAACUUGACCCCGGCAAUGCACUUUUGCAAAAUAAGAGUGCUAAUGCGGAAUUGACCGCGUGUAAACCAAAUUGAGGGUAAAAAAAACGCGUUGGCGAAGUCGGUUCGGCAAUCCGACGAACCUACGCAAAGAUAUCGCCAAAAGAAGAUUUUCGGCUAUAGUUGCCGCUUUCUAUAGCAUUGAAAUGCUAACUUGUAAAUUAUGGGUAAUGACCCUAGUUUAAUCUUUUCUAAUCCUUUAUAGGUGAAAAGUAAACAUGCUCGAGAGUCUAAAUUGACUUUUCUACAGGUCGACGACGCGCUAAUUACGGUAGAGGCCGUUCUAGUUCUAUUUGCACGGAGUCGCGACAGAAAGUUGUCGACACUUUCCGAGAUGUGGAUUCUAGUUGAUUGACACCACUACAGGUGGGUGGUGCUAUCCGAAGUCUUUGAAUCACCUUUUAUGUCUAUGCUAUUCAUUGAGCAUAUUUACUUCUGUUUUCAUGCAUUAUAGGGUAUGGGCAUUGGCAUUAUACAAGUGAUAUUGAACAUGUGAAUUCUUAUUGAUAGUAAGAACAUAUGAACAUUAGAAUGUGGACAUAGAACCCUAUGAAUGUAUGAAACUGUAAAGGACCAAGACAAUAGUAAACUUGGUGACAUCAUGACUAGAGAUUUGGUUAGCAUCGAGAAAUGUAAUUAUGAAACUAGUAUAAAGAACUAGUUAGAGUUAAAUUGUGACAUUGUUGUCAGUUGAAUCCUCUAAAGGGGGAUCAAAUCUUACUCACAUAGUCUGUUUUCUUAGCUUGGUGGUGGUCGCUCCCCCCAGGCAGUGAGCUCCGGAGUAGUCACUUGUUGGGCUAACGUACUUGCCCCAGGACUAACGUACUUGUCCGACAGACGGUCCCAUCGGGAGGCAGCUUAGGGCCCGUGAGGGAUUUCGUUGGUGAGUUAUNUGACUUGUGGCGAAAGGAUUAUGGAUUUGGUCGUGUUAUAAACCUCUAAGACGGAUAUUAGAGGUAGAUUCAAGGUGUGGUUUAUUCUCAACUGAGGGUGUUCAUGUUGGAUGCAUACAACAUGAAACCGAGUGUUGAGAAUAGACACCCUUAUGUGACUUUUGCUCGAUUGGCUUUUGAGCCGGUAUUAGUGGUCUCGUGUUUGACCCAAGUUGGUUGAGAACUAAUUAAGCUGUCGUGUUUCAGGAGACGAUGGCACUGCGUAGGCGAUCUUCGUCCAAAUCGGCGCGGGAGGGGACAAGUGGUGUCCUUGAGCAAACCGACCCGAGCGAAGACUCAGAGCUUCGUGAUCAAUUGGCCACACUCAUGGGAGUGAUGAGGCAACAAGCGGAGUUGGUGCAACGGCAGCAGGAGGCUGCCAUGCGCCAGGAGGAGCGAAUGAAAGGACUCCAAGAAACGGUGGACCGGCUGGUGACAACACCAGCUGCGGCUCGUCGAGAACGACCGGGAGUUGCGGCGGAGAUAUUUCCGUCGGGGUUAGGUGAUCCGACUCCUAUCAGUUCAGAGGUGGUGGCGGAGAGGGAGCGAGCCUUAGCGGCCCUCAUGACCUUCAAAAAGUUUGAUCUUCCUAUCUUUGAUGGAGUGGAUGCAGAUCCGUGGGUCGUUGAGAUGUGGAUUGAUUCCAUGGAAACACUCUUCGAUGAUCUGUACACGUUGGAGCGGGAUAAGGUAAACCUAGUCGUGCACUGUCUGAAACAGUCGGCGAAGGUAUGGUGGGAAGGCGUCAAGCAGAAUCGAUUGCUUGGUCUCCCUUCUAUGACUUGGGAAGAAUUUCGGGGAUUGGUGUUCUCGGCCUAUUUCCCUGACAGUGAAAAGCGAAAGCUUCAGGAAAGGUUCCGGAAGCUGCAGCAAGGAGAUCGCUCAAUCAGGCAAUACGAGCGGGAAUUUUCCCGUAUCGUGCAUUGCAUCCCGAGCGUGGUGCGGGAUGACAAAGACCGAGCUGAAUGCUUUGUACGGGGACUUCGGUCGGAUAUUUUCAAGGCUGUGCACGACCUUAAAUUGCAGACUUUUGCCGAAGUCUUAGAUCGGGCCGUGUGGAUAGAAUAAGGCGAAGCAUCAGUGCGGGAGGAGCGCAAGGCAAAGUACGAGGAAAAAGGAAAAGGACGACCAACGGGUGGAUCCGGUGGUCAGUCAAGUUCCCAACGGACUUCGAUGAGUUUGCGCUCGCGGUCCCGAGCUCCGGGGACAUACCGUGUUCGGUCCUCAGCGAGAUGUGUUAUUUGUGGGGGUCCUCAUUACCCCCAGCAGUGUGAGCAGCGUGAAGGCAAGUGCUUCAAGUGUGGGCUGCAGGGCCAUACGCGGGACGAGUGUCUGCAAGGCGAUAGCCGGGCCUUGAUGCUGGCGACGGCCCAUUCCUCUCUGGGACAGCCUGCAGGUGUGCCACCUGCUGCAUGGUUGGGAGAGCGGCCGUUGAGGACGGUGCAACCGGUGGGUUCGCGGCGAGCGCCAAGUGGCCGUAGAUGUGCAACCCAGAUUGAGGAACCUGCUGUUGACGACGUCGUUGCAGGUAUGGGUUAUUGAUGCAAGCAUAUGUUUUGCAUGAUGUGAAGUUGAUGCAUUGCAUGCAAUGGUUAUGUGGUUAGUUACUAUUGUCGUGCAUGAGCAUAGUAGAGAGCCGAGUGGCACUAGCAAAUGGCUAGUAAGGAUUCUUGCACGAGGAGUGAGACUCGUGGUGAACGCGAAGUGGUGAAGCGACUCUCAAGGCAAUGGAUAGUAGAUUGCGAGAGUUGAGUUAGGAUACGUGAGGAUACCCGAGUACUCCGAGAAUUUCGCAUGUCGUUCCGAUAGAUCGAACAGUGAAAGUGAAUCACUAUUGAGUGAAUAGCCGGUUAAUGGCCGAGUACGGGCAUGUGAGGCCUAGUAGUACCUCAAAUUGAGGUAGGUGAGUUGUGCCUAAGUCAUUAGUGCGCUUAGGCAAAGUUGCCUAAUGCUUGACGUAGUUAAGACGCAGUAGAGGCGUAUAGAGCGCUCGAGUAUAGGUACUCGUAGGUUGCUGAUGAGAAUCAGCCGAGAGAGAGUUGGCAGUAGCACUUCAGCAUUGCUAAGUGUGAAGCGGGCCAUGGAUCACUCGUGGAGCUGGUGGCUCGCACUAAGUGCUUAGGAGCCGGUAUUGGUACGUGUUGCUCAGUUGAGCGUGUCGUGUGAGACGACGGUGGGUAUUGCUUAGGGACGACCCGUGCCCGGACCAUAUGCCUAGGCCCAUUGGGCAGGCGCAGUUAGUUGUGUGGAGCAGCGGCCCGGUAGUGGGGCAGAGUUUGGUCAGGGCGGUAGUCCGAGCUGAGAUCCGGGAGCGUGGGAUGCCAUGUGUUGGAACAUGUGAUUGAUGACACACAUAGUGUGUAGUGAUCCAACCCAAGGAGUGGAUGCGGAUUAUGGUCUCGAUAGCUCCUGAUUGGAGUGUGUGCGAAUUCCCAAGUGAGAAUUUCGCCCGAGAAUGUUGAUUGGGUCUUUGUUGCGAGCGAGAGACGCUGCGCCUGAUUGAGACAGGUUUAGGCGGUACGCCUUCGUGGAAUUGGCGGUCUAUGGACCACCCAUGGAAGCCGACGUAAUCGGUUUAGCCGAUAACUCUGUGGAGGAGUUGGAGUAAGGAAGUGAAUUCUCGAAAUACGAGAGUUGAACUUCGCUCAAGAUCGACUAAUUGUCGAGUGGGAGUGCUUCGUAAAGGCCGAAGAAGUCAAAUGCACCAAAAGUGCAUUGCAAUAGAGUCCGCGAGAGCAAUGGUGUAAGAAUUUGUACUUGGCAGAUUUGCUCUCGGGGACCGGUCCCUGGCGGGAGGGACCGGUUCCCGAACGUGGUCUGCGCGAGCUUGCUCUCGGGGACCAGUCCCAGAAGGGAGGGACCGGUUGCCCCGAGGCGGAGGGUUGCGUAGCGUGGGGCAACCGGUCCCAGGUAGGGUAAGACCGGUCCCCGAGUAUGAAGUUUGCCCAGGCAGGCUGGGUCAUGUUGGAGAGGUUGGAGAACAUGAGGAUAAUGCUCUUUUGUGGAUUGAGAUUCGUGAUGUGCCGAAGUGGGCCAUCUCACGUUAAAGUUAAGGGUCAAUGCGAAAUUAGAGCACUCACGACGGAGCGAUGCACCGGUGAUAUUGCUUCUAAGCAAUGUCAGUGAUCGAAUUAGGAAGUAUUGUCUGAAGGGAAGGCCAGUGCAAAGAAGAGUUCUUUGUGUACCGAAUGGAGAGUGGUGUUGGAGCGUGUAGAGUCGUUGAGUACCGACUUGUGCUGCCACUAUGACUUACAAGACCCGUGAUGCACUUCUGCAUCACACUUUGCAAAUGAGAUUAAGAUUAAACCCAUGUCCUUCAGUAUGAGCCGCUUCUGGAAUCACGAUGGUGUGAAGCCGCUCUGGAAUGGGAGAAUGAGUUGGUACCCUCAAUUGCUCGCGGAGCUGAAUUGAGGCGUGGUAUGAAUUUCGCGGACGAAAUUCUUUUUAAGGGGUGGAGAAUGUAACAUACCAGAUUUUGGUAUAAAAAUAAAAAUAAAUAAAAAUAGUGUGAGAUACUAUUUUUAUUGGAUUAAGAGAAGUAAAACAUAAGUCAGAAAUGACUUGUGCUGAAAUCGGAAUGAAAACAGAAGAUUUAGAAUUUUCUGUUGGAAACGGGACAGAUAAAUUAGCAGAAAAUGCACAAUGUCAGAUAAUUAUAAAAACUGGAGAAUAAGUCAGAAUUAUUUUUAUGAGGCUAGAUUUAAAGUUUCAUGCCAUUCUGACACCCGAAAGGUGGAAAAUAAAAUCCAACAGUUAUCUGACAAAAAUUACAGUUCGGUACAGCUUUCGGUGACCAAACGGGGUCGAAAUUGAAAGAUUAAAAUUUCUUUCGUUAAGUUAUGUAAAACCGAACAUGACUGUCAAAUUUGAGCUCAAACGGAUAUUCAGGGAGCUCCAGCGAAAGAUAUCAGAUUUCGAGCUUCCCGAAGUGAAUAGUGUUGUGGUGUUGACUGAAGAAGAGUGUUGACCUCUUCUUCUCCUCCUUCAGCCGACCACUACACACGACACACACACACACACGUAUGGAGAGGGGGAGAGAAAGAGAGAAUAUAGAAUUAACGACUAAGGAGAAUCUACACGCACACACACACUAGAAUCACACAAAUUCUAGCAGUACAAUUUUUCUGACUGAAUUAGCCAUGGUCCACAAUUGUUUCUAUGUUUUAAGUAAAUCUCUAAAUUGGUUUGAAAAAAAAGCGGAAGCAAUUAGAAUUUACUCCACAUAUUUUACGCACAUUAUUCGUUGUAAAAUACACAUAGCUUAGACAACAAUGUACUUAUCAUUUGCGCUAAUCUAUAGCAACUUAUUCUUUCUAUUAGUUCUUGAGUGUUUGUCCUAAGUUGGAAGUCGUGAUUGUUGAGGCGAACCACUGGUAACUUUGUUGUAGUUCUCACGGCACGAAUUCUUGUUCACCACUAUUUCCACAGGCCGGGACCUGGCGGCCGGGAGUCGAACUUGUGUAACGUAUCGCUUGCCUUACGUCGAGGCCACCCCCAGUUGUUUUAUUAUUUGUAGGAGAAGUACACUAUGAUAUCUUUCGUUAGUAUAAUGGUAAAUGAUGUAAAGAAAAGAAUGUACUACAUGAUAUUUGAGGUAAAUUGAUGAUAAGAAAGAAAUGAAUGAAAUGAAAUGUGAAUUGCGAAAUGAACCGAGAUAUAGCAUGAUAAUUACAAAAAAUGAAAUAUAGUACAAGUGACAUGUUUAGUUUAACUUAUCUUUCAUCUAAUCAGGUAUUGCUUACUGCUCGGUACGUUUGUUAUAUUUUCGCUAUCAUUUCUUUCUGACAUUGUACAUGUCGUGAUGAUUACUGGGCGGAUAGGGAGAAACCUGUCAAUCGGCGUCUGUUUGACGUGCUCCGGACGCCAAUUGAAUCGGUCCGGGCGUAAUUAACUAAGAUCGUUAGAGCAAAAUUCAACGGCUUACAAAUCUGAACAGCGAGACGGAAGACGCCGCAGACGGCGCACAAUAGUCGAAUUCGUCGCAGUCCACUUCGCCAAAGCUCGCUCUCCGCAAACGCUUCAACAUAUUUAGAGAGAGAUUUGAGAGACUGAGAAGAGAUCUUUAGAGAGAGAAGAGGGUCNNNNNNNNNNNNNNNNNNNNNNNNNNNNNNNNNNNNNNNNNNNNNNNNNNNNNNNNNNNNNNNNNNNNNNNNNNNNNNNNNNNNNNNNNNNNNNNNNNNNAAAAGGGAUGGAUAGAUAGCAGAUUCCAAUAUUAAUUUGUCCUCAAAGUUUAAUUAUUCCUAUAUAAAACAAAUAUUAAGAAUCGAGUUGAUCCAGUAAUAGGAAUUCUCACAAUGUCUGCCAUAUAGAUAAAUGACGCCGUAUGCUUCAGAGUGGAUAUCAUUCGUUGCCAACAUCAAAUCUAUGAGUAAAAAGAAUUCUUCUCGUAUUUCUUUAACUGUAGAAAAACAAUAGAUCAAAUUAUCCUAUCAUAAUUGCAAAAAACACAACCCAGCCACUGCACACAUACUGUAAUCGCAAAUUCUUUCUCAGAAAAAAAAAAAAAAAAAAAAAAAAAAAAAAACAUAACUAGAAGGCUAGUAAGGAGCUUGACACAAAUCAUAUUCUUUUAGUUCUUCAGAAUCCUCUUAAAUUCUUCACUAAGACAUACAUAUAUUCCUAUUACUAAGAAGAAUAAUUGAAAGGUGUGAAAGCUGCAAACCCAUCACAACCAACUAAAUAUCUAGCAUAAUACCCAAAAAACAUACCUCACCUUUGUUAAGUCGUCAAGUCUAGAAGCACCAUCCGAAUUGCUUCAAUAUUCCUUCAGGUCUACCGCUACAGACUGCAGCUGAGAUCACAAUAGCCAAAAAAGCUACAAUUCCAAAAGCCAGAUACCAUAUUUCUUCAAUCAUUGGCAUACAGUUUCUUUUUCCUUAGAGAUCUAUAUUCACUAUCCUCAAGUACUCCAUCAUACUCAAACAUCAUUAUAUAUUAGAGUACAUCAGAAUAUUAUUAAUGAACACAACUAUAAAUCAAUCCAAGAAUGCUCAAAAUUUUGUUCAUUCGAAUCUAGUAAAUGUGGUACCGCAUUUGUUCAAUGCCAAACAUUCAUCACCUAAACUCAUGAUACCCAAUAUAAAUCAUUUUUGAGAAAAAUAUACAAGACUCUUGUAAUGUGAUCAAAUAGAUUAUCGAAUAUCGCUGAUUAUAAGUAUAACUUAUUUUUAUGUCACUUUAUAAUUUCCUUAAUCCAUAACACAGCUUAAGACUCAUACAAUGUCUUCUUCACAAAUAAAUCGCGCGCUUCUAGCAAGUGAAAUACUAAGGUCUCACAAAUCUUAAUCAUCCAUCAAUCAUCUGCAAAUUGUGCCUUUAAAGCUCUCAGUUCAAUCAUGAUCUCAUCCUGUAGGUUGUCUUGGAUUUGGUAAUAAUUUCAGGAACUAGUCAAUCAUGAGACUCAGAUCUCCAUAUCCGACUUGGCACAGCAAUGUAAACCAAGGGGGAAACAUCUCUGAAAACCGUCGAAACUAUGGGGAUAUCCCUCAAAUCCCAUCGCCGCUGUAAGGCAGCCCUCACUAUACAUCAUUGCUAAAUAUGGCACACACAUUCCUUAUUCAUCAACGUCUUGCCUUUGACAUGAGAUCAUUGUAGCAAUAGAAUUACUCGUUCAAACCUAUAUUAUUAGCUCCUCCUGACUUGACACGUGGAAGACUAAAAUCCUUGUCAUAUAAUCAAUAGUUGUAAAAUAAUGAGUGAGCCAAUCCAUCCUCUAGCAUACAUCAAACUUCUAUAACUGUUCAGGGCAAGUAGGUCAACAAGCAUGAUCUACUGUCCUUACUGUAUUGGACAUGAACCACAAUAUCUGUCCAUAUUAAUACAUAUCAGGACCUGCACCUCUCGUCAUAUAAUCUAUAGUUGUAAAAUAGCGAGUGAGCCAAUCCAUCCCUAGCACUACAUCGAACUUCUAUAACUGUUUCAAAGAAGUAGGUCGGCAAGCAUGAUCUACUGUCCUUACUGUAUUGGACAUAACACACAAUACUUCCACAUGUAAUACAGAUCAGGAAUCUGCACCUCUUGUACAAUGUGACAAUCCCCUAUCCACUGUUCUAUGCAGUAAUAUAUGCAUAUGCUUGACUAAUAAAAAAAAAUAUGAUGCAUCAGUAUCAAAUUAAAAUUACACUCUAAUGCCUUUAAUUACAAUGAUACCUGCAACCAUAUGUGUCCCACCUCUCCGUAGCAAAAACGUCAUCCCUCCUGCUGGGCACUUGUGUGUGGCUGAUGUGGCCUUCCAUAGAUCACACAUCUAUUUGGCUGCCGCUGCUGCUACUACUGAGAUUUACUAGACCUCCGGAUCUAGAAGAUACACGAUCCUAACAAUGAGAUCAUGGAUACGUUGAUGGUCUCCUUGAACUGGUCUGCCCCCCAUCACCCUCUGUUGGUCAAUUCCUAUCUCGGCCCCGCUCCAACUCUUAUGUAACACCGCUAAGACUUAGACUAGUCCUAUAUAUGAGAUAUAAUAGUGCUAAACUUCUUAACCCAACUACAAUAUUUUAGCAAUGAUUAGGCUUAAAAGGUUAGGAGAGUUAAGCGUUGUAGGACUAGAGUAGUUCUAGGAUGGGUAACACCUUAAGAAGCGGUUGUAAGGGAAGAAUAAUUUUCGGAUGGGUGACCCCGUGGGAAGUAGGGCGUCAUAGUGGUAUUAGAGCCAACCUACCUGAAGUAUGAGAUGAUUCUCGACUGAGCUAGAGUUAUACAGCAGGCAGAGUGCGACUCCCUAUAAGGUCAACUGAGGCUAGCAAGACGAGACUCAUAUCGCCCGAUGCUUGUGAGUGUGCCUGAGCCAGAUAAGGAUGUGAGGGUUUAAAGCGUGUAGAAAUGUAACACCCCUAAGAUUUGAAAUAGUCCAAUAUAUGAGAAAUAAUAUUGCUAAACCUCUUAACUCGGCUAUAGUAUUUACAAAAAAAAAUUUACAUUUUAAAAAUAAUCUAUCAUAUUCUAUUUGAAGAUAUUUGCCAUAUCCUAACCCAAUUUCAAAUGGUUCCUGCCAACCAUAAUUAUAGAAUUCAAAUUUUUAUAUAUAAAAUGAAUAUUUUUGUAAGUUUUUCAAAUUCUAAUGAAACCAAAAUUUCAAUAUGUGUUUUAAACUAAAAGUAACUGAAUUUGAAUUCUCCUUUACUUCAAAUUUAAAAUUUAAUUGAUCUUCUUAAAUUAAAAUUUUUAUUAUUAAUUCAAAUUUGAUAUCCAAAUUUAAAUUUAAGCUAAUGUUUAAACUCAAAUUUUAGUUUUAUAAUUUUGUAAAUUUAAAUUUAAAUUAUAUAAUUAAAUUUCAACUAUGAAUUCAAGAAGAAAUAAAAAUUUAAAUUAAAUAAGAUUAAAAUUAAAAUAUGUAUUUGAAAUUAAGUUCAAAUUUGACUGUUGGUUGCAAUCAGAAAGAAAUUAAUAUAGCAACUAAAUAUUAGUAGAUAAUAUUGAUAUAAUCUAAAAAUAUUCACCUAAACAGAAAAUAUACAUAAUGAUAUAUAGAGUUGGGCUAGAAUACUAUUGAUAGCAAAAGACUUUUUUGGUUAUCAAGUUUUUAGCCUUUGGAUCAAUUCAUUUCAUCAUUUCUAACCAUUGGAUUAAAUAUUAUAACCCAGUGGGGACUACUCAACCCUAGGGAGACCACUCAAUCCUACGGGACUAAUAUCAUCCUAACCCUACAAUUUCUCAUCCAAGGAUUGAAAACUUGAUAGUAAAAAAGAUUUUUUACUAUCAAUAGUAUCAAUAGUCCGGCUGGGAUACUAUCGAUAGCACCAAAGAUUUGGUGCUAUCAAGUUUUUCACCGUUAGAUUUAAUCUUUUGAUUAUUUUUACCCGUUAGAUUAUAUUAUUCAACCGACCACUCACUCAACCCUAGAGAGCCCACAUCAUCCUAACCACACAUUUUUCAAUCCAAGGGUUAAAAAACUAAUAGCACCAAUAGCUUGGUGCUAUUGAUAGGAUUCCAGCUUCUCUCUCUCUCUCUCUCUCUCUCUCUCUCUCUCUCUCUCUCUCUCUAUAUAUAUAUAUAUAUAGAGUUUAGCUGGAAUACUUUUAGAAGUAUUAGCCAGUUAAUACUUCCACUUUUUCUACCGCACGAUCGCAUCACGAUUGGUGCGACAAGAAGCGGGACUUAACAAGACAUUUGUUCGAACGGACGUCAACUUCUCCGUUUUCUACCCCAUCCAAAAAGAAAAGAAGAAAGCAACAGAGUCUUUCCCUCUUCAUGAACAGGAGAAAACCCUCUUCUCAGGUAAGUCCUUUCUCUCGCUCGCUCUCUUUGUAUCAUUCGCUCACUCAUUGUCUUUCUCUCGCCCACUCUCAUUGUCUCAUUCGCUCACUCGCUUUCUUUCUCUUGCUCACUCGUUUUGUCUCGCUCACUUUCUUUUUCUCGCUUGCUCACUCUCUGGAAUGUGUAUGCCACUUUAUGAUUUCCAACCAUGCCUUGCUCUCUUGCUCUCUAGCAUGCACAUGAGAUCUUAGAGUUUCCAUCAGUGCCCUAUUUAUGUCUAGGGUUUCAUUGCAAUAAGAUUUUGUGGUUUGAUUGAAAUUAUCUCUCAAACUUGUAUUUGCAUAUUUUGUAUUUCUUAGGGUAUGCAUUUUAUAUUUCUUAGGGUAAAAACUUAUUUGGGUAGAAAUAUUUGCACAUUUUAUAUUUCUUUGGGUAGGCAUUUUAUAUUUCUUUAGGAUAAAAGCUUACUUGGUUAGAAAUUUUAUAAUAUUAUCCAAACUAUUACAUAUAUUAAAGGUUAUUAAUUAAUUACACUGAUAGAAAUUGUCAAGCUAAUUCUAGUAUAGAAAAUUAUUUUUUAUAUAUGAUAAUGUUCACAUUAGCUGCCAUCAAAGUAGAAAAAUAAUAAAUUACUUAUCUUUAAUUGCAGGUCAUCUUUUUGGUCAAGAAAAAUGAGUACAGAAAAUGAACAAUCACAUAUAGUUUUAUGCUACUGUGGCAAACAAGCAGUGAUUAAGGCAUCUCGUACAUUCGCAAAUCCCGGCAGACUCUUCUAUGGUUGUGCUAAUUAUGGAAAGAAAGCAGAUGUGAACUUUAGAAGCAACUAUUGUCAAUUCUUCAAGUGGUGUCAAGCAGAACCAAAUAAUAUGGAAUAUUCUGAUGCCAUAUCUUAUGGAAGUUCAUCCAUUGGGACGCAAACAGAUGUUUCUUCGAACUAUACGAAUGUCCAACCACUAGAUGCUUCUUUGAACAAUACAAAUAUCCAAUUGCUAGGGGAUGAGAUAAAAGAGAUGAGAGUCGAAAUAAAAAACGGCUUAUGGGAAAUUAGGGUAUAUAAUUUGUUUGUGUUGUGUGUAUUGUUGGCUAUAUUAUAUGCAAAGGUGUGUAUGUAAAUUGUGAUUCAGCUAGAGUAUUUGAUGAAGAAGGGCAACAUGUACUUGUAGGAAUAUGGAUGUCAUGUACUUGGAUGAACAACAGUACUAAGUAGUUGAAUGUAAUUUCAUGAAACUUUAAUAUGACAAGCUUAACCGGUUAAACUUUGAAGUGUGGUAUUGAAGUUUAGUUCUUGACUCAUUUAGUACAGGUUAGCAAUUAGUAACAGCAGAUUCUUUUUUCAUAUUGUAAAGGUUUCAUCAAUGCUAACCCAGAAAGUGCAGAUUCUUUUUCCAUAUUGUGUGCACUUCCUCUAUGAUUUUUUUUUCCCCUUGGUUAUUGAAAAGUACUUUGUCAAUAGAAUUAAAAGGUAAAGGAAUCAUAAGAUAAAAUCCUAAUAAUUUUUCAUCAUUGAUUUCUCAAAAUUGCAUACAAAAGGAUAAGAGUUUUUGAAAAAAAAAGAAGAAGAUUAUCUCAUCAAGUUGAACAAAAUAGCACCGAUAGUCAAUUUGGCCAACAACUAUUACUUUAUAUCAUAUUUACCAAUUGCAUAAUAAUUUGUUCUUGCACAACAAUUAGGCAACAGCAGCAGCAAGAGAAAACAACAACACCUCUUGCCUAUUUAGCAACAACAAAAGCAAAAUCAAUUUCAGCCUCCUUAUAGAAAUUGCUCCAAAAUAAAGCAUUAGCAACUCCUAUCUUAGUUGCUUUCGUCAGCAUAUGCUUUGAUAUUCAUAUCCAAUGAUGAAACCUGUAGAAGGAGAAACUAUUUAGGAACAAUAGUUAAGUACUAGGAACAUCCAUAAUAUUAGAAUCGAACAAGAUCAAGUACCUCCUUGCAAGUUCGAAUAUUAUGUCCCUGCUUGUGACAAUUUUGACACGUCCUAGAUUUCUUUGCUCACUUUUCGGCAGGGGGCUUGAAUCUUUGUGGCUUUCUUUUUCCUUUACAUUGUGAUGAUGGAGGGUCUUUCACCAUGAGAUCAAGUCCAUCAAUUUGUGGAAUAGGAAGAUGCGCUUCAACUUCGUCAUCUUGUGAUCCUUUUGAGGCUUGAUUAUAUGAGAUUAUCUCAUCAACAAGCUUAUCGGCUUUUUCACAUGCUAACUCAAAUGACCCAAAACUUUGUGCACCUUCAAAUAUAAUCUUUUGAGCUUUUUGAGUGAGUGCUUGGACUCUUAAAGCUUUUGCAUGUGGAUCAUCACCCAUGGCAACACGUUUCACUAAUUGAAUACUAGAUGACCCUUUUUUCGCAUCUUUAGUCCAUCUUUUUAAAAUAUAAUGCAAAGGAAUUAAGUGCAUUUUGAUGUCAAGCAUUACCCUUAGUACAUGAGAACACAAAAGGCCAGCAAAUUUAAACAAUUUGCAAUUACAAACUAUCAUUUUGUUUGGUAUAUCCACACUAACUUCAUAAGACUGCACAUGCUCGAGACGGUAAUAUAGGGUCAACAAUUGUACUUACCUUAUAUAAUGAAUAUUUCUCCAAUUCUGAUGAUUCAUAUCUUGUACUUAGUCUCAAUUGUGUCUUGAAUUCUAGAAAAUUAGCUUUCGUAUAUGCAUCACGAGCUUGGAUUUCGAUAGGAGCAUAUGAACCAUAAACUUGCUUCACCGCCGCUCGUUCUAAAAUCUGCCUCGUCUUUCUUGUCAUAUCGCUUUCAAGCAUUUGUGGAACUGAGUAACAAACUUGUAUAUAGAGGUAUGCAGUCUACCCAAAUCUUUGAACUGGCAUUGAUACUUUCACUACGUUGUGUUAUACCCAUAUUGGAAAAAAACGUGUCUCUAAAAUAUGCAGGUGCCCACUGAUAUCGAUUAUUCCACAUUACUUGAAUGUGAUUGUUAUCUUGCAAUCCAAUAUUUUCAACUAUUGUACUCCAUCCUAUUUCGAAUUCUUCAGCUAUUAUACUAUUGUUAAUACAUGAAAGUAAAUCGUCUUAAAGCCUUCUCUUGUGCUAUAGAGUAAACUAAAAUGUUCCUUUGCCUUUCGCAUAACAUGCCAUAGGCAACAUCUAUGCACAGUGUUUGGAAAAACCUGCUGAAUUGCUUUUCUCAUGGCUGGGUCCUGAUCGGUGAUAAUAGCUUUAGGAUGUUGACCGAACAUUGCUUCUAGCCAUGUCUGAAAUAGCCAACAAAAUGUGUUGGCGGUUUCAUCUCUAAUAAGAGCACACCAAAGAAAAUUGAUUGUCUGUGAUGAUUCACUCCAAUAAAAGGCGCGAAGGGCCUACUAUAUUUGUUGGUCAUAUAUGUAGUGUCGAAAGUAACUGACAUCGCCAAAAUUUUGAUAUGCAAUCCUUGAUCUACCAUCAAUCCAAAACAAAUUUUGGUGCCAUACUUUGCUCGUCUACCUCAAGAGCAUAGAAGAACAAUGAAUCUCUCGCUUGCAACUCACGGAAGUAGUUAAUAUAGUAGUUGACACAUCAACACCAAUCAACCUCCUAUUGCUCUCAGAAACUUGAUUGCUUAGGUCUUUCCUUAUGAAAUGAAUAUUAUGUGCCCCACUUCCCUCGCAGCCAUAAAUGACAUUAUUUGAGUAGUCGAAAUAUUUUGUUCACUAAGCAAACUAAUCAUCUCUUUUGGUCAUGUGUUAUAAAACGAUGCGAUCGAAAGAACCGUGACUUACGAAGGACUAACAAUCAAAGUGUGAUAUGCUCUUUAUGAAAGGUCAGUUAUUGUCCACCUGCCAUCUUCUAUCAUUUAACUCGCAUUUGCGCCUUGCAACCCGCCUUGUAUAUUGCAUCUUUUUUUGCGGUGUACCCUUACUCCCUGCUUGCCUCCACCUCGCGGUUUGAAAAUAACCUGCUCUAGAACAAGUUAGUUGUAAUGCUGUGACCAAAUUUUCUUUCUUUCUUGCUUUGUAGUGGCUUGCUUUCUUAUACUGAAACCAUUUUUGUAUGCAUAUACAUUAUAAAACCUAUUUGCUUCUUCUACAGCUUUGAACUCUUUACCUACAUGUGGCUCCUCAUUGGAUGAUCCAUGGCCUCUACUGUGGCUGCACUAAAAUCAUCUUGGUCAUGUUGGCAAUUUCAAAUAGUGAGCAUCCUACGUCUUCUAAGUUAGCUAUUGAUGUUUUAACUUGUACAUGUUCAACUCCAACUUCUAAGUAGUCUACACACAUUGUAUCUGUUCCUUAAGCACUUUGAUCAUCUAAAUCAACUGAAUUGUAUGAAUCAGAAUCAUUUGCAUUAUCCAUUUUUCUACAUGAAAACAUUUCAAGAUAAAUUAAAAAUGAGGGAAAGCAACCAAAAUAGAGACAAGCGAUCUUAUUUUAGUAUUGCAAAUAAAUUAUAAACAACAGUAAUAUUUUGUAACCUUGAGAUACUAUACCAAGAAUCCAAAUUUGAAGAAAGCAACAAACAGACUCUAUGAGAUAUAAUCUACUAAUAUUGACUGUAACAGAAGAAGCAAUAUGCUAAUUAAAAUAUUGAAUAAACUAUCUUAAAUAAUAAGUCCAAUUAAAAUAACAAGUAUGUAAGCCAAAUCAAAAUAACUCAAUGUACUAGGCACUUACAGCUUGUAUCAUUUAAAUAUUCAAGUAAAUUAUACAUAUUAAUAUAAAUAAAGGGACACAACCCUUAUCUUUCCCGCGCCCAAAAUAAUUAGAAAAGAAUCGAAACCAGNNNNNNNNNNNNNNNNNNNNNNNNNNNNNNNNNNNNNNNNNNNNNNNNNNNNNNNNNNNACAGCCACUGACACACACUAUAUGGUAUGCACGAUACAAGUAACUAAAAAUGACGCAUCAAAAUGACAUUUCUAUCACAUACUAUAUGCCAUACACGAUACAAGUGAAUAAUAGAUGACUAAAUCAAGAUACAUGAAAUGUCAAUUGGCUUCCCAAGACUUGAAGUAAACUAUCUAAAGAUUGCUGACACUUACUAUCUCAUAGCGAGGAAAGAAGUGUGACUUACAUUAGUUCUCAUCUUUGCAUAUGAACUCAACUUCAUGCUAAUAGCAUCUCUUUCAAUAAUCUCUUUCAAUAAACAAAGUCAUGAACGGAGAACCACAAACAGGGCCAUGAGCUUCGUCUAUUCAACACAAUGCUCAAGUAUAAAUCAUCAUACGUAUAUGCAUGUACAUACUUCUGCUCAUAAUCAGCUGUCAAUGCUAAAUCUCUAUCAUGCUUCAAUUUUUCACAGUUUGAGGAUCAAUAAAAAGGUAAACCAGAUGCGUAAAUUCAAAUAUUAUAUAGCUUGUACCAAAAUAGACAUAGGGGGAAAUUCGCCAUUUUCGACGACUCGGAACCCACCUCGACUCGCUAUGUCGACUCCGAUAAAAGAAAGGCUACACGCGACCUUUCGCACGAUUUCCCGAAAUUACUUAAAUUGCUCCUCAUUGCGCCUCAUCGGAAAUGUGUAUCACACUAAUUCACACUCUCGAACACCCUGCAUGCAUCAAUUGAAGAUUAGAGGUACGAAUCACGCCAAUUGCAUUACUCAAUCCAAUUUCUACAUCCACUUCAUUCAUGUUAUUCUAUCUAUUCUUCUUUUUCCAUCUCUCUUUCUCUCUCUCUUGAUUUCUCUCUUGAUUUCUCUCCUUCAUUCUUCCUCUUCUUUUCAUUUCUUUCUUUUCCUCUUCUCUUUUUCUUUUCUUUCUUUCUUUCUUGCUGCCCCUGCAAUAGCAACAAUUUGCUGCUACUGUUGGGCAGCCUGCAGCAGCAAUCUGCUGCUGCUGCUGAGCUACUGCUGCUGGGCUGCUGCUGCUGCUGAGCUGCUGCUGCUGCUGCUACAAUACCUCGCAGCAGCAGCAAGGCUGCAAACUGCACCAGCAGUAGCAGGGGAAGAAGAGGGAGGAAAGAAAGGAAGAAAGAAAGAGGGGAAGAGAGGAAGGAAGGGAAAAGAAAGGGAAGAAGAAGGGGAGGGAAAGAGACUUUACCUCCAAUUCAUCUUCAUCUUCAUCUUCUUCUUCUUCUUUUUCUUCUUCUUCUUCUUCUUCUUCUCUCUUUCUUCUUUCUUUUUCUCUUGUUUUCUGGCAGCUUCAAAGGGUUUUCUGGCAGCUUCAAAGAGAGAGAGAGAGAGAGAGGACAAGAUCAAGCCAUUUUGCAACUUAAUCCACUAAUUUUGCUAUUUGCAACAUGGUCCCUCAUAAUGAAAUAUUGGCCCAAUUUAUCCGUUUUCGCGUCAAUUUCGCACCAAAAUGGUUUCACUCAUUUCCACCCUCUUUCUCACACCUACACAAGUAUCAACAGUCCGCAUAUUACAUAUAUAUAAUUGAGCUCCUAUGCUUUUAAAAGUAUCAAGUUAUUAGUGUUUGUAAGUUCUUGACCCUUGGAUUAAGGGAUGUGUGGUUAGAAUAAUGUUGGCCUCCUAGGAUUGAGUGGGUGGGUGGUUGAAUAGUAUAAUCUAACGGAUAAAAAUGAUCAAAGUCAAAGAUCUAAUGGUAAAAAAUUUACAAGCACCAAGUACUUGAUGCUUUUACAAGCACUAUAUCCGGACUCUGUAGAAUUAGGCUCCUGUGCUUUCGAAAGUACAGAGGCCUCCGUGUGCUUGUAAGUUGUUUUCGAUGCUGCAACAUCCAAUUCAGCGAUCGGUUUCGUUAGACAUGAUCUACACUAUUGAAACUAUCUAGAAAUCAAAUUUCAUAAUUUUUUGACUUUGUUUGCCUAAUGAACGAAUAAUCUCAAAAUGAACGGCUGAAAAUAAAAAUUUCAUAAAAAAUAGUGAUAAAAAACUGAAAUUUCAAAUCGGAAGAAUCGUGCCACAUCAACCGUUAAAAUAGUAUUUUUGAGACCAUGUGAUCGCUUGGUAAAUGAAGUCGAAAAAUUAUGAAAUUUGGUUUCUCGAUAGUUUCAAUAACGUAAAUUUUGCCUAAUCGAGACAAUCUUUCAAUUGAAUGUACUAUCAUCAAAAACAACUUAGAAACACAAAAACCUCUUCGAAAGUACGAGAGACGUAUUCUAUAUAUAUAUAUAUAUAUAUAUAUAUAUAUAUAUAUAUAUGGGGAGGUGUAUGAAAUUAUUCCUUAAUAAAAAGCAAGUGUUAAUAGCACUACUAAGAUAGCAUAGUGGAUUUGUUCUGUCUACUUUCACUAAAGAUGUCCGUGGACCGGGUCGAGUUUGGAUAGUUGAUAUACUAUAUCCGUACCCUAAAAGAAAUAGAUAUGAAAAAAAAAACUAUACCGUACCUAUUUAACUUCGGACUGUUCGGAUCUGGAUACCUAAGUUAAUAAUAUACCUAUCGAGUCUAUUUGAGUGGGGCUGGGCAGUGACUAGUCGUAUACUACCUGCUUAAAACCAGGUAUGGAUCGGGUACGGAUCAAGUCUAGAUUGGGUAUGGGUACCUGUAUGCAUAUAUUUUUUAAUAAAUUUUAUUAAACAGAUUAUGGACAAAUCAUAAACCUAUUACUAUAAAAAAUCCACGUUCUAAUUAGUUGUACCUAAUCUAAUAAAAUUCAUUUAGAAGAAAGAUUCAAGCAGUAACAGCUAGAAUUAAAAAAUGAGUAAAAUAAAAAAAAAAAAAAGAGUAAACAAAGAGACUAGGGUUAACAUUAGGAUGAAAAUAUAUAGAGAUCCUUUAGGAUGAAAAUAUGCAAGAUCUUUCAUUUAUAAGUCCUAUUGAAAUCCCUCAACUUCAAAUUUUUUUUAUUUACUAUCGGGUAUUUCACCUGGUCUAAGUCCGAGUCCAGUUCCAAGUCCGGAUUUGAAAAUUCUUCCAGACCCUACCCAUUAAAAGGUCGGGUUUGGAUGGGUCUAAGUCGGGUAUAGGUAUAAAGUAUCCGAACAUAUACCCGAAACUUUAAUAGAUAAUUUUUUUUUUACCCGUAAUACUAUCCAAUUUUAUCAGGGUUUGGAUCUGAAUAGAGUACGGAUAGGAUCCAAAUCGGAUAUGAUUUAUCGGGUAUUUUGGACAGUUUUAACUUUCACUCAUAAUCAAUAACAUUGGAAGAUCCAGUUCUAAAAUUUAGGAACCAUGUGAAGGCGCAAGAAGUCAACUGCAAACUAAAACAAAGAAUUCUUCUCCCCGUCCAAGAUUACUCUUUUUAAUGAAUAAUAGACAUAUAAAAUAACUACCUCUCCUUCACAACAACUAGUUUUCCAAAUGGGUUUCUACCUAAAUCCGCCCAUAAAAAAAAGUUUAAAACUCUCGCUCUCACAUGGUGGUUGUGAGGACUCCCCAUUAUUCAAAAGAGAACAAUAUGCACUCUCCUUUGCUCCCAAUCCCCCAAAGCCAAUCCCCAUAUUUGUCAAUCCCCAAAUCUUUCUUAUUCCAGUCCCGUCUUCUUCUUCUUGCCUUCUUCUUCUGCUGCAGCUGCUGCUCCGUCUCCUCUUUCAAAAAUCCAAAUUCCAAUCUUCUUCUUCCUACUCACAAAAAGCUCUCCAUCCAUGGCGGCUGUCGCGAUCUUCCACCGCCUCUGCCGCCUCCUCUUCGCCAUCUCCUUCCUCACCUCCCUCUCCUUCCUCUUCUGGUCCCGCUCCCGAUCCUCCUUCUCCUCAUCCAGUUCCUCCUCGCCCUCGUGCCGCAUCGAGCUCUCCGAGUUCUGGGUCCCCCCAGACCCUACCCACCCGAAAAGACAAGUGUAUUGGAACGGCUCCUCCAUCGACCUCCUCUCCUUCUCCCCCGCGUGGAACAUCCUGUCCUUCCCCUCCGAAGCCCCGCCCCCCAAGACCCUGAAGCUGGCCGUCUUCGUCAAGCGCUGGCCCAGCCGCCGCCUCUCCGGGGGACUCGAGCGCCACGCCCUCACCCUCCACCUCGCCCUCGCCCGCCGCGGCCACCAGGUCCACGUCUUCACCACCUCCCCCCCGUCCAACUCCUCCAACGCUGCCACCACCGAUCCGGAGCUCCGCACUCCCAACCUGACCUUCCACCUCUCCCCGCCCACCAAGGCCGGGUACAUCGACCAGCCCCUGGCGUGGGCGCAGUUCCAGGCCGAGAAUGCGCGCGGUGGCCGCCAGUUCGACGUGGUGCACACCGAGAGCGUGGCCCUCCGCCACAGCCGCGCCCGCAACCUCUCCAACCUCGCCGCGUCCUGGCACGGCAUCGCCUACGAGACCAUUCACUCCGACGUCAUCCAGGAGCUGCUCCGCUCCGCCUCCCCUGGGCAGCCGAGCGCCGUCCCUGCAGAUAGGCUCGCCCGGGUGGUGGACGAGGUGCGCUUCUUCCGGGACUACAAGCACCACGUGGCCACCAGCGACCACGUGGGCGACGUGCUGCGCCGGGUCUACAUGGUCCCCGAGGACCGCGUCCACGUCAUCGUCAACGGAGUCGACGACGGCAUCUACUACCCGGACCCCGCGCGCGGCUACCGGUUCCGGAGAGAAGUCGGCGUCCCCGACGAUACCACGCUGGUUAUAGGUACGCUGUCGUCACCCUAACAUUUUUUUUGGACAAACUAACGCUAUUUGAACAUCUACAACUGAGAGGCAUGCAUCUUAUAAUAACUAGUAGCGAUAAGGUUUAGACAAUUUCUUUUAAACUUCUAAUAUUAAAGAGAAAAAAAUUAUUAAUAAAACUAAUGUGAAAAAGUUUGAUAAAACCAAUUUGAAAAAGUUGGCUUGUAAAUGAUCUUCGUCGUGAGAUUUACAUUCCAAAAGUAUAUAUAAACCUAAAUAAAUAAAUAAAUAAAUAAAUAAAUAUAUAUAUAUCGCACAUCUCUUAAUCCAACGGUUAAAAACUUACAAACACCAAUAAUUGGUACUUUUAAAAGCAUAGAAGCUCAAUUAUAUAUAUAUAUAUAUAUAUAUGGGGAGAGAGAGAGAGAAGAGAGAGAGUGUGUGAAGUAACCAAACUAAUAUUGAUAGUAUAGAAUUAAAUGUUUGUUUAUCUUAUAAUUUUAACUAUUUAAUAGCCUAGGGUUUGUGGGGUAGGAUGGAAGAUAGCAUAUAUCCAACGAUAGAAAGAUAAUAGUAAAUUCUAUUGCAUAUAUCUAUCAAUAACAUAUACUUUUUACAUAUUUCAUAUAUAUAAUAUAAUAAUAUAUAUAACUAUAUAUAGGUUAGACUACUGUACUCUUAUAUGAGCAUAAAGUCUUCAACUCAUAAUGUAUUCAUAUGAAGCUUCUGAAUCGACGAUGCCACUCCGCUUAAAUAUGAUUUAGAGUAAUUUAACUUUCUAAAAAUAAAUUUGUUAAAUUUGACAUUAAUAAAUUUCAUCAAAAAGUGGUAUAAAAUAAAUGGUAAUGAUACGAACGUAUUAAAAGGUGACUGAUCCUUCAUUUCUUAAGAUCGGAGUUAAUGACGUUUAUCCUAUGUAGUCGAAUAAAUUCUAUCAAAAUUAAAUAAGAUUUCGAUUUUUUUAAGACCGUAAUCUAGCAAAUAUAUCAUACAGUCGUUAAUUAAUUAUCAAUUUUGUUACACUUUUAUCCAUAUAGGUAAAUAAUGUCAAAAGAUUAUAAAAUUUGAUUCUAACUUUAAAUGUUCUAAAUAAGUUUAAUGAUGAGAUCGAUUCGAAAGCUCUCAUCAAUCGAAAACAAUUAUGAGUAGCGAAGGGCGAUCGUACUCAUAAGAGUAUGUAGCGGAACAAUAUAAUAUAUAACAUAUAUAUAUAUAUAAUAAUAUAAUAUACUAUAUUAUAUAUUUCGCUAUGGUGUUUGUAAAGUACCCAAAACCUUAGUGCUUGUAUAUUUUUAGCGCUAAAUCUAACGCUAAUCAUUUUUCAACAUUAGAUUAUACUAUUCACCAACCCCGAUUACGCCUAGGGGCCCGCAUCAUCCUAACCGCAGAUCAUUUAAUUCAAUAGUCAAAAUUAGAGCACAAUAACUUAGUACUUUAAAAGUUAGAAGCUCAAUUAUAUAUAUAUAUAUAUAUAGAGAGAGAGAGAGAGAGAGAGUGUGUGAGUGCUACCGAGUUUUUUGCCGUUAGAUUUAAUCCUUUAACUAUUUUCAUCCUUUAUAUUAUAAUAUUCAACCAAUAACUCACUCAAUUUUGCUCUUUUAUUUUGACAUUCCCUAAAUUUUAAUUAUAUUAAAAAAAACAUUUUUAAUCGAGUUAUUCUAAUAAGAGAUUUUGUUAUAAUAACGACUACUUUUGCUAUCGAAUGUUAAUCGUUAUGAAAAUAACAUUUCCAUCUGCUAAAUGUGAUUAGGACGUCCCUAAUAUAUCUAAUUUGACUUAUUAAAUCAAGCUAAUUAGCUGCUAGAAGGGUGUCUACAUAGUAGUAGGGAGCAGAUGUUCACAUUUUUUUACUCUUUGAAAAAUCAUCAAUACUUCAUAAAUUUUGUUGCAAUUUUGAUUAAAAAAAAAAGAUUAUUGAGGACAAUGUAUAACAUAUGAAUUAAUAAACUAUUUGAAAAAAAAUUUAUAUUAAUUAUUUAUUAUUAAAUUAUUUAUUCAUAAAUUAUUUCCUGUUCUUCUCUUUUAAAAUUAUUGAAAGUACAGAAUGAUUUUAUAAAUUUUUUUAUAUAUAACUUUGUUGUGCUAUAUUUUAUCAAACAAGAACUCUCGUAUUUCCUUCGAAUUUUUUAUAUUUUUUGUUGAACUUCAGAGUUUUUUUUUUUUUUUAAUAAAAAAAAAAGAAUUUUGACCACAACGCUGUUACUAAACUUCUCCAUAUUGAUUGAUAGGUAUGGGGGGGAGAUUAGUUAAAGACAAAGGCCACCCUUUGAUGUUCGAGGCACUAAAGCAGGUUUUUGAGGAGAACGAGAGCUUUUACAGAAGCACAGCUAUCUUAGUAGCCGGAGAUGGGCCGUGGGGUAGCCGAUACAAGGAGCUGGGCCCUAACAUGCUCGUUCUCGGUCCCUUGGAUCAGGCCCGGUUGGCGAGCUUCUACAACUCCCUGGACGUGUUCUUGAACCCCACCCUCAGAGCCCAGGGGCUGGACCACACGAUUAUCGAGGCGAUGAUGUCUGGCGUGCCGGUCGCCGCCACGUGGUUCGCGAGCAUAACCAGGUCGCUGAUCGUCAGCCCGGAGCUCGGGUACACGUUUCAUCCGACGGUCGAAUCGCUGAAGGAGAGUUUGUGUAGAAUUUGGAAGGAUGGGAGGGUAGUCUUAAAGGAGAAAGGUGGGAAUGCCAGGAAUAGAGCAGUUAAUUUGUUCACUGCUACAAAGAUGGCUUCCGCUUAUGAGAGGCUCUUCUUGUGCAUAUCUGAAGGUGGCGGGGUGAAGGGAAGCAGCAACAAGUAUUGUAGAUACCCAUAAACAUAAGUUUAUAUAUAUAUAUAUAUAUAUAUAUAUAUAUAUAGAGAGAGAGAGAGAGAGAGAGAGAGAGAGUUUGGUUACAAUGGUAUCGAUAGCAGUAAGUACUUUGUGUUACCAAGCUUUCCGCCGUUAGAUUUAAUCCUUUAACUAUUUUCAUCCUUUAUAUUAUAAUAUUCAACCAAUAACUCACUCAAUUUUGCUCUUUUAUUUUGACAUUCCCUAAAUUUUAAUUAUAUUAAAAAAAACAUUUUUAAUCGAGUUAUUCUAAUAAGAGAUUUUGUUAUAAUAACGACUACUUUUGCUAUCGAAUGUUAAUCGUUAUGAAAAUAACAUUUCCAUCUGCUAAAUGUGAUUAGGACGUCCCUAAUAUAUCUAAUUUGACUUAUUAAAUCAAGCUAAUUAGCUGCUANNNNNNNNNNNNNNNNNNNNNNNNNNNNNNNNNNNNNNNNNNNNNNNNNNNNNNNNNNNNNNNNNNNNNNNNNNNNNNNNNNNNNNNNNNNNNNNNNNNNGCGCAAGGCGAGGGCGUAGUUCUGCAGAUAGCGCCCUACCCCAGAGACCAGAGCUAGCAGUACCCCGUCUAUAUAGCUUAGGGGUAAAGGAAAUGAAAAGAAUACAAUGUAUCAAACUUGUAGUAAGUAAAUGUUGUAAUAACUUAGAUUGCAUUUGGAUGAAAAAGAAUGGAAACUGUGAUGUAAAAACUAUGAAAGUGAAUAAAUGUAAUAACUUAGGAUGUGUUUAUGUUGUAUGAUACCUUCCACUUGCAAUCUUGAUUGAUAUCUGUUCCUGGUUGGAACCUUCGUGAAUUGUAUUGAUUGUGAUGCCUUGAAUGUACAGGAGAGACUCUGUCUGUAGUACAGGGGAAACCCUGUCCAUUCGGCGAUGUCGGCGGCGCCGGGACCUCGACCAAAUAGGCGGGUGGUCGCGGGCUGUGACAUCGGUCCCCCAGGACCUCCUGCAAAACAGACGUUGGGGAACCGGUCUCCCUGGCCAGGGGACCGGUUGUCUCGCAGUCUGCCGCAACCACAGCCAAUGGGACCGGUCUCUCCCACCAGGGACCGGUCCCCGAGAGUAAAACUCUCAGGAUUUAGCCAAAAAUUCACAAAUUCUAACCGCGGGUCGGAUCGCCGUCUACGACCCUCCACAAAAAGUGAAAAAAUUCGGAACCCACACCAAACACUCGAACCUCGCAAUUUGCAAAGGUCCAGUGUGCUACAUUCACCCCUCCUAAAAAGGAGUUUCAUCUGCGAAACUUGAAAAGCAGAAUACCUCAAGUCGCCAUCUGAGAAAGAUGGGGAUAGCGCUCCUGCAGUGCGCUCUCCAAUUCCCACGUGGCCUCGCCUCCUCGUGGUUGCUCCACAGAACCUUCACAUAGGGGAUUUCACGGUUCUGCAGCCUCUUCACUUCACAAGCCAAGAUCCUCACAGGCUGCUCCUCAAAACUUAAAUCCUCCCUCAGCUCCAAAGGUGUAGCAUCCAAUACAUGAGCUGGAUCGUGGAUGUACUUUCGAAGGACCGAUACAUUAAAUAUAUUGUGUACACCCGAUAGGUUCGACGGUAGAGCAAGUCGAUACGCUACCGGGCCUACACGCUCCAAAACCUCAUACGGUCCAAUGAAUCGGGGGCUCAACUUAUCCCGGAUUCCAAAUCUUCUAAUCUCUCGAGUCGGCGAGACUUUCAAGAACACAUGAUCUCCAAUCUGAAACUCCAAGUCUCGUCGACGCUUAUCAGCAUAACUCUUUUGCCUACUCUGGGCUGUCAACAGUCGCUCCCGCACAACACGAAUCUUGUCCUCCGCUUCCUCGAGCACAUCGGGGCCUAAGGCCAAUCUCUCGCCAACUUCACUCCAGUGAAGUGGCGAUCUACACUUCCGUCCAUAGAGUGCCUCAAAAGGUGCCAUCUUGAUACUUGCUUGAUAACUAUUGUUAUAAGCAAACUCCGCCAUCGGUAGAUGCUGCGACCAUCCUCCCCGGAAGUCUAUCACGCAAGCUCGAAGCAUAUCCUCAAGAGUCUGUAUAGUGCGCUCUGACUGUCCGUCACUCUGGGGAUGGAAAGCGGUACUAAAAUUCAAGCGCGUACCCAAAGCAUCCUGUAGACUCCUCCAGAAAUAAGACACGAAACGGGGAUCUCGAUCUGAUACUAUAGAAGUAGGUACCCCGUGUAGUCGCACUAUCUCAUCCAAGUAUACCUGUGCGAGUCUCUCACCAGUCCAAGUAGUGUGGAUAGGUAUGAAAUGUGCCGAUUUCGUCAAUCUAUCCACGAUCACCCAAAUAGCGUCGUGCCCGGCCUGUGAGCGGGGCAAUCCCAUCACGAAGUCCGUGGUGAUCUUCUCCCACUUCCACACUGGAAUCAGUAAGCUCUAUAAUUUUUCUGCGGGCAUUUGGUGCUCAGCUUUGACCUGUUCGCAAGUUAGACAUUUAGCUACAAACUCGCCAACAUCAUUUUUCAUCUCGGGCCACCAAAAUAGCAACUUUAAGUCCUUGUACAUCUUGGUGCCUCCCGGAUGUAUAGCAUAGGGUGCUCGGUGUGCUUCUUGAAGAAUUUCUUCUCGAAGUACCGAUUCCGCCGGUACACAAACCCGUCCGCGAAAACGCAUCAACCCUACAUCGUCCUCAGUGAAGUUACCGGUGCAACCAUCUACCAUCUUAGCUCCAAUCUUUUGCAACUCCACAUCGUGAGCUUGCUUUUCCUUGAUCCUUUCCAAAAGUGUAGGUUGCACCGCCAAAGUCAUCAGUCUCAAAGGUGUAUCAGGAGCCACCACUUCCAACUCCAACCGCUUCAUCUGCUCGAUCAACGGCGGCUGAGUAACAACAAAGAUCGCUAAGUUCUCCGUCAAUUUCCGACUUAGCGCAUCCGCCACCUCGUUAGCCUUGUUCGGGUGGUAAAAAAUCGUCAAGUCAUAGUCUUUGAGGAGCUCCAACCAUCUACGCUGCCUCAAGUUCAACUCCUUCUGAGAGAAUAAGUACUUUAAGCUCUUGUGAUCCGUAUACACUUCACACCGCUCGCCAUAAAGAUAAUGGCGCCAUAGCGUCAAAGCAAAGACUACGGCCGCCAACUCCAAGUCGUGAGCAAGAUAAUUUCUCUCGUAAUCCUUCAAUUUGCGAGAAGUAUACGCGAUCACUUUUCCGUCCUGCAUCAACACACAACCCAAUCCAUUAAAGGAAGCAUCGCUAUAAAUCACGUACCCCGUUCCAGCCAUCGGCAAGGUUAGGAUCGGGACGGUCGUCAACCUCUUCUUCAGCUCUUGGAAGCUCCUUUCACACGCAUUGUUCCAGAUGAACUUGGUGCCUUUAUGCGUGAGCCUUGUGAGGGGAGUAGAUAACUUGGCAAAUUCCUCGACAAACCUCCGGUAGUAGCCGGCUAAGCCAAUAAAACUCCGUAUCUCGGCAACACUCGUCGGCCUCGGCCAAUCAUUGAUAGCCUCAAUUUUCUUUAGAUCCACGGCUAUACCCGAUCCAGAGAUCAAAUGGCCCAAAAACGCCACCUCUCUAAGCCAAAACUCACACUUCUUCAAUUUGGCAAAGAGUUUCUUUUCCCAAAGCACUUGGAGUACUAAUCUCAAGUGUUCCUCAUGAUCCGCAACGCUUCGGGAGUAGACCAAAAGGUCGUCGAUGAACACCACGACGAACCUGUCUAGAUAAGGCUUAAACACACGGUUCAUUAAAUCCAUAAAAGCUGCCGAGGUGUUAAUAAGCCCGAAUGGCAUAACUGUGAACUCAUAAUGUCCAUACCGUGUUCGAAAAGCCGUCUUCGAUACAUCCUCAGGCGCAAUUUUCAACUGGUGGUAUUCCGACUGCAAGUCAAUCUUCGACUACAUGCUCGAUCCUUGGAGUUGAUCAAAUAGAUCAUCGAUCCUUGGUAACGGAUACUUGUUCUUAAUCGUGACUUUAUUAAGUUCACGAUAGUCCACGCACAACCGAAGUGAUCCGUCCUUCUUCUUAACAAACAGAACCGGUGAUCCCCAAGGUGAAACACUCGGUCGCACAAAACCCUUAUCCAGAAGAUCUUGCAACUGUGCCCUCAGCUCCUUCAAUUCCGCUGGUGCCAUCCUAUAGGGCGCUUUCGAGAUUGGCGUAGUCCCGGGAACGAGAUCUACAACAAACUCAAUUUUCCUAUCCGGUGGCAUGCCUGGUAGCUCUGCUAGAAACACAUCUCCAAACUCCCGCACGACGGGAAUGUCCUCAAUCCUAGGGGCGUCGGUUUCACCCCGCAACACAACAGUAGCCAAAUAGGCUACGCAGCCUUAGCUUAUCAACUGUCUAGCUCGAGAGGAGCUAAUCGUCAUCGGAAACAGCGAACUCUAGCAUCCUCGGUACACAACCUCCGCCUGCCCCGGCUCUCCAAACGUCACCGUUCGAUUCUUGCAAUCGAUAGUGGUGUAGUAUUUGGUCAGCCAAUCCAUGCCCAAAAUCACGUCAAACUCUCCAAGCUUGCGCAAAGCCAAUAAAUCCGCGUGCAUGAUCCAAUCCCCUACUCGAACAGGGCAACUGGGGCAAAUCUCUCUAAUGUCCAAGGAGUGGUCGGGAACAACAACACGUCCCGGAUGCAACAAAGAAAUAAGUGGGACGCCAUGCAACUCGGCAAACAGCCGGUCUACGAAUGAAUGCGAUGCACCGGUAUCAAAUAAUGCUCAUACUCGAAUACCAUAAAGUAAAAUGAUACCUGCAACCACAUUCUCGGCUACUGCUGCCUCCUCCGUCUGGGCAGCAUACUGGUGCCCGCUCGGGGGCUGUCGUUACCCCUCCGUCUGCUUCGGUGCAGGUGGUCGCCCGGACUGGUGAUGAGCAGAAAGUGUCCCCUGGCUGGGACCUGGUGAAGCUGGUCAGAUGCCGAUGAUGGCGCUGGCGAUGGACCCCUCGGGCAAUCCGACUGGAAGUGGCCCUCCUGGCCACACAAGUAGCACCUGCCCCGGCUGCGUGAACACUGUCGUGGAAAAUGAGGACCACCACAGAUCACGUAGCGCGAAGCCUGGCGACAAUCAGGUCCUCUUCGCUGAGUAGAUAAGCCACGUCCCCGCGACUGGCUCCGACUCCUGGGGUGCCUCGGCGGCCUCCGUGAGUGCGUCUGGCUCCCACACUCACCCGCAGGCCUCUUGCCCUUUCCCUUAUCCAAGCCUUCGCGACACUCCUGCAAAUCUGCCGCUCCGCUCUCUACAAUGAGUGCGCGGUUCACAACCUCCCGGUAGGUUUGGAGGUUGGAAGACAGCACCAACCGAAAGAUCGAGGGCUGCAAUCCGCGCUCAAAAAUGCGGGCCUUGUCCUCGUCAUCCCGCACAACAAAGGGUACACAGUGGAGUAGCCAAGAGAACUCCCUCUCGUACUCGGCCACGGUCCGAUCCUCCUGGCGCAAGCUGCGCAAAUCUUGCUCCAUCUUUUUCUUGACGCUGGUAGAAAAGUAGUGCGCCAGUAGAAGCUCCUCGAACUUCUUCCACGAGAUCGUUGCCAAAUCAGUGUUGGAGUUGUCCUGGAUAUCCAACCACCAACAGUAGGCCUCGCCGUCUAGAUGGUGUGUGGCGAGCUAAACUCUGUCCCUUUCCUCCACGAAGGUGUCGCGCAAAAGCUUCUCCAUAUGCAUCAACCACUUCUCUACUAUCCAGUGGUCAACUUUCUCUCCAUCGAAGAUCCUGGGGUUACACCUCCUGAACUCGCUGAGGCGAUCCAUGAGCCGAUCCCGCUCGGCUCCCUCGGCCAUCACGGGGAAAGCUACCCCCGCCAUAGGCAUCUGAGCUGGUGGUGCCGCCGCAACCUCUACCCGAGGUGCCGCCGCAAGGGACGACACCCUGGGCGCGAUCACCUCCACCGGUGCGGGUGGUGUAGGAAUCCGAGUCUCCCUAGAAGCCGCCACCUGUUGGAGCAAGAGAUCCUCCAGGUGCUUCAUCCGUGCCUUCUGCCGCUGUGCCACCUCUGCCUAUCGCUGAGCGGCCGCCGCCUGCUGCACUGCAAGAUUAGUGAGGACUGCAAGCUGGAACCUCAAGUCGUGGACCUCACUAGAUCCGGAAGUAGCGAAGGUCUCAACCUCCUCAAGGUGUGCCGGGAUCAGUAACUUGGCGUCGGGAUCCUCUCCACGUUCCUGUACAGAGUCUCUGCUCGUUGUUGCGUUUGUCGUCAUGCUCCUCCUUCCCCCCUCCCGCGCCCCCGAGUUCGUCGACGGAACCCUCCUAACGAAGACAUGGGAGCUCCUCCACCUUCUCCCCAUGGGCAUCACUAUCUCCUAUGACCUCAUCAGCUGCAGGAACGCUAAUGCCAACGCCGAUGCUGACAAAAACCGCGCCGCCGCGGGGAAACACGGUGCCGCGAGUUCCUACAUGCCGCAGAUCCUCCGCGGUCCCUCCGCGGUCUUUAGGGAUGACGACGACGACGUGGACGGCGACGGCGACCGUGGCAACGCCGGGGUUCGGGCGGGGAGCUCGCAAUACUACCCCAAACGAUCCCGAGGUUGUGGUCCUGAAGGAGCGGACGCGGCCGCAGUGGGCGACGAGUCUACCCAUGAGGAGCCUGAAAUCGCGGGUCAAAACCGCUGCCCGACAACCUUGACGCCGCGGUACCCUCAUCUCCAAUCCCAUAGCGAUCGCGUUUGGGGAGGUCUAAGUCCAAGGAAGGGUCUGGUGCUUUAAACCGGACUUCUUCCUUCCGCUCACCAGGUGUUCGAGUUACGAGCAGCACUUCUCUAAAAAGAGGCUUCUAUAAGUCUACUCCCCUUCGGCAGCAACCGUUGCAUCUCGUGCACCGCUUGCGGAUCCUUGAUUCUCCACGACGAAGACGACAGCAUGUGGUAGCAGCGGUUAGAGGAGCCAAAAUUCGACGCCCUCAGCGUCGUCAACAAGCAUUUGGACGUCGUGCCGUGCAGACCGCACCCAGUCUAUGUCGACAAGUCCCGGCGCCGGUACCUGGUCAGCUCCGACCCUAUCGGCCACCAGCUCUUCCGCGUCCUCGUCGAGCGCUCGGGCGGAAGAGAGAGGAUGUCAUCGGCGGUGAUCGACGAGUACGAGGUAGUGCUUUUAGAGCACGUACUGCGGAUGCUGCGGAACGACGACGUCCACCCUGAGUUGACGCCCGACAACUUCGUCGACUUCUUCACCCUAGACCAUGCCAUUGCAUCGACUCUAUCAUAACCGCAACUUCCAACUCUCUGCUGCGAUUCCAAAGCAAUCGGAGUUGCGCAACGCAUCACGCCCACCAAUUGUUUGAUGAAAUGCCCAAGAUGUAUUCUUUUUUUGACGGCAAACCUAAUCUGUACAUAAAGAGAGAGAGCGGUGCUCUUCUCUUUAUAAAAAAAUAUGUCAUCAAAAUAGAGAGAGCGGUUCUCUUCUCUUUGUAAAAAAAAAUGUGUUACCAAAAGAGAGAGAGAAAUUACUCCUCCAAUUGGGAAAGAGGGAGCUUUGUUACUAAAAGGGAGGCAAGGAAGGGAUUUUCCCACCUUAGUUGUCCCAUGAAUAUAAAAGAGGCAAAGAAGGAUUAUCUAUCUUUGUUGUCCUGUACUUUCAAAUGAGAUAAAGAGAGAAAAAUGCUCUCUUAAUUCUCUUAUAAUGAGAAGGCAAAAUAAAUUAAUCGGGUUACCGAUUGUUACUCUUUUGAUCGUCCUUUUAUUGGAAGAACAAUGGGAUGUUCAAAAAAUAAUCGAACCCCUUGAUUCUAUCCAAAGUCGAACCUCUCGAUUUGGCCAAAUUAGACCAAAUAGAGAUUUAAUCGCAUUGAAUGCUUUAUGCUUCAAAUUGAAUUAAGUCAUGAUGUUUUAGCCUUUUACCUUUUCAUUAUUAAUGUGAGUUGAAUUUUCAUCAUUCAUGACUAAGAAUUUGAAGAUAAAAAAUGCAUGCGAAGUUCUUAAAUUUGAUUCCGAAUCAGAUAUUUAAAUUUUUGGGGUUAACAUUUUGAUUUCGAACAAAUCUUAAAUAAUCUCAAACUAACCACCUCAAAAUAAAAAUGUUGUUUGGGACCAGCCCAAACCUGAAUACCGGCCAAAUUUUUUAGCUUGCCUAAAAGAAAACUUGGACUUAAGCCAUACGGGCCUAAACUGAGCCUGAGCCUACAUCCAGAACUUAAAUCCAAUUCAGGCCUCAACUUGAAUCCAUACCAUAUGGGCCUAAAUUUAGCCAAUGCCUGAAUGCAAUUAUAUGAGCCCGAAUUUGGGCCAUGUUUGAAUCCACCGCAGAAUUAAACCAUAACUUGAAUUACAUGAAGUCAUACCUAGCCCAGGCCCAAGUUUGAAUACAAAUCUAACCCAAACCAAGACUUUAAAUCAUGCCUAUCAAAUCAAAUCGAACCUUGAACCGAACCCUACCAAUUUAUUUAUAUACCCUAUCUCUUUUCUCUAGCACAUUAAACUAGAGUUAUAUUGCUACCAUAUUCAUACAUAGAUCGAAUUCUAAAAUAUUUGUUUAGAAUCGAUUAAACCAUCUGUUUAUCUUAGUUUAUGUGACUAAGGUAAAAAUAACAAAUUAGGUUUCACCUAAUCAAAUCAAAUUUAUUGGACUCUAAUACAUCUACCUGGAGUUCAAACAAAUGAAGCUAAGUUAGACUCUAAUACAUAUACUUAGAGUUUAAUUUAAAUUAAAUUUGACUAAUCCUAAUAUAUAUAAUUAGGAUUUAGUUAACAUUUCACCUUAUGGUGAACCCAAAGUAAAUAUGAUUAAGCUCUAACAUAUAAGCUUAGAGCCUAAUUACACUUGACUCUAAGGGCUUGUUUGGUUCAUCCAUCUUGGGUAUGAAAUGGGAAUCGGUUUGAUCAAAUCCGAUUAAUUUUGUUUGGUUCGCAUGAAUCGGUUUGGGAUUCCUAUUCCGGACUGGAAUGGGAAUGGUCCAUUAGCCUUCAACUUGCUUCCGGUCUUCUAGCCCGGAUUGAGAUUUCAUUUCGGAAGCUCACUAAGUUCUUGAAGCCUAUGUGACCAUCUCACGCUCCUCUUCACCCCUUUCUCAUCAAAAAAAAAAAAAAAAAAAAUAGAAGAUAAACUGGCCCGACAUUGAAGAACUUCUCAAAGCAAAGUUCGCACCGUUAGCGAUUAAGAUUACUAUUGCUGAUUGGUACCACCAGACAAAGAAAAAGAUGAAACAAUGCUAGAUUACAUUAUAAGUGCAGAAUUUAAGGAUAAAGUGUGAGCAACCUCUGCACCAGUCUCAAGCCGUUGUCUUGGUCAUGGGCAAUAUUGAUAAUUGGAUGGCCCUUUUUUGUCACAUCAUAGUUGUCCACUUUUCAUAAAUUAAUAUCAAAUAUCUUAGAUUGGAGAGAAACCAAUCCCCAAGUCCUUAUAAACUUACAAAAGACAAAAAAAAAGAGGAUAACAAAAGAGUUGAGGCGAAGUUGGCACAGGCUAGACUGCGCCUGCACGAACAUGAUAGAGAAAAGAAAAGAACAAAUUACUCUAGUGAACAGACCACUGUAAAAACCUGUGUUAGGGGCAAUAAUCCAAAAGGGCUUUCUUUAGAGGAGCGAAGAAACAAAGUGUACCCUUUCAAAUGGGAAAGUUAAGAAAUUAUUAAUGAUGCUGUUAAAAAUGGUCUUCAACUGCCCGAGCCAAAGAAGCAGAGAUGUAGGGAAAACCAAUGAUCCGAACUAUUGCCUAUAUCAUAGACUAAUCACACCCAAUUGAAGAUUGCUGUCUUCAAAGACUGGGUUGAAAAACAAUAUAGAACGUGCCAAUCACUCUUUCACAAUCAGUAUUAUCAAAGCUCCAUCGAAAGACCAAUGUGAUUGAGUGUGAUACCAAAAAUAGGAAGAAAUUUGAGAAUGCAUUUCCCCCCAAGUUUUGGAAUAUAUUCUUAUCUAAGAAAACUCGGAAGAUGUUAAAAUAUUUAAAAUAUGUCGAGGAUAAAAUGGCGAGCCCUUGAACCGCAGAAGGCAAUCUGAGGAUAAGUCCAUGCCUAAUCAAAAAAAAUUAAUACUUCAGUCAAGUCAAGGCACACUAAUAACUCGGUAAGAAAAUAAAAAAUUUGUGUGAGCGGCUCAACCCACAACAUAAGAAGCGCCCUAUUGAGGAACAAUAUGACUCAAUGGAAGAAUAAAACAAGUUGAAAGAGAGCUCUUAUGAUUCAUGAUUUUAUUUUUAAAGCAAUAGAAAAGCUAGAGAAAGGACUCUAAUAAAAAGAAAUUCCUGUCGAUGAGUGUAAAGAAAAAGAAAGAGCCUUUUGGGGAGAGACUUGCAGAAGUCAUCAUCGCACAAUGUGAUGAGAAGAAAUUAUUUCCUUCUAGCCACGUAGGAUCAAGAAGGAAUCUCAGAGAAUUUCAUAAUCAAUUGGAGAAUAAAAAGAAUGACACGCUGCAGCUUUCACAAGGUGAAUAUAAAAAUAUUGGAUAUGAAACCACAACUGAAUGUAAUAUUCUCUAUGUGAUUGGGUAUGAAGCUAGAGUAGAACAAUUAAUGAAGAUACUCCUCUCCCUCAACAAACUCAGUCGCAAAAUAACAGAGAACGAGAUAUGAACUAUUACCAAGGCUACAAGUCGAUCUUCAAAAACAACUUUCACCCGAAACUUCUCAAAAAAAAAAAAAAGCUCCCCUUAUAGAAACCAAAAAUAAGGUGAGUCAAUAAAAAUUUAACAAAGGGGAAUGUUCGAGAACGGCGCCGAUGAGGAGUGUUAAUCCUCAGUCUUCUGGCAGCAAAAAUACACCUAUGAUAUGCCCUUCAUAAAGUGAAAGGACAUAACCUAGAAAACUGUCCAUUUUCAAAUAUAAGAAGACCAAAAGGUCAGUUUCUCAAAAGGGCAAGUAUCAGGCAAAGUGUCAGAACACAAUUUGAAAAUUCAGGAAAAAAAUAAGCAUAAGACUAUUCCUUACAUAAGGGAAUCAUGCCGUGUCAUUACAACAUUCUGAUGUCGUGUUAAGAAAGACCUACGCCGACCCUCGAGAACAAAUCAACAGACAUCCACCUUGCCAAACUAUACACUUAUGUUGAUCCUUGGAAAUUAUACGAUACUUCAACUCGUCAUGAUCCAAUGAAAAAAUUGUAUAGAAUGGAGUGUGGCUUAAUCAAAUGGAGAUGAGAAAUGAGGAGGCCUGCACAGUGAAAUUAACUUUAUGAAAAUGAAUGUGAACGUAUAAUCGGUGUAUAAAAGGCUAGUAAUAUCACAAUGAGAACUAUAAUAGAUAUGCCAAACCGAUGUUACUGAAGUAUCCCAAAAGAUGUCGGUCGAGACUUGCCGAGUCAUAACUACUAUGCAGCUGAUUUAAAGGAAGACCAUAGAAAAGCAAGACUGCGAUUCAAGUGAAUUUAUCCUAGUCUCGGAGCAAUCAAAGUCAACAAAAGUCGAGUACGACACAGAGUUUCUAUGGAGCACACAUAACUGCUCAAGAGCUUAAAGAAUGUCGAUAAUGAGAAAUGCAGGGUCAUUCUUUACUGAAAAAGAAGAAUAAUACAACCCUAACUCCAGCAAUCAGAGUUUCACCAAAAAAAUAAAGCUCUAAUAAAGGAGAAAAACCAAGAAAAGAAUAAAGUUAUGUUGACAGAGUUCGUGCAUAUCAUAGCAAUAUGGGGACAUCACACCGUAGAAAAUUGCCGCCAAUGGGAAAAGAUGCAAAUUUACCUGAUAAACAAGGCGAAAGCCAUAGAUCGAUCAACAACGGUUGCCGAAUCCAAAAGACAACUGAUGGAAGAAACAUCUCCCACAGAUAGAACAGACAAUCCCCAUUAUUCAGAAGAAUCAGAAAGCAUGUUAUGAUGCUUGGACGAUAUAAAUUGCUUGUUCUUGUGUGAAUGAAGGUCAGCUUAUGACUAUGCGUGAAACUUCGGGACCAUAGAAAAAAUAAAUUACAACUUAAAGAGUCGUGUCGGUAAUAACAGUCUCCGAAGAGCAAUCUGAAGACUCCGAAAUCAAAUGAAUAGGGUUAAACAAUCUGUGUUCCAUGUGAAGAUCGGUGAUAGUGCCUGGAUAGCAAUCAAUACCCUCGUAGGGAUAACGGUGCAAGAGACGUGGAAUAUCGCCUUCCUUGAGCAUCAGACAAUGAUUUAAGGAGAGUGCAGAUUGAUAGUCGCAAACUCUGCAACAAACGAUAGACUUUGUGGCUUAGUGCAAAAAAAAACUGAAAGAGCCAAUUUUAAAAGAGAUAUUAAAUAAUUGAAUACUUAAAAAACUGAGUCAAACGUGCCAAACUCUUACCUGUGGGGUCGACUCUAAUACCAAGGAAGAUAAAAAGAGCGAUGGAUGUCUUUGCCAAUUAAGCUUAAGUCUGAAAAAGUAUUACCAGAAAGACAAGGGCAGCCGCAAAAGGUAAAGAAAAGUAAUUCAGUAUAAAUGAAGAGACACCGACUUAUCAAAUCAGGAAAGUUUACUCAAAGAUGAGUAAACAUACUUCCCCCAUUUAAGAAAAGUGCCAGCCUUUUGAUAUGGAUGACUCGCUUGAUGAUGCUAGAGAACUUCGGGAUGUACUCAUUUAUGCUUUAACAAAACCGAGCACCUUUAUCUUAUUUUGCUGAGAUGAAAUGAAAGAAGCAUUGUACUCGCCAGACAUAUCCCAAUGUUAUUUUCAACUGACAAUGAGGACAUGCUGUGGGAACUGCUCUAAAUCACAAUAGGCCGUUAUAGCUGUAACAUAGGACAAAGGAUGGAGAAAGAUUCAUCGAUUCCUAAUCGAUCCUGGUCCUCAGUCAAUAUUUUACUUUAAGAACUUUGAAAAGUUUAUAGCUUUGAAUGUCCGAUCAAUCUGUCCUCCAGAAAAAAUUUUGAGUUCAAGGCUUUAAUCAACACAACCAAAAAGCUUUGGUCGAUCAACUUUUACUAUAAAAUUUGGAGCAUUAGAUUGAGUAAAAUUCUAUUGAAAAUCAAUACUUCUAUAUAAAGGCGUUAUUGGUAUGGCCUUCGGUUGCACGAGUAUAUAUGUUUCCCCUACUUUCAUCUAAUGUAUGAAAUUAUAUUAAAGAUGAGAAGAAUUCAGAAUGAUGAUCGCACAUACCCCAUAAUUGAGUGCACUAAUACGAUACUGAAGAUGCAAGAUAUUUGCAAAAAUCCGAAAAAAUAUAAAAUUGUCUCGGCAGAUACCGAAUGAGGGUAAAGUUCAGAGCAAUAACAAAAUUAUCAUGGGAAAGAUAAAAUUGAGGAUCAAUAAAAAUUUUGAUUCCACACUUCGAAAAGUAAUUCAGAAGAUUCUGGAUGAUUAAGGACAGUAAAAAAAAUAUUGGAAACAUUUCUCUUCAAGUUAAACAAGCCUUGGAGAGGACUCAUCAGAAAGAUGAAGAAUUUUUCAAAACAUCCGAAAUCAAAAUAGGUUUAAAAACUCCUGAAGUUGAUUGAGGAUCCUUAAAUUAUUACAAACUUCAAUGUGUGACAUAUAAAAUCUCUUCAUAAUACGUGAGCCAAUAACAGUGAAUGAUUUAAAAACCUUCUUUGUACCCCUCAAGUUGAGAAAGUCAAAAGGAAAAGAAAAAUAAAGAAAUGGGAUCCUUUUUUACAAGUAUGGAUGAUUAUAAACAGCUCUGAUCUUAUACUGAUAUACUGCUGAUGAGAGAAUAACUAUGAAUAUGUCAACAUGCCAAAUACUUUCCAGAAAAUCCUCAGAAACAUAUAAAUAGAUUGGAUUUCUUGUAAGAAUGUCAUAGACUAAUCAAAAAAAUUUUCAGAAAUAUCUCACCACAAAAAAAGAAGUUUUGAUGCUUCCAAAUCGGCGAACAUAACACACCAGAGGGUUAGGAUAUCAUCAAUCUAACCCAUGUGUCCAACAAAUCUCAAUACCUUCUCUAAAGACGAUCAUCGAAUACAGCUUACCGGAUAGAUCAAGCUCAAACUUUCUUCACACACUCCUGAUGACAGAGAUAUACCAAUAAUGAAGCCAUGUGUCUCAUGCGACAUACCUGGCACUAUGAUUAGAAUAAAAGGAUAUAAAGGCAAGAGUGGUUGUUUUAUGAACAAGAUCUCAAACUGAGUCAGUAAACAAAAGCUUCUUGAAAUUAAAAAUUGGUCCACAAGAGCUCGAAGAUGGAGACAAGCCACGUUGAUGAGCUUUAGAAAUAAAUUUGGGUCAAUGAAGAAGAUGGAUAACACCACUAUAUUAGUGAGUAUUCAGAAAAACAUCAAAUGUGUGAAAGCAGUGUUUAAAUAUAAAGAACUGUUUUGCUUGGACAUAUAAAGAAAAUGCCCUCGCUAGAUGCGCGAGUGUGGCUGUUUCAUAACUGCCAUUAGCUCCAAAUCUGUGUCCAGUUAAUACAAAGCCCCAAAGGAGGACACAAGUUGCACUUAGAAGAACAGAUCAUAACAGAAACAAAAAUAGCUUAUUGAGGCAGGGGGGUUCAUCAAAGAGAGAAAUAGCGCUGACCUGGAUCGCAAAGCAUAGUCCCAGUAUAAGAAUAAAAAUGUCAAAUUCACAUAUGCGUUGAACGUUUCGAGAUGUAAAUAAAGCAUGUCGCAAGACGAUUUUCCAUGCUGCCAGUCACUGGAACUAAUGAUCGAUAAACACUUACAAGUUAUCAGCUUUUUUCUUUUUUUACAUGGAUGGUUCCUCUGGUAUAACCAGAUAAAGAUGGCACCUGAGAUGAAAAAACAUCACCGCUUUAGACCCCAAUGGCCAUAUACUGUUAUAUAUUACAAGGUUAUUGCCUUUGGGUCUAAAAAAAUCGGAGCCACUUAUCAAAUGGCAUGACGAUAAUUUUGAUAGACUUGCUCGCACAAAAUUGUUGAGUGCUAUGUUUGACGAUUUGAUUGUGUCGAAAACUGUAAAUAAAGCAAAUUAUUUUGAAGACUUAAGAAUCAGUUUUCACCAGAUUAAGAAAAUAAUAAAUCUACCUCAAGCAAACCUUCCUACCUCUCAAUGCUAUCUCAAAAAAUCUACUCAUUCCACACCAGCCUGAUGAUUUAUUGAGUAUCUAUAUCCCACAGAGAUGUAAGUGUGUCUCUUCUUCUUUGGGGGAUCUAAAUGGGGCAAUAAUAUAACAUCGCCUGCACCAUAAAAGCAUUAAAAUAGCAUCUCAAAAAGACCCAAUAACUGUCUUUGCUUAAUAUGCCCAUUACUUGAACAAAGGUUUUCAUAAGGGAUUGCGGCCGGCGAACAAUCCAAUAUAUUGGUAGGCAGCGCAUUAAAGAAUCCCUCGAAACACACUAAAAAGCUUUAUCAUCUAGAUAAUAAUGGUUCGAAACUCUUUUUUUCCGCAUGAUCUAGAAAAGAAAAAGAUUACAAAUUGGAAAUGAUGAGUAAAAUUUGUGAGCCAAACAAAAAUUUCCCUAAAAAAAAAGUGAGUUUAGUAUGAAAUGCCAUAAAAACCUAAAUUUGGAUGUGUCAUAUCAACCUACUUAUAUGUGGAUCGGUAAACAUCUUUAUACAGGUUCUCAAAAAAUAAAAUGAAUAAUAAUACAUAAUAAUAGCAUCAAAAGAGUGAUCAAUUAAAAAAAGAUAUCAUAUAAGAUAACUAAAAAGAUCUAGCCAUGAUCAAAGUUACCAUGGAACCUUUGAUUUGGACCUUUGAUGGCGAUAUGAAUUAGUUGAAAUCAAUUCAAGAGAAUUAGCACUUUUCCACGUCUUGUUUAAAUUCAGCAAAGUUUGAAAAGGGGGGGCAUUUGUUAAAGCAAAAAAAAAAAGAGAACAAAAAAAAAGAAAGAAAAACAGAAAAAUUUAAAAUAGGAAUAUGAUGUAUGAGAUGAUUAAUGCACUAGAAUGCAUAAGAAUAAUUUGAAUCCAAUUUGGAAAUAGGCACGGGAAUAUUCCAUAUAUACUAAUGUAGCAAAUUUAGCCCUUUGCUUUCAUUUUCUUUUAUAUACUUUUAAAAUGCUAUAACUAAAGUAAAAAUAAUAUAAUAAAUAAAGGGUUAAGUUGCAAUAUCAUAUACCAUGAUCCCAAACUUGCCGGCCACACUCCCACAUCCUACUAUCCCUACAUCUGCAACGUUCAAACAAAAAGAAAAAGAAAAAUUUCAAGUAUUAUAAGUUAGGUCCUAAAUAUACUCUUUGAACCCCACUUAAAAAGGACCUACUUUUUUUCAAAUUCUCUUAAACCUACUCAUCAAAAAAAAAAGGCACCUCCUGUUAUUUCUCUCUCACGAAAAGAGAUAGACAAAAAGAAGUAAUAACUUUUCUUUCUCACCAUUAUGCGCAUCAAUUGACAAAGCUAUCUCUCUCUCCCCCUCUCUCUUUGUAAUAAUAAUAAAAAAAAAAAAAAAAACCCAAUCCAUACAUUCACACUCGUCGUCGGAUCCUCUCCACUUCCUGUACAGAGCCUCGCUGCUCGUUGUUGCGUUCGUCGUCGUGCUCCUUUCCUUCCCUCCCGCGCCCCCGAUUCGCUCACCUGGAACCUCCUAACGAAGACAUGGGAGCUCCUCCACCUUCCUCCCCGUGGGCAUCUGCGUCUCCUACGACCUCAUCAGCCACAGGAACGGUAACGCCAACUGCCAACGCCGAUGCUGACAAAAACCGUCAGCCGCGCCGCGUGGAAACACGCGCCGCGAGUUCCACAUGCCGCAUAUACCUCCGCGGUCCCUCCGCGUCUUCGGGAUGACGACUGACGACGUGGUACGAUACAGGCGACCGUGCUAAUCUCGGGGUUCGAGCGGAGCUUCGCAAUACUACCCAAACGUCCCGUGUGUGGUCACGAAGAGCGGGAGCUGGGCGCGGCGCAGCGGCACGAGCCGCUGCUUCACUCGGUGCGGAGCCUGAAAUCGGCGGGCCAAAACCGCUGCCCGACAAACUUGACUCGCGUCACCCUCUAUCUCCAAUCCCAUAAGCGAUCGCGUUUGGUGGUCGCGAGUACAAGCGAAGGUCUGUGCGGCUUUUAAACUCUGGACUUCUUUCCUCCGCUUACUCAAGAUUGUUCGAUCUACGAGCAGCAUUCUCUAAAAAGAGGCUUCUAUAAAUCACUCGCCUCCGGCAGAAGUGCGUUGCAUCUCGCGGCACCGCUGCGGAUCUUGAUUCCUCACAAAUGAAGAACGACAGCACUGUGCAGCAGCGUAGAAGGAUCCAAAAUUUGACACCGCGCUCGGCGUCGUCCAACGAGCAUUUGACGUCGUGCCGUGCAAGACCACACCAGCCUAAGUCGACAAGUCCGCGCAACCAGUAACAAUGGUGUCGCUGCCGACCUUAAAUAGCACCCGCCUUCCGGUCCUCGCGUCGAGCACUCGGCGAAGAAGAGGGGAUGUCAUCCAGACAUGACUCUGACAGAUACGAGUAGUGCCUUUUAAAGAGCACCUACUGCGGAUGCUGCGGAACGCGACGUCCCACCCUGAUUACGCCGACAACUUCGUCGACCUGUCAUUCACCCUAGACCCUUGCCGCCUGCAUCGACAUCUAUCAAAUACAAGCGACUUCCAACUCCUCUGCUGCGAUUCCAAAUCAAUCGGAGUUGCGCAACGCAUCACGCCCCACAAAUUUUGAUGAAAUGCCCAAUAUGUAUCUUUUUUGAACGCGAACCUAAUCUGUACAUUAAAGAGAGAGAGCGGUGCCUUCUUUCGUUUUAUAAAAAAAUCUGUCAUCAAAAAAAGAGAGAAGAGUCGACGCUCUUACUCUUGUAAGAAAAAAAUGUGUUACCAAAAGAGAGAGAAGAAAUAUACCUCCAGUUGGAAGAGGAGGCUUGUACUAAAGAAGAGACAGAAGGGAUUUUUUUCCACCUUAGUUGUCUCAUAAAUAUAACAAGAGGCACAAGAAGGAUAUCCAUGCUUGUUGUCCCUGUACUCAAAUGAGAUAAAGAAGAAAAAAUGUCUCUUUAAUCUCUUAAUAAUGAAGGAGGCAAAAAGAAAUUAAUCGGGUUUCCGAUUAGUUUUUUGUUACUCUCUUUGAUCGCCGCCGCCGCCUUUUUAUUGAAAGAACAAUAGGAUGUUCGAAAAAAUAAUCGAACCGGUGCCUUGAUCUAAUCCAAAGUCGAAACCUCUCGAUUUGAGCCAAAUAGAUCACAAUUGAGAUUAAUGCCAUUGAAUGCUUUAUGCUUCAAAAUUGAAUUUAAUCCGAUGUUAUAGCUUUGUUUUCUAUAUUAAGUGAUUAAAUUUUUACAAUCAUUCAUACUAAGAAUUUGAAGAUAAAAAAUGCAUGCAGUUCUUAAAAUGAUUCCGAAAUCAAUAUUUAAAAAUUUGGGUUUAACAAAUUUUUCGAUUUCGAACAAAUCUUUAAAUAAGCUCAAAAUACCACCUCAAAAUAAAAAUCUUGUUGUCCAGUCCCAAUACUUGAAUACGCCCAAUAUUUAUGGCUUGCCUAAAAGAAAACUUGGACUUAAAGGCCAUACGGGCCUAAACUGAGUCCUGAGUGUCACCUCCGCGAGCCCGAUCCUUUUGCCCGGUUCGAUGAGCGUCGACAGACGCCUGUAACGAGCAAAGCCUCCCCCGUCCCCAAGGCCAAAACAACAAUAUCAAUAGAGUAUAAAGUUUGCAUAGGCGGAAGCAUACACAAUGCUUGCACGAGGCCAAGCAAUAGCACAAAUACGUGAAAACAUCACUAAAUCAUCAUACAUCAUUCAACUUUAAUACAACAUAGCAUAUUUUCUUUUAUACAUCACAAGUUCUCAAAAUAUGAUCAUUUUUCCAUUUAACAUAAAUAAAAGUUNNNNNNNNNNNNNNNNNNNNNNNNNUUCUACAUCAUUCCUUUAACAUGAUCACAAUACUAACAUCAUCAAAUACAAAAGAUGAUAAUAAGGGGUAUGCAACUAUGAAAAUAAAACAUCUCGGGCGGUCUCUACCUAGGGCACGAUGCCCUUACCGCGAUCGUUUGUUGGCUCGCUCGGUCCCGGCUCUGUGGAAAUAGGGGUGUGGGAACUACAAUAAAGUUCCCAGUGGGUUCGGCAACCAACCACGCCGACUAUCCCACUAGUUCUAAUCAGGCAUAAUAGAAUAGAAGAAAGAAAGUAACCAACUAACAAAUGCAACUAAUAUGCCUGAACAAUAUAAAAUGCGAUGCUCUAUAUAAUGCUCAUGAUGAAUGCAGGAUCACAAUUUCUUUACCCAAUCUCUUGGCUAACCCGUAGGUUUCACCCUCAACAAUCUCACCAAUCCAAAAUCCUAUUAACCGGGGAGAUACCCGCUACAACCCGAUAGGAUCGUCCUCUGGGGAGAUGUCCGCUACAACCCAGUGAUGUCGACUCCGGAGCACAUCACCUGAGGGGGAGCUACCACCCUCGAGCAAGGGCUAAAGAUGAGUACGAUCAAUCCUACAUUGAGGAUUCUAAGUUCAAUCCUUUUCUUAACUGUAAGGAAGACCAUGCUCAAAUGACCCUUAACUCUAAGGUUAAAAUGUCAUAAUAUCUUAAUCAUUCUUUUCUUUGCAUUCUUUACCAUCACUUGUGUCAUAUACACUAUUAUAUUCUUGGACUCAUGCCACACUUAUUUUCUAAGUGUCAUGUUUUCGUUCUCAUGCCAAAUGCCACACUUAUUUUCUAAGUGUUCUAGACCCAUCAAUGUCACUCACUAGAUCUAUGUCCAUGUGUCACUUUUGUUCACUAACCCUUUUAGGUUCUUGUCACUUGUCAUGCAUAAAUAGGGUUUAUAAUUCUCACAUUCUUACAAGUAUUUCAUACGAAAUUAAAUUCACAAUCAUGCCAUAAAAGCUCACAAUCAAUCCUACUGUGCAACAUGCUCAAUAUAUACAUAUAUGUUCAAACAUGAUACUUUAGAUAUAAAGGGAUUUCCGAGGUCCUUGGAAUGCACCACCUACCUCGAGUGGUCAUGUGGGUGUAGAAUAUGACGACUCCCGAACUUUACGAAAGCUGAUUCCGCGUCCUAUAACCAAAAUAGUGCCACAUUAGGCCUUCUGUACAUAAACCAUACUUAAACAUUUUUGUAACGUCGAACGGAGUUGUCCAACGCGUCGAGGACACCCCCAAUUAGGUUUCUACGAGGUCAAUUCGCCCUCAAAAAUUCCUAGGGCAAAAGCCCUAAAUUUGAUGCCCGAACCAAACCCAUUGCUAAACCCUAGGUUUUGAUCUCUAAAACAAGCAAAAGAGAGCUUGUUUAACCUCUAGAAGCUCAUUUAGAACCAUCCCAACCAUCUCUAGGGUUUAAAAUGCAAACCCUAGAAAUCCCCCAUUAGAGCACCAUGAAGAAAACUAGAGUUUCAUAGUGUUCAAGGCUCUACUACUCUUCUAAAGCCUCUAAAGAGGCCAAAACUCCAAAAGCUAAGGUUAAAAUCCAAACCCUAGAGCUCUACAUGCUAAAAACUUACCUUGGCCCAAGUUCUAGCAAGCUCCUUCUUGUUGGAGAGCUUCUAGAACCACCAAACCUUCAAAAUCCACAUUCUCCAAGCUUUUCUCCACCUUCUCCUUGCCUUGGAGCUUGGGUUCUAGAGAGAGAAAGAAGGGAAGUGAGUUGGGGAGCUGUGGGAGUGAAGGGUGUAGGGUUAUAUCAUGUUGUAACAAUUACAACAAGGCCCCUCCACUUUAUUUCCAGUGCACUGUCCAGACUGGGAAUUUUUCGCAGUCAGAACCGGUCUCCCCGACCUGGGACCGGUCCCCGAGAGCUUCUCCAGCGGACUGCACAAACUGCGCGCGAUGCAACCGGUCUCCCUCGAAGGAACCGGUCUCUGGGGACCAGUCUCUCCUCGCAAGGACCGGUUCCCGAGAGCUAAUUUUUCAGGACUUAGCUGAUUUCUCAGCCAUCUCGCUGCCUACGCGUUCGAGGACCGGUCUCUCCCACCAGGGACCGGUCCCCGAGAGCACAAAACCUGCAGUUUGCAGAUUUUGAUUUCCAAAAGCUCUCGAAGAUCCCCAGUAAUGCAUUUUGCAUUAUUUGACGCCUUCGGCCUCUCCGAAGUGUACCAACCUCGCACUUUGGCCAACUUGACCAAGGUUCGAAUUUAAUUACCAAGGUUUCGGUAUGUUACACUGAGCCUACAUUCAGAACUUAAAUCCAAUUCAGGCCUCAACUUGAAUUCAUACUAUAUGGGCCUAAAUUUAGCCCAUGCCUGAAUGCAAUUAUAUGAGCCCAAAUUUGGGCCAUGUUUGAAUCCAUCGCAGAAUUAAACCAUAACUUGAAUUACAUGAAGUCAUACCUAGCCCAGGCCCAAGUUUGAAUACAAAUCUAACCCAAACCAAGACUUUAAAUCAUGCCUAUCAAAUCAAAUCGAACCUUGAACCGAACCCUACCAAUUUAUUUAUAUACCCUAUCUCUUUUCUCUAGCACAUUAAACUAGAGUCAUAUUGCUACCACAUUCAUACAUAGAUCGAAUUCUAAAAUAUUUGUUUAGAAUCGAUUAAACCAUCCGUUUAUCUUAGUAUAUGUGACUAAGGUAAAAAUAACAAAUUAGGUUUCACCUAAUCAAAUCAAAUUUAUUGGACUCUAAUACAUCUACCUGGAGUUCAAACAAAUGAAGCUAAGUUAGACUCUAAUACAUAUACGUAGAGUUUAAUUUAAAUUAAAUUUGACUAAUCCUAAUAUAUAUAAUUAUGAUUUAGUUAACAUUUCACCUUAUGGUAAACCCAAAGUAAAUAUGAUUAAACUCUAACAUAUAAGCUUAGAGCCUAAUUACACUGGACUCUAAGAUAUAAAAAUCAGAGUCUAAUUUAAAAAUAUUUGGGCUAAUCCUGACACAUACAUUUAGGAUAAAGGCUUAAAUUGAAUAUCAAAUCAAAUUCUGUUGGACUUUAUCACAUACAAUUAGAGUUCAAUUAACCAAAUCAAACUCUAAUGCAUCUAAUUAGAGUUUAAUUUGAAUAAAAUCCGAUUAAAUCCUAAUAUAUAUGGAAUUUAAUCAAUCUUUCAUCUUAGGGUGAACAAUGUUGAGCUCCGAAACAUAUAGAGCACAACCAAAUCUACUUGAUCAUAUACAUUGAGCAUCUUGGAAUAUAUAACCAAGGUGCAAUCAAAAUUAAGUUCAGUUGACCAUCAUAUCGUAAAAUUAAGCACUUUUUUUUUAUGCUCUGUUUAUGUACACUGAGGGUAUGCCCUUGGUUAAAGCCAUGUAAUUGAAUGAUAAACUAUAUCGUAAAAUUUUUGUUUUGUUCAAUUCCAGUUUAUUUCUCCUUCAGCAUUUUAGAGGUCUCUUAAUCGAAGGUACUCUCAUAUUUUAUAGGGGUAAUUAACAGUAAAUGCUUGCAUUUAUUGGAAGCCAUGAAUCCAUAAUACUUGAUAACCAUAUAUACUUAAAUAUUAAUCUGAAUCAUGAAUACUACUCCACGGGAAAUCAAAAGAAGAUUAACCGUGCGAGGUGCGUCAUUCGUGGUCGCAGACAAAAUGGCACGCCCAGUGGGACACGGCUUCUCCUUGCAUCUUUGAGACCAAUGUUAUGCUAAUAGAAUUGGAUGAUAGAUAUUUAAUCUACACUCGUUAUUCCCUUGCAGGAGAAAUGGCACUGAAGAAUGCUGCUACUGCUACAGGUUCGAUGAUGAUCAAUGCAAGUCAAAUUUGCCUACCAGCAUCUGUCCUCACCAUUGGAGCUGCUAGUGCUGCAAUCCAAUUCGGCACCAUCCCAGAAGAGGCUAGGGCUGCGGCUAUUGCUCCUUUCAAUGCUGUUACAAGCACAAAGGAUGUUAAUGCUGUGGUUCCACGUCUUCCCUGUCGUGGGAAGCGUCCGAAUGUCGUCAUUCCCAUCCCUCCUCGCGUUCCUGUGAAGGAGAGGAUGACUCCUAUUAGUGCUUCGAAGAAAAUGGAGUUACAAGGUAGGCUGGUGUUCCAAAACCAAAUUGAUGAAACAUUGCCACUUGAUAUGGCACCUAAAGCGUCAGUCUUCAAUAGGCUGACGUUCCCCAAGGAAACUGUAUCUCCUGUGACAAAGGCAUUCAAGAGAAAUCUUCGCCGUACUUUGAAGCGACAGGAGAUAAAUAAAGAAAAGAAGUCUCGACAAACCCAACUUACUAGGUUUGUCGCCGGACCUAAUGUUUUGGUCCAUAACCGUUAUGCACCCUUGAGAUUUGUGAGAAAAAACUCACCUACUGCCAUUCUGCGUCCAGAGUCAGAAAUGGUCCAUUUAAAGCCUUCUUUUGUAUGUCCUAGCUUGAGAAACAAUGACAAGAACUUUGUCUUCAAGCAGAUAUAUAAAACUUUUAAGGCUGCAAAAGGGAGAAUGAACCUAGAGAAGAAAAUUGAGAAGCCGAAAUGGCAACGAAAAUCAACACUAUCGUGGGAAGGAAGAAAAACAGAGUGGAAGCCCAGAACUCUUGCUCAGAUUAAAGAAGAAAAAUCUAAAAUAGAGAAUUUGGAGAUUCACACUGUAAGAGUUAUUGGGCAUACGCCGUCAAGUGAGGCCGUUGAUGAAGAAGAAACUAUUCAGCAAAUUCUUACAAGAGCUGCUGCGAGAAAAGCAGCGGAAGAGAAAGCAAGAACUAAGGAAACAAGCUCUUCGCAAAAUAUCGAGAAUAAAGAUGUUUUACCUAGUAAUCCACCUGACCUGUGAGAGGAAGAAGAGGUUGUAUUUUUCUCAAGGGAUCCAAAGGAUGUUAUGAUUGCAUCCUUAAAAAAGAAAGUUGAUGAAAAGGAUAGAGAUAUCAUAAAUCUCUAUAAAAAGAUGAAGGAGGUCAUGGGUUUGAUGUUGAAUGUGCAGAAGCAAUUGGAGGAUCAACGGCGUCAAACCAAGAUUCUAACCCAGAUAGAAGCACAGAUACAACAAGCCGUUGAUGAACAGGCUAAAACAGCUGUUUUUAAAGAGGCUACCUCUUUGACCAAAGAAGAAAUUCAUGACUUGAUCACUUCGCAAGUAAAAGAGACGGUAGCGGGGGCAACUCCAAAACCUAAAGGGAAAGGACACCCUUAUCUAUCGAAAUAUGAUAAUGUACCUUUUCCAGAAGGGUAUCAGGUCCCUAAGUUCAAAAUGUUCAAUGGUGUUGGUAACCCUGAUCAGCAUCUAGCACAUUUUAAGGCCACAUAUGGAAAUACGGGGAGUAAUGGACCUCUACUCUUGCGACAAUUUCCACAAAGUUUAUCAGGUAUAGCAUUUGAAUGGUACUACUCCCUUGAAGAUGAGUUUAUUAAAACUUGGGCCGACAUGGAAGAAGCUUUCAAAGCAAAGUUCGCCACCGUUAGCGAUAAGAUUACUAUUGCUGAUCUGGUAGCCACCAGACGAAGAAAAGAUGAAACAAUGCUAGAUUACAUUAUAAGGUGGCAGAAUUUAAGGAUAAAGUGUGAGCAACCUCUGGACCAGUCUCAAGCCGUUGGUCUUGUCAUGGGCAAUAUUGAUAAUUGGAUGGCCCCUUUUUUGUGCACAUCUAGUUGUUCCACUUUUCAUAAAUUAAUAUCAAAUAUCUCUAGAUUGGAGAGAACCAAUCCCCAAGUCCUUAUAAACUUACAAAAGACAAAAAAAAGAGGAUAACAAAAGAGUUGAGGCGAAGUUGGCACAGGCUAGACUGGCCUGCACGAACAUGAUAGAGAAAAGAAAGAAAGCAAUUACCUCUACAGUUGAACAGACCACUGUAAAACCUGUGUUAGGGGGCAAUAAUCCAAAAGGGCUUUCUUUAGAGGAGCGAAGAAACAAAGUGUACCCUUUCAAAUGGGAGAAAGUUAAGAAAAUAUUUAAUGAUGCUGUUAAAAAUGGUCUUCAACUGCCCGAGCCAAAGAAGCCAGAGGAUGUAGGGAAAACCAAUGAUCCGAACUAUUGCCUAUAUCAUAGACUAAUCAGCCACCCAAUUGAAGAUUGCUGGGUCUUCAAAGACUGGGUUGAAAAACAAUAUAGAAGCGGUGCAAUCACUCUUUCACAAUCAGUAUUAUCAGAAGCUCCAGUCGAAAGGACCAAUGUGAUUGAUGUGGAUACCAAAAAUAUGGAAGAAAUUGAGAAUGCAUUUCCCCCCAAGUUUUGGAAUAUAUUCUUAUCUAAGAAAACUCGGAAGAUGUUAAAAUAUUUAAAAGAUAUUCGAGGAGUAAAAUGGCGAGGUCCCUUGAACCCAGAAGUGCAAUCUGAGGAUAAGUCCAUGCCUCCAAUCAAAAAAAUUAAUACUUCAGUCAAGUCAAGGCACAUAAUAACUCGGGUAAAGAAGAAUAAAAAAUUUGUUGAGCCGGCUCAACCACAACAUAAGAAGCGGCCUAUUGAGGAAAAUAUUGACUCAAUGGAAGAAUAUAAACAAGUUGAAAGAGAGCCUCUUAUGAUUCAUGAUUUUAUUUUUAAAGCAAUAGAAGAAGCUAAGAAAAAGGACUCUAAUAAAAGAGAAAUUCCUGUCGAUGAGUGUAAAGAAAAAGAAGAGCCUUUUUGGGGAGAGACUUGCAGAGUCAUCAUCGCACAAUGUGAUGAUGAAGAAAUUAUCUUUCCUUCUAGCCACGUUAGGGAUCAAGAAGGGAAUCUCAGAGAAUUUCAUAAUCAAUUGGCAGAAAUAAAAGAAAUGACACGCUGCAGCUUUCACAAGGUGAAUGAUAAAAUAUUGGAUAUGAAACCACAACUGAAUGUAAUAUUCUCUAUGUUGAUUGGGAUCGAAGCUAGAGUAGAACAAUUAAUGAAGAUUACUCCUCUCCCUCAACAAACUCAGUCGCAAAAUAACAGAGAACGAGAUAUUGAACUAUUACCAAGGCCUACAAGUCGAUCUUCAAAACAACUUUCACCCGAAACUUCUCAAAAAGAAAAAGAAAAAGCUCCCCUUAUAGAAACCAAAAAUAAGGGUGGAGUCAAUAAAAAAUUUAACAAAGGGGAAUGUUCGAGAACGGCGCCGAUGGGAGGUGUUAAUCCUCAGUCUUCUGGCAGCAAAAAUACACCUAUGUAUUGCCCUUUUCAUAAAGUGAAAGGACAUAACCUAGAAAACUGUCGCACUUUUCAACAUAUAAGAAGACCAAAAGGUCAGUUUUCUCAAAGGGCAAGUAUCAGGCAAAGUGUCAGAAGCACAAUUUUGAAAAUUCAGGAAAAAAAUAAGCAUAAGACUAUUCCUUACAUAAGGGAAUCAUGCCGUGUCAUUACAACAUCUGAUGUCGUGUUAGAAAGACCUACGCCGACCCUGAGAGCAAAUCAACAGACAUCCACGCCAAACUAUAACACUUAUGUUGAUCCUUUGGAAUUAUACGAUACUUCAACUCGUCAUGAUCCAAUGAAAAAAUUGUAUAGAAUGGAGUGUUGCUUAAUCAGAAUGGAGAGAGAAAUGAGGAGGCUGCACAGUGAAAUUAACUUUAUGAAAAUGAAUGUGAACGGUAUAAUCGGUGGUAUAAAAGGCAUAGAUAUUCAAAUGAGAACUAUAAUAGAUAUGCUCAAAACCGAUGUUACUGAAGUAUCCAAAAGAUGUCGGGUCGAGACUUGUCGAGUCAUAACUAUGCAAGCUGAUUUAAAGGAAGACGAUAAGAAGCAAGACUCGAUUCAAGUGAAUUUAUCCUAUCCGGAGCAAUCAAAGUCAACAAAAGUCGAGUACGACACAAGUUUCUAUGGAGCACACAUAACUGCUCAAGAGCUUGAAAGAAUGUCGAUAAGAGGAAAUGCAGGGUCAUCUUUACUGAAAAAGAAGAAUAAUACAACCCUAACCCAGCAAUCAGAGGUUCACCAAAAUAAUAAAGCUCUAAUUAAGGAGAAAAACCAAGAAAAGAAUAAAGUUAUGUUGACAGAGUUCUGUGCCUAUCAUAGCAUAUGGGGACACACCGUAGAAAAUUGCCGCCAAUGGGAAAAGAUGCAGAAUUUACCUAUGAACAAGGCGAAGCCAAGGAUCGAUCAACCAACGGUUGCCGAAUCCAAAAGACAAUGAUGGAAGAAACAUCUCCCACGAUUUGAGAAACAACAAUCCAUUACUUCAGAAGAAUUCAGAAAAGCAUGUUAUGAUGCUUUGGACGAUAUGAAAUUGUUGUUCUUGGUGUGGAAUGAGAGGUCAUGCUUAUGACGUAUGCGUGAAACUUCGGGACCAUAGAAAAAAUAAAUUACAACUUAAAGAGUCGUGUCGGGUAAUAACAGUCUCCGAAGAGCAAUCUGAAGACUCCGUAAAUCAAAUGAAUAGGGUUAAACAAUCUGUUGUUCCAUGUGAAGAUGGUGAUAGUGCCUGGAUAGCAUACAAUACUCCUCGUAGGGAUAACGGUGCAAGGAGAGUGGAAUAUCGCCUUCUUGAGAUAGACAAUGAUUUAAGGAGAGUGCAGAUUGAUGUACGCACUCUGGCAACAAACAUAGACUGUGUGGCUAUGGCAAUAAAAAAUAUGAAAGAGCAGUUAAAAGAGAUAUUAAAUAAGUUGAAUACUUAUGAAAAAACUAGAGUCGAAACGUGCCAAACUGUUACCUGUGGGGUCGACUCUAAUACCAAGGAAGAUAAAAGAGCUGAGGAUUCUUUCCAAAUUAAGCUUAAGUCUGAAAAAGUAUUACCAGAAAGACAAGGGCAGCCGCAAAAUGGUAAAGAUAAAGAAAUUCAGAUAAAUGAAGAGACACCGACUUCAUCAAAUCAAGGAAAGUUAUCAAAGAUUGAGUAUAACAUACUUUCCCAUUUAAGAAAAGUGCCAGCCUUGUUGAGUAUGUAUGACGCCUUGAUGAUGUCUAGAGAACUUCGGGAUGUACUCAUUUAUGCUUUACAAAACCCCGAGCCCUUUUAUGCUUAUUUUGCUGAGAUGAAUAUGAAAGAAGCAUUGUACUCCAGACAUAUCGCCAAUGUUAUUUUCACUGAUGAGGACAUGCUGUUGGGAACUGCUCAUCACAAUAGGCCGUUAUAUGUAACUAGGACAAGCGAUGGAGAGAAGAUUAAUCGUAUUCUAAUCGAUCCUGGAUCCUCAGUCAAUAUUUUGACUUUAAGAACUUUGAAAAGUUUAGCUUUGAAUGUCGAUCAUCUGUCCUCAGAAAAAAUUUUGAUUCAAGGCUUUAAUCAACACAACCAAAAAGCUCUUGGGUCGAUCAUUCUUCCUAUAAAAUUUGGAGCAUUACGGAUUGAUGUAAAAUUCUAUGUGAUAAAUGCAGAUACUUCAUAUAAAGCGUUAUUGGGAUGGCCUUGGUUGCACGAGUAUAAUGUUGUCCCCUCUACUCUUCAUCAAUGUAUGAAAUAUAUUAAGGAUGGAGAAGAAUUCAGAAAUGAUGGCGACAUACGCCCAUUUGGAGUGCAUGAAGUACGAUAUGAAGAUGCGAGAUAUUUUGCAAAAUCCGAAAAAAAUAUAAAAUUGUCUCGCGAACCCGAAGAGGGUAAAGUUCAGAGCAAUAAAAAAUUAUCAUAGGGAAAGAUAAAAAUUGAGGAUAAUAAAGAAAUUUUGAUUCCACACUUCGAAAGUAAUUCAGAAGAUUCGGAUGAUGAAGGACAAGUAAGAAAAAUAUUGGAAACAUUUUCUCUCAAGUUAAACAAGCCUUGGGGAGAGGACUCAUCAGAAGAUGAAGAGAUUUUUUCAACAUCCGAAUCAAAUAUGGUUAUAAGAACUCCUGAAUUGAUUGAGGAUUCCUUAAUUAUUACUAAACUUCAAUGUGGACAUAUAAAAUCUCUUCAUAUAAGUGAGCCAAUAACAGUGAAUGAUUUAAAAACCUUCUUUGUACCUCCUCAAGUUGAGAAAGUCAAAGGAAAAGAAAGAAUAAAGAAAGGGAUCCUUUUUUACAAGUUGGAUGAUUAUAAACCCUCUGAUCUUAUCAAGCUUGAUAACUCUGAUGAGGAAAUAUAUGAAGAUGUCAACAUGCCAAAAUACUUUCCGAAAAAUCUCAAAAACAUGAUAAAUAGAUUGGGAUUUCUUGUAAGAAGGUCAUGAGCUAAUCAAAAAAAUUUUCAGAAAAUGUAUCCACCACAAAAAAGAGUUGUGCUUCCAAAUCGGCGAACAGUACACACCAGAGGGUUAGGAUAUCAUCAAUCUACCCAUGUGUCCAACAAAUCUCAAUACUCUUCUAAAGAGAUCAUCGGAAUGACAGCUUCCGAGAUAGAUCAACUCAAAACUUAUCUCACACCUCCGAUGACAGAGAUAACCAAUAAUGAUGCAUGUGUCAUGCGACAUACCUGCACUAUGAUUACAAUAAAGGAUAUAAAGCAAGAUAAGAACACGAUCUCAACUGAGUCAGUAAAAACAAAGCUUCUUGAAUUAAAAAUUGGUCCACAAGAGCUCGAAGAUGGAGGACAAGCCACCGUUGAUGAGCUUUUAGAAAUAAAUUUGGGUAAUGAAGAAGAUCGAAGACCCACUUAUAUUAGUGUACUACUUCCAGAAAAACAUCAAAAUGUGUUGAAAGCAUUGUUGUUAGAAUAUAAAGACUGUUUUGCUUGGACAUAUAAAGAAAUGCCCGGCUUAGAUCCGAGUGUGGCUGUUCAUAAACUUGCCAUUAGCCCAAAUGUGUGUCCAGUUAAACAAGCCCCAAGGAGGACAAGAGUUGACUUAGAAGAACAGAUCAUAACAGAAACUAAAAAGCUUAUUGAGGCAGGGUUCAUCAGAGAAGAGAAAUACGCUGACUGGAUCGCAAGCAUAGUCCCAGUAAAGAAGAAAAAUGGUCAAAUUCACAUAUGCGUUGACUUUCGAGAUGUAAAUAAAGCAUGCCCAAAGGACGAUUUUCCACUGCCAGUCACUGAACUAAUGAUCGAUAACACUUCAAGUUACGAGAUGUUUUCUUUUAUGGAUGGUUCCUCUGGUAUAACCAGAUAAAGAUGGCACCUGAGGAUGAAAAACACACCGCUUUUAGAACCCCAAUUGGCAUAUACUGUUAUAAGGUUAUGCCCUUUGGUCUAAAAAAUGCAGGAGCCACUUAUCAAAGGGCUAUGACGAUAAUUUUUGAUGACUUGCUCCACAAAAUUGUUGAGUGCUAUGUUGACGAUUUGAUGGUCAAAACUGUAAAUAAAGCAAAUUAUUUUGAAGACUUAAGAACAGUUUUCACCAGAUUAAGAAAAUAUAAUCUACUCAAGCAAACCUUCUACCUCAAUGCUAUCUCCAAAAAAUCUACUCAUUCCACACCAGCCUGGAUGAUUAUUGAGUAUCUUAUAUCCAAGAGAUUGUAAUGUGUCUCUUUUCUUUGGGGGAUCUAAUGGGGGCAAUAAUAUAACAUCGCCGUCACCAUCAAAAGCAUAAUAGUCAACUCCAAAACGACCCAAUAACUGUCUUUGCUUAAAUACUGCCCAUUCUUUGAACAUAGGUGUUUCAUAAGGGAUUGCGGGCUCGGCGGAACAUCCAAAUAUUGGAGGCGAGCGCAUUAAAGAAUGCCCUCUGAACACACCUAAAGCUUUAUCAUCUAGAUGAAUUAAUGGUUCGCUCUUUUUCCGCAUGAUCUAGAAAGAGAAAAAGAUUACAAUGUGAAAUGGAUGAGUAAAAUUUGUGAUCCAAACAAAAUAUUCCCUAAAAAAAAAAGUGGAGUUUAGUGUUGAAAUCCAUAAAACCAAUUUGGAUGUGUCAUAAUCAACCUACUUUAUAUGUGGAUUGGGUACAUCUUAUACAGGUUCUCAAAAAAUAAUAAUAAUAAUAAUAAUAAUAAUAGCAUCAAAAGAGGUUGAUCAAUUAAAAAGAUAUCAUAAAGAACUAAAAAGAUCUAGCCAUGAUAAAGUUACCAUGGACCUUUGAUGUUGGACCUUUGAUGGCGAUAUGAAAGUUGAAAUCAUGCAAGGAGAUUAGCACCUUUUCCACCUUGUUUAAAUUCACAAGUUUGAAAAGGUGGGGGGCAUUUGUUAAAGCAAAAAAAAAAAGAGAAAAAAAAAAAGAAAGAAAGACAGAAAAUUUAAAUAGGAAUAUGAUGUAUGAGAUGAUCUAUGCACUAGAUGCAUAGAGAAUAUUUGAAUCCAACUUUUGAAUAGGCACGUGGAUAUUCCAUAUAUACUAAUUAGCAAAUUAGCCCUUUGCUUUUCAUUUUCUUUUAUUUACUUUUAAAAUGCUAUAACUAAAGUAAAAAUAAUAUAAGUAAAUUAAAGGGGUUAAGUUGCAAUAUCAUAUCCAUGAUCCCAACUUCCCACAUCUCCCACAUCCUACUACCCCUAUCAUCUGCACGUUCAAAAAAAAAAGAAGAGAAAAAUUUCAAGUAGUUAUAAGUUAGGUCCAUAAAUAUCUCUUUGGAACCCACUUAAAAAAAGGACCUACUUUUUUUCAAUUCUCUAACCUACUCUCAACAAAAAAAAGCACCUCCUGUUAUUUUCUCUCUUCACGAAAGAGAAGAAAAAAGGAAGUAAUAACUUUUCUUUUCUCCCAUUGAUGCAGCAUCAAUGACAAAGCUCUCUCUCUCUCCCCCUCUCUCUUUGUAAUAAUAAUAAAAAAAAAAAAAAAAAAAACCCAAUCCAUCAUCAGCAACUCGUCGUCCGGAUCCUCUCCACGUUCCUGUACAGAGCCCCUGCUCGUUGUUGCGUUCGUCGUCGUGCUCCUCCUUCUCCCCUCCCGCGCCCCCGAGUUCGUCGACGGAACCCUCCUAACGAAGACAUGGGAGCUCCUCCACCUCCUCCCCGUGGGCAUCGCCGUCUCCUACGACCUCAUCAGCCACAGGAACGGUAACGCCAACGCCAACGCCGAUGCUGACAAAAACCGUGCCGCCGCGGGGAAACACGGCGCCGCGAGUUCCUACAUGCCGCAGAUCCUCCGCGGUCCCUCCGCGGUCUUCGGGGAUGACGACGACGACGUGGACGAUGACGGCGACCGUGGCAAUGCCGGGGUUCGAGCGGGGAGCUCGCAAUACUACCCCAAACGAUCCCGUGGUUGUGGUCACGAAGGAGCGGGAGCGGGCGCGGCCGCAGCGGGCGACGAGCCGCUGCUUCUACUCGUGCGGAGCCUGAAAUCGCGGGCCAAAACCGCUGCCCGACAACCUUGACGCCGCGGUACCCUCAUCUCCAAUCCCAUAGCGAUCGCGUUUGGGGUGGUCCGAGUACAAGGAAGGGUCUGGUGCUUUAAACCGGACUUCUUCCUUCCGCUUACCAGAUGUUCGAUCUACGAGCAGCACUUCUCUAAAAAGAGGCUUCUAUAAGUCUACUCGCCUCCGGCAGCAGCCGUUGCAUCUCGCGCACCGCUUGCGGAUCCUUGAUUCUCCACAAUGAAGACGACAGCAUGUGGCAGCAGCGGUUAGAGGAGCCAAAAUUUGACACCCUCGGCGUCGUCAACGAGCAUUUGGACGUCGUGCCGUGCAGACCACACCCAGCCUAUGUCGACAAGUCCCGGCACCGGUACAUGGUCAGCUCCGACCUUAUCAGCCACCCGCUCUUCCGCGUCCUCGUCGAGCACUCGGGCGGAAGAGAGGGGAUGUCAUCAGCGGUGAUCGACGAGUACGAGGUAGUGCUUUUAGAGCACCUACUGCGGAUGCUGCGGAACGGCGACGUCCACCCUGAGUUGACGCCCGACAACUUCGUCGACUUCUUCACCCUAGACCUUGCCGCUGCAUCGACUCUAUCAUAACAGCGACUUCCAACUCUCUGCUGCGAUUCCAAAGCAAUCGGAGUUGCGCAACGCAUCACGCCCACCAAUUGUUUGAUGAAAUGCCCAAUAUGUAUUCUUUUUUUGACGGCGAACCUAAUCUGUACAUAAAGAGAGAGAGCGGUGCUCUUCUCUUUAUAAAAAAAUAUGUCAUCAAAAGAGAGAGAGAGCGGCGCUCUUCUCUUUGUAAGAAAAAAAUGUGUUACCAAAAGAGAGAGAGAAAUUACUCCUCCAGUUGGGAAAGAGGGAGCUUUGUUACUAAAAGAGAGACAAGGAAGGGAUUUUUCCACCUUAGUUGUCUCAUAAAUAUAAAAGAGGCAAAGAAGGAUUAUCCAUCUUUGUUGUCCUGUACUUUCAAAUGAGAUAAAGAGAGAAAAAUGCUCUCUUAAUUCUCUUAUAAUGAGGAGGCAAAAGAAAUUAAUCGGGUUACCGAUUGUUACUCUUUUGAUCGUCCUUUUAUUGGAAGAACAAUAGGAUGUUCGAAAAAUAAUCGAACCCCUUGAUUCUAUCCAAAGUCGAACCUCUCGAUUUGGCCAAAUUAGAUCAAAUUGAGAUUUAAUCGCAUUGAAUGCUUUAUGCUUCAAAUUGAAUUAAGUCAUGAUGUUUUAGCCUUUUGCCUUUUCAUUAUUAAUGUGAGUUGAAUUUUCAUCAUUCAUGACUAAGAAUUCGAAGAUAAAAAAUGCAUGCGAAGUUCUUAAAUUUGAUUCCGAAUCAGAUAUUUAAAUUUUUGGGGUUAACAUUUUGAUUUCGAACAAAUCUUAAAUAAUCUCAAACUAACCACCUCAAAAUAAAAAUGUUGUUUGGGACCAGCCCAAACCUGAAUACCGGCCAAAUUUUUUAGCUUGCCUAAAAGAAAACUUGGACUUAAGCCAUACGGGCCUAAACUGAGCCUGAGCCUACAUCCAGAACUUAAAUCCAAUUCAGGCCUCAACUUGAAUCCAUACCAUAUGGGCCUAAAUUUAGCCAAUGCCUGAAUGCAAUUAUAUGAGCCCGAAUUUGGGCCAUGUUUGAAUCCACCGCAGAAUUAAACCAUAACUUGAAUUACAUGAAGUCAUACCUAGCCCAGGCCCAAGUUUGAAUACAAAUCUAACCCAAACCAAGACUUUAAAUCAUGCCUAUCAAAUCAAAUCGAACCUUGAACCGAACCCUACCAAUUUAUUUAUAUACCCUAUCUCUUUUCUCUAGCACAUUAAACUAGAGUUAUAUUGCUACCAUAUUCAUACAUAGAUCGAAUUCUAAAAUAUUUGUUUAGAAUCGAUUAAACCAUCUGUUUAUCUUAGUUUAUGUGACUAAGGUAAAAAUAACAAAUUAGGUUUCACCUAAUCAAAUCAAAUUUAUUGGACUCUAAUACAUCUACCUGGAGUUCAAACAAAUGAAGCUAAGUUAGACUCUAAUACAUAUACUUAGAGUUUAAUUUAAAUUAAAUUUGACUAAUCCUAAUAUAUAUAAUUAGGAUUUAGUUAACAUUUCACCUUAUGGUGAACCCAAAGUAAAUAUGAUUAAGCUCUAACAUAUAAGCUUAGAGCCUAAUUACACUUGACUCUAAGGGCUUGUUUGGUUCAUCCAUCUUGGGUAUGAAAUGGGAAUCGGUUUGAUCAAAUCCGAUUAAUUUUGUUUGGUUCGCAUGAAUCGGUUUGGGAUUCCUAUUCCGGACUGGAAUGGGAAUGGUCCAUUAGCCUUCAACUUGCUUCCGGUCUUCUAGCCCGGAUUGAGAUUUCAUUUCGGAAGCUCACUAAGUUCUUGAAGCCUAUGUGACCAUCUCACGCUCCUCUUCACCCCUUUCUCAUCAAAAAAAAAAAAAAAANNNNNNNNNNNNNNNNNNNNNNNNNNNNNNNNNNNNNNNNNNNNNNNNNNNNNNNNNNNNNNNNNNNNNNNNNNNNNNNNNNNNNNNNNNNNNNNNNNNNNNNNNNNNNNNNNNNNNNNNNNNNNNNNNNNNNNNNNNNNNNNNNNNNNNNNNNNNNNNNNNNNNNNNNNNNNNNNNNNNNNNNNNNNNNNNNNNNNNNNNNNNNNNNNNNNNNNNNNNNNNNNNNNNNNNNNNNNNNNNNNNNNNNNNNUAACCAUUGGAUUAAAUACUAUAACCCAGUGGAGACCACUCAACCCUAGGAGGACCACUCAACUCUGAUCGAUUAAUAUUAUCCUGACCCUACAAUUUUUCAUCCAAAGGUUAAAAACUUGAUAGCAAAAAGAGCAUUUUACUAUUAAUAAUAUUCCAGUCUAAUUCUAUAUAUACUGACUAAUAUCAUUUUAAUUCUACAAUUUUUCAUCCAAAGAUUAAAAACUUAAUAGCAAAAUAAGAAUUUUACUAUUAAUAAUAUUUUUAUAUAUAUAUAUAGAAUUGAGCUCCUAUAUUUUUAAAAGUACUAAGUCAUUGGUACUUUUAAGUUUUCGGCCUUUGGAUUAAAGGAUGUGUGGUUAGGAUGAUAUAGCCCCCUUAGGAUUGAAUAGGUAGUUGGUUGAAUAGUAUGAUCUAACGGGUAAAAAUAAUCAAAGGCGUAGAUUUAAUGGUAAAAAAUUUAUAAGCACCAAGUGUUUGGUACUUUUACAAGCACAUAGUCGGACUUUAAAU
rnacentral:lncRNA from 1 species